rnacentral:lncRNA from 1 species
AAAAAAAAAAGUGUUGUAAUUUGAAAAAUAACGAUGCCAAACAAGUGUCGACAUAUAAACCUUUCUUAAACCGAAACAGUGUCUUAACCAUUAUAGGUUGGCUUAGCGAUAGAAAGUUAAAAAAUUAACAUUUAAACAUGACGUAGAUAUAUCGUCAUAACAUUAUGGAUGAAGAUAAAUAUAAUAUCAUAUAUCAUUCAACAAAUAUUGUUAGAGAUUAAGAAAAUAAAUAACUACAAAUUUAAAUAUAAAUUAAUUGUGUCAUAUUUUUUAAACAUUUCACAAAAUUCAAAGAUUCUGAUUUUUGUAACCAUUUGAUGUAUGAUUUUUGAAAAUAAGUUUAAUUAGACGCGUUCUUCACUCGUAACAAAUCAAGUCAAACGUUGAAAAUUAAAAAAAAUUAUAAUUUUAAAAAAAUUGGUUUUGUUUAAUUUCUAAAAAUAAUUGGCCAAAAAUUCAAGAAUGUUUUCUCGAGAAAUGUGUGAAAAAUUAUACUAUAUCAUUUAGGGGAAAAUAAGCAUAAAUUUGGACAAACAAAAAAUUUAAAGACAAAAUCAAACUUAAAAUUACGACCUCUAAUUCUUCUAAUGUCACAUCACAAAUAUAAAAUAGAAUUUUGAACCUACAAUUAAGAAGAAAAAAAAACGUGCUUGUGAGUAGUUCAACAACGAUAUAAAUGAAAAAUCAAACGAUCGACGUAGUUUUGAAAUAGUAAUUGAUAUUGUAUGUGGUAAGUUUGAAAUCUAUGACAUAUUCUAAUCAAAUAACAACAAGACAUCCCUUUUUCCUGUAUCUAUUGGAAAGCGUCAUAAUGGAAGUAUAAUAAAGAAAUAAACUUCUCAGCCAACUUCUCCACCACCACCACCAUGUUCCAUGCCCCCACACAAUUUUAUUUUAUUACUAUUAUUUUUAAAAUCCAAUAUAUUUGAAGAAAAUCGCAUUUAAAUAUAAUCAUAAUCUUCCAAUGUUCAUAUUAUAUAUAUACCAUCAGAAUGUCCCCCACUAGUCUCCAGGUUCUCACCAAUAUAAUUCUCUCUUUCAUUUUUGUGUUUUCUUCUGUUCAUAUUAAUGGAAAACUCAGCCACCUCCAGAAUCUGCAGCCACCGCGAGGAGGAUACGUGCGAACCGAUGUUUCACGAGGACCGUAGUUGGAGUACUUCUUCCUCCAUGGACGAUCUUCUCAUGUUCGAUGUUCGUACUACAACUCAUUCUUCUUCUUAUGAGUCUUUUCAAACCAGUCUUUGUUGUUCCUCCGCCGUGGACGGUGGAGCUCAGCCUUCUGCUUCCUCCUUCCGACUGAAACGGAGGAAGAUGGCGGCCGAUGAUGAUCUCGAAGAUACUGCCACUUCUCCUCCUCAUCCUUCCAUUGUUUCCAAGGUACUUUCUUUUAGCAAAUUAAUAUCACAUUUGUGAAUAAUUUCAGAAGUAAUUUAAAUUUCUUUUUCACGAACAUAUUUUCUUUCGUUGUUAUCACAAAUAAUUGAAAAUUUUUUAGGUAAAAUUUGAAAAUCAGUAGCAUUUUUCAAAACUAAUUAUUGUUUGCUUUUAGCUUCGAGAGAAUUCAAAUGUUUUCUUCAAAAAAGAUAUGGAAACAACAGUAUGAAAGGGUGAGAUAACAAAAAUAGUUUUUUUAAUAACUAUUUCAUAUUUUUUUUUUAAAAAAAACUAAAUUUAUUUUAAGUAAAAAAAAAGUUCACUUCUUAGCCAAAUUUCAAAACAAAGUAAGCUUUUUUAGUUUUCAAAUUUGAAGUACUUUUUCAAGCUUGUCUGAUCACAUCAACCCCUGUAAUGAUUUCCUUUCCAUUAGGAAAACAAGAAAGUAGUUUUUAUAUACAUAUAUUAACUUGGUUAAUUAAUUUGGCCUUCUAAUCAGAUGGAUGAGCGUAGUUCUAAGCAACAGAAGAAGCAAAGGGCAAUGAUGAAUCAAACAAAGCACAAGGUUUCUAAUUUUUACCUUAAAAAAUAUGUUGAGUUCGUUUUGAUAUUAUAAUAACAUCAUUAUUUGAGAUGCAAUAUAUAUAAUCUAACUGUGAUUUUUGGGGCUAUGCUUUAUUUUUGUAGGGAAACGGAAGUGAAGACUAUGGGGAGGUUGAAGAUAGAAUAACUGAAGUGGGUUUUGUGGGGAGGGAUAACAAUAAGAAUCAUUGUAGCACAGGACUUAAGAACAUUGGGCUUUGUUUAGUUCCUGUAUCCAUGGCUCUCAAUUAUUUUGCUUAGGGUUCUCCCUUCUUCAAUUUCUUGUAUACACAGUGUUUUAUAUAUACACAUAUACAUAUAUCCAACUAGGUUGACACAUUUGUAACAUGCAUUUUCAUCAUUUUUCACACCAUGUUUUAUAUAAUAUCCAUGUCAACUUUUUUGUUAGGGUUUUCCCUUGAUAAAUACAUAUAUAUAUACAUAUAGUACACAUUGUUUCAUAUUGAUCUCUUUUAUCUCCCUUAUCUAGAUAAUUAAAAAUGCCUAAACAUUGAUUUGUUAAGAAAAUGAAUGAAUUUUAUUUUUCACCUAUUUGGCAUGUAAUAUGGGACCAAAAACUUCUCCUUAGAUAUACUCAAAUAAUCCUCCUCGAAAUUAUUUUUGACAACGUACGACUUUGCUUGCAUUUUAAACAAUUCUCUCCUCUGGAAUAAAAGAAACACUAAAAGCCUCCCUUCAAAUAAAGGAAUGUUAUUUUAUGUUUACUCUGGAGUAAUUACUUAACUUGGAGCCCAUUCCUUGUCCUAAUUUAUAAGCUCAACCACGCAUAUCACAAUAAUGGCCGCUACAUCAAGACAUAUUACAUGACUAAAUACAAGGGAUAUGACUACCAACUACUCAAAUAUUUUCAUAAAUGUAUGUGUGGUUCACUUUUAGACAUAGUUCUUCGUGACUUUGAUUUUUAGUUUCAUUCAAAAUCUUUCACACCAUUGGAGAUAUUUGUCAUCAAUUUUGUAUACCGUGAAUAUACUGCUGAACAUGUUGUUCAUUAGAGAAUCACUGAGACUUCAAGUCUUAAACAAUAAUGAGGUCCCUUUACUCUCAUUGGCUUGAGAGAAAUUUGUUUAUGUUAAGACGUACUAUAAACAUGUUAUUUAUUAGAGAAUUAAUCACUGAGACUUAGUUGUGAUAAUUAAUCAUUAGAGGUCCAUUUACUCUCAUUGUGAUAAUUUCAUACGAAAGUAGUUGUUUGAUUGUCUCAAUGAAUCUGAUCGUCGAUCCUUAACUCAUCAACUAUAUAUCCAACCUCUUGUAAAAUUACUUUCUAUGGUUUUAAAUUUUGAUUAUCAAUUUAGAAUACUCAAUAUUCUAAUAUACCCCCACAACAAAAUAUAAUUUUUCAUAACAUAACCUUCACGUGUGGUGGUUGGAUUCCACUUCGACUCUACGGUGUUUUAGGAUUGCAAUACAUUUAUUUUUGCUUCCUAACAAUCAGUCCUUAUAAUGGUGUCACAAAAUGUCGUUAUAUUAAACAUUCUUCUUUUACCACUUAUGGACAACAAAAUUGAAAAUCAUAAAUACUAUAUUGAAAUUAAUUAGGAAAUAAAUCCAACAAUCCAAUCCCAAACUUUAGGAGAAUUAUCAAUCAAGUAGGAAAACUAAUUAACAAUAUUAUUCAUUUUAUUAAAAUUCAUUGAGCAUAGAUUCCACAAACAUAUUCUUGAACAUUUUAGGUAGAUAAAAUCAUUGUCUGCGACUUCAUCGUCGCAAAGAUUCUCCAUUUUGAUUAAAUGGUUUUGGCCCUUUCUUUUUUGAAACCAUUUUUGACUUAUAACAAUUCUUUCAUUGACGUCCAAUUUUGUUGCAAACACUUGCAAUUGAACUUUCUUGUGUAUUCUAUGUAUUGAUUUGAACUUAGUCUCUCACCUAAAAAUUUUAUUUUCUUGUUGCUUUCUAGUCUAUUAUAUUCUCCACAACAUUUGCCUUGGCUUUAUAACACUAUCUAGAGAUUUUUUACUGCAAUUUUAACAUUCUCUUCCAUUCCAAAACGAACCACAUCGUCUUCAAGCUUUAUCUUUGCUUGAGAUAGUUUUCGAAUUCUCUUCACGAGGGUGUCAAUCUUUCAAUUAUUGCUGUUAAGUACUGGUACUUGAAAUCAUCGCUCAAAGACAUAUUUUUAGUAUGUAUAUAUCAGGAAGAAUUACAUAGAUUUCUUGUACUUAAUUGAUCAUCAUUUUUGAACUAACAACAAUGAAAUUUCAUGAAACUAAUAGCACAAAAAUGUGCUAGCCACACUUACUUCGAAGUUAUUUCAAUAUUUUAUAUGUUUAUUUGAUUAUUUUAUAAGUUUCAAGGACCAAAGAGGUAGAAUCGAAUGUUAUGACAAAUAAAACUAAAACAGACCAAUUCGAAGUACUAAGGAAGAGAUUAGGCCUAAAGGACCCCAGCAUUACGAAUUGACUGCUAAAAAGGGUGCAAAAUAUGUUUUUUGUUUUUGAAUUGUGACUGUGCUGUGAUGCUAUUCUAUAGUGUCACAGGGCCGUGGAGUAGAUAUAAAUCGGUAGCUUCAAUUUUUAGGUAAGAUCUUUUGAUUAGGGUGAGUGUUUUGGGGAAAAUGACCACCCGUUUUCUUAGAUUUUUUCUGUCCUCUAUCCACCUACAAUAUUAGUUUUUAGUUUGCUUUCAUCUUAUUUCUGUAAUCAACGAAAAAAUGAUGCGAGUCUCUAUCUUUUCCACCAUUAUAAUAGGGUAAGAUCUUGUUCUAAUUUCUAGUUUUGUUGAUUAUUAUGAAUUACAUUUUCUUGUUAUUGUUGACAAUCAAUAAUGCUUGAUUAUGUAAUUCCUUGUUUUAGACUAAUGUAUAAUAGGUGACAUAUAAUUGUAUGUUAAUCUCAGAUAGAUUUGUGGUAGACAAUAAAGAGUAUUAUUCUGUUCGCCUACAUAAAACCAUGUUACAUUUGAAAUUAGGUUUUUUCUAUUAGAAAUUUAUUCUAGUGCAAUUUCUAAAGCGUAAUGAAUGUGGUUGGUUAACUUGAUUUGUAUGCUUUUCAUCUACUUAAAACUGACUAGUUUGAUAUUUAGGACCAUUGGUUAGCUUUUUUCUAAUAAAUUGGGCUAGACAUAGAAAGUUAAGAUUUAUAUAUAUAUUGAUAAUUCAAUGAUAAAAAAUUACCGUGGACGAUUCCAUUCCUCUAGCCUAGAAUGUUUUAUUUGAACGCGCUUCUAUCUUUAUUUUUCUUGCACUUUUAUUCAUUUGAAUCUCAAACCACAUCAAACCUUUCCAUUUAUCACUUUAACUAAAUAAUUAACUUUGUGAAACUAAUCUUCUUGUGCCUUUUCUUGCGGAUAGACUCGGUCUUGCCACAUACCACUUAGUUGUAUAGGUAACAUUGAUCGAUAUAUAUAAUAUAAAUUUCAUUUGAUUGACCAUCAGGAACCAAUAACUUCUCUUGGUAGGCUUUUUCUCCAAUGAAUUCCAAAGAUACUUUUUGUUGAAUCAACAUGAUUAUACACAUUGUAAAUUAGUGUGUUGCCCAGUAUGUUGAGAAUAUAAUUCUUACACAAGUAUUUCAACAUGCUUCCAUGCAUUAUAUGUUAUUUGUGUCUUCCUCAUCUUCUCCAUCGGAUAAAUUUGAAAACGAGAAAUAAAUGAAUGUAAAAGUCAAAAGGGUUAUUGAGAAUCUCAUAUAUAUAUAUAUAUAUAGGAGAAUUUGAGCAUAGUGAAUUCAUAUUUUCUUCUGAUAAAACAAAUUUACUCAUUUUAUUGCUUGAGUUUGAAAAGUAAAUGUUUAUUUCAAGAUAUAGCACCUUGCAUGUUCACAAGAUUAAAGAACUUUACUAUGCAACAACAUACUAAACUUCUAACAAAUUUUGAAAAAGUUAUUAUACAGAAGCAAAAUGCUACAAUCAAAUCGAACAAAAUGCAUAUUUGUAGACUAUUAAUUUUUGGGCAUCGGAACAGUCACAUUGUUUCUUCAAUUUGGUUAUUUAUGAUAAAAGAUGCAUCCAUCCAUAUGCUUCAACACAAAAAAUAAGGAUGAUAAGGAUAAACUUGGAAAAGUAGGAGAAUAAAAUAACAACAAAAGAAAAAUAUAAAGCAUAUAUGUUUCCUUUCCCUUUUUCAAUUUUGAUGAAAUCCAUUUAUUUGAGUACAUAAACACAUACAAACAAGGGCUUUUCUUUUAAGCCUACUACCCAUGAUUAUUAAUUAACCUUUUUUUUUCCUUGUCAUCUAUACCAACAAAACAAAUAGUAAGGCACAACACACAAAUUAUUAUUCACUCCCAAAAGAACACCAAACUUCACCACACAUACAACAUCACAACCCCUUGUUAAAAAAUAAUCCGAACCAGUUAUAAAAUAAAUAAAAAAAACCCCCCUAAGGACCAUCAAAUUAUAAUAUACACAAUUACAAAAGAAGAGCUGUUGAAGUAGCAAGCAUUCCAGCUAAACCAACAAAGGUGACGAUAGACGAGGAUGCUGCACCAUUAUUAUUGUUAUUAGCAGGGGGCUCCUCGGCGAUCGGGGACGGAGUUGGGUUCAUCUGGACAGAAGCUUCGGGUGGUUGGGAAUCGGUAGCCGGAGCCGGGGGAGGAGAAGAGUAUUGCUUGGAUCUAUCAGCCAAAACAACCACCACCAAUUUCUCAUUCUUGAGGCAAUUGUCUUUGAUGCCACUGAUGAAAUAAUGAGGGCCAGAUCUUUCAAAUUUGAUGACAGUGUGGCCAUCUGAAAAGUGCUUUAUGGGUGAUUCUGUGUGGCAAUUUUUGUAGUCAUCUUCGUUCACUAAUAGCACUGAAUCUUGCCCACCUUGGUAGUUGAACACUGCACCAUAUAGAACAUAUAUAAUUAUCCUUCUAAACAAAAAGGAGCAAAUUUUUUAUCUUUUUAGGGUAGGUUUAAAAGUGAUUUUGAAAUUGUUAAAAAAAAAACGAUUCUCCAUUUGUAUUUGAAGAACUAAACAGCAUAUAUUUAUCACUUUUUAGAUUUCAUUUCAUUCUUAUUUAUUUUUUUAUUUUUACAAGUUGUUUUACAUGUUUUUAAAUAAAUUCCUUUAUUUAUAAUCUUUUUUCAUGAACAUUUUCUAAAAAUCAUAAUUAAAUUCGAUAACUAAAAAAAUAUGCUUCUUUUGUCAAAAAGUGUACAAAAUAACUAAAUUAUUUGAGAUAAUUAAAUAAAGAAAAUGGGGAAAAGAAUCUUAAUUUUAAAAACAACACAAAACAAAUAAGUUCCUCGUUGAACGUCUUUUUUUUUUUUUUGAAAUUGUGUUUGUUUUUUUAAUAACUACUUUAUUAUGGUUUUCAUUUUUCUUGUUUAGAUCAAUUCUUAGCUAAACUUUAAAGAAAUAAAAAGAAAUUGAAAAUUAAUUUUUAAAUUAGAUUUUAUAAUAUGUAUAGUAAAGAAUGAAAUUCUUUACAAAAUAUAGCAAACAAAUUUAAAUGAAAUACAAUUCUUUUUUUUUAUAUAUAGAUUUUGUAAAUAGUUUUAAUAUUUUACUAUUUUUUGAAAAAAAUUCUUUUAAAUUUGACUUAUUAUCAAUCAGCAAAAGUGACACUGUUUAUAAAUUUAGUUUUAAUUUUUUUUAAAAAAUAGUACAUUUUUCAGAAGACAAUUAUUUGCUUAUACUUACAAAGUAAUUCUCAAAUUACACGGGCUCUCUUCUAAAAAUAGUGUUCAUUCUUUCUUACUCAAUUACAUGGAUUCUUUUAGUUCCACAAAAGUAAGAACAACAAGCAAUCCAAACCUCUAACUUCGUAAUUUGUAGAGCUAUGCUGGUUGACGUACUAUUGCUAAAAAAUCAUCGUCAAUUAGUUCAGACUAUGAAAAUUUAGCAAAAAAAACAGCAAUCAAAUUUGAAAAUCAUCACACUUGAAAGAAAACAGAAGGCAUUGGUUGGAUGGUAGACAAAUAUAACACACAUUAAUUAAUCAAAUUACCUAUGGAGUCACCAAUUUGAAAUCUUCUUGAUUCAGCCCAUUGAUUAAGACUUUGAGCAUUAGGAUAUGAAGGAACUCCCCAAACACCUUUUGAUCCUCCCACUUGAAACUCAACUCCACAAACAUUUUGCACAAACAUCAUCACUCCAAACAACUUCACUACAAAAUUAACACAUGCUUUCUUUUGAGAAAAAAUUCCAAAACUAUUGCUCCUCUUACUCAUCAUAUUAUACAACAAGAGAUCAAGAACAACACAAGAAGCUUCUAAUAAUUAUAAUGGGCAAGUUUUCCUAAGACAAAAAGAAGAAGAAAGCCUCUAUAUGAAAACUCUUAGUUGUUUUUGCAAAGCUAAGGGAAGCCUAAACCCAGCUUUUGUAGGCAAAGUUUUUAGGGUUUUUUUCCAGAAGAUGUGGCAGAGAAGCUUUUGGCAACUUUUUUCUUUAUUCUCUUUUACUUUCUCGGAAAAUAUAGCUGGCUUAAGGCUUUGGCUUCCUCUACAAAUUAAGCAUAUAUUUUUGCCUUUUGAUAGCUAUGUUGUUUGUUUGAUGAGGAAUAUGUAAACUUGGAUUGUGGGAUUAUGCUUUCCCUACAAUUUAUUUCUAAGAAUAUUCAUGUCUUCUCCUUUGGGUUAAGGCUAUGUGAGAGUUUAUAUCUUGAUUUGUUUUUCUAAAUCUAUCCUAUUCGAUGUCAUUUGCAUCACAUUCAAUGUUACUUAGAAUAAUAAUUAUGAUUGAAAGUAUGAAAGAAAUAUGAUUCAAGAAUGCUCUCAAGAAAAGUUUGGUAAAAUUUUUUUCUAUCCGAGUUUGUACCGAGACAAAAAAUUUCUCUCUUGACUAUUUUAAACUUGUUUGGAAUGACUUUUUAAAUAAUACUUAAAAUUCUAAGAACUUUCUUUCUGAAAUUUUUUGUCAUACUUAUAAAUUAUGGAAUUUUUUUGUAAUACUUAUAAAUUGUUCCAAACAUGUCCAGAACAAAGAUAAUAAAUGUUAGAAAAUGGAAUUCAAAACCUAAUUAAUAUAAAACUAAUGAUUAUAUUUUGAGGAAUCCACCUUAAAAUAAUUUUUUAUAGAUAAAAUAAGUGAAGUACUUCUCUCAUUCUCAAUAAAAUGAUUGAAACUUCAAAUUAUAUUAUUGUCUAUUAGUAUAUAUAUAUAUAGUAUUACAACAUAUAAAACCCAAAAAGAGCAUCCUGGUCCCAAAUAGUCUACCCUAAAAUGACAUAUAUGUAUACAUCUUUCUAGUUAAAUAGUAAUCUUUAUAUAUAUAUAUAUAUAUGAUAGUAUAUUAUUCUUUUUACACAUGCAUUAUCCUUUUUAAAUGUUUAAGUAUUCACCUUCACAUAGAUUCAAUUACUAAAAGAAAAAGAAAGGACUACUAUAGAUUUUGAAUUUUAGAGAAAUAUAAAGUAUAAAAAGAUGGUUGCUAAGGAAGAAAAGAAAGAACCAAUUAUUGUAUAAAAUUGAGAGAAAGGGGGAGAGAGAUGUGCACUUUUAGAUUAGUUUAUCUUUAUACCAUACAAUAAUUUUAGGGUCAAAAUUGAGUUAUUGCAGCUUCUAUACUUUACGAAUGAGGAAAUAUAUACAUAUACUUUAUAUGAAAAAGACAAUGGUUUAGAAAGAUAAAGUUUUCUAGCUAAUUCUAACUAUUCAAACAAUACAUAAAUUAUUACUUCAAAGUUAGAUUAUGUCAUGCAGUAUAGAUUUGUACUCCAGCUCGAAUAAGUUGGUUUACCUUUUGAUAUUAAUAAUAAAUACCAACUUCAACAUAUUUCAAUGGGUUAAUUAUAUAUAACAUGCAUAUGUCUAAAUGUUUUGCUACAACUAAAAAGAGAGAACAGUAAGACUAGUUGAAUUUAUUUACUUAAAAAAACUCUAUAAAUAUAUUAUAAGGGUAGGAGAUCGACUCAACAUAAUUUUGAAAAAUCCUCCAAAGUUAUACUUAUAGGGUUUUUUUCAAUAAAAAGGAAAUGGAAGACUUGUUCUAAAGUCUUUCAUACAUGUGAAAAUUGAUGUUAUGUUUUAACAAAAUAUUAGAAGUGCAGUUGUCUCAGGUUAAAAAAGUUUAAGAAAAUCGUGUGUUUCAAGUACUAUAAAAAAAGUCAAUAACUUUGGUUUCAAUUAAUCAUCUUAAGUUCUAAACACUUAAUUAAACUUAGAUAUUUUAGUUCUAGUUUAAUUCUUUUUUACCUCCAGUUUCAGAGUGACGUUAAAGAGUACGUGUGAGUAGCAUAGUUUUGAAUAGUAGAGUUAAAGGAAUGUGAGUAGCAGUAGAAAAGCUUUCAAAGACUGCUUUCUAAGAGAUUAUAACAAUUUUUUUCACAUAGUGUGGAAUAUUUUAGGUUCGUGGUUUGGUUUGGAGUUUUUCUAGGAUCAUUCUUGUGCUUCUAGUUUUAUUGAUUAUUUCUUUUAGCUUGAUUGUUUUUCUUCUUAUUCAUGCAGUAGUAGUGAUAGAUUUUUCUAACAAAUGGUAUAUCAGAGCUUUAUGUUCGUAAUUUCUAGAAUUUUUUGGUAUGUCUGGCGGUUUCAAUAUGUCAAGUCUUAUAAGACCAAUAAAGUUGUGAUGUGAAGAAUCUAAUUAAAUGAUAAACUUCAGCUCGUGGCAAAUGCAAGUUAAGUUAAGAAUGUACUUAGACAAUUUGGAUUACACAAGGCCUUGAAGAGAAGGCCAAGAAGUGAUACUUCUUUUAAUAAGUAUGUUAAAAUAAUGAUGGUGGACCUAUAGUUGUCGUUCUAGCUAGUAGAUGCUCUAAUAAAUCCUAGCAUGAAUGAUUAAGAUUAAGAGGAGAUGGAUUCGAGAUAGGCAACUACACCAUCUGGAUAUGUGACUUAAGAAAAAACCUAAAAUGCAUACUCCAUUAAAACUUAGAGUGUGUUUGGAUUUACGUUCAAAGUGUUUAAAUAAGUGUUAAUAAGUGUUGAAAAAAUAUUUAUAAAUACUUAAAAAGUUAAUCUAAAUGGAGCUUUAGUUUUAAAAACACGUUGCUUGUUUAUUUAUAUGAACAAAUUGACACGUCUAAUGAGAUAAUUUGUAUGUAUCUCUCACUUUGGAAAAAGCAUCCAAAUAAGUUUCUUCAAAGAAUAUUGCUUUAAAGAAACUCUUGUAUAUGGGGCCAACCACACUUAGUUUCUUUAAGGAAAUCCAACCAUGAAGAAAUUCAAACACCUUGUACAAACAAGAUAAUAUCGAUAGUGUUGAAAUAUUGUCUUAAAUUCGUUAUCGGACACUACAAAUAACUAAGUACAAGAGUCUCGCUUUGUACUCUAAAAAAAUUAUCUCUAAUAAUAUCGUUCUUCUUUUGCCUUCUAGACGUAGAUAACACACUAUUAGUGAAUCACGUAUAUCUGGGUGUCAAUCUCUCUUGAUGUUUCUUUGAUUUUCCAUUGAUUCUACAUAUAUGACCUAUAAUGAGUUGUUUUUAAGGACUUGUUUUAUUCUAAUUUUGAAGAUUCAAUAAUGAACUAUAUUUAUGAAUCGCGUUUUGAUACAAAUAUAGCAAAACCAAAGUGUUUGAAUGGAAAAAUAAGUUAAUCGUGCAAGAAUUUAGACAUCAUUUGGUAACCAUUUUGUUUUUGGUUUUUGAAGAUUAAAUUUAUUUCCUCCUUGUUUCUUAUAAUAACUUGCAUUUUUCUUAAGUACAUUGAUUGAAUUCUUAACCAAAUUCAAGAAUUCAAAAAACAAAAAAGAAAAAAAGUUUUAAAAAUGAUUUAAAAAAAAAAUAGAACAAAGUGCGAAAAUAUUUACACCAUAUAGAAAAGUUUUGAAAAAGAAAAAAUCUCAUAAACCCACAACGUGAAAUAACAUAAAUACUCUCACGAUUAAUAGGUCAUACACAUGCAAAAAAUGAUUUUAUAUCCAAUCCAAACGAUCUUGUACCUUUGUACCAAGUCUAAACAAUUUUGUACUCUUGUACUCAGUCUGAAGGAUCUUGUACCAAAUCUAAACGAUCUUUUACCGAGUCUAAACAAUCUAAUUGUACCAAAUCUAAACCAUCUUUUACCAAGUCUAAACGUUCUUGUACCAAAUUUAAAUGAUUUAUUAGUGAUAGUGGUCUAUCUUGGAUAGACAACUUAUCAUUUAAAUAUUGUACUAAGUGGAAAUGUGAAGAAGCAGAAAUAAUAAUAUGAAAAUAAAAAUAAAUCAUAAAGAAAAAGAAGAAAAAGAAUUGAAAAAUCGUCCCGCAAUAAUCAAAGUCAAUAAGAGGGCAAUUAUGGAAUUUAUGAAAAAACUUUUUAAUCAAAGUCAAUAAAGAAUUUCUUAAAUUUUUAUAUGGGUCGUAAAUAUCUAACAUUUUUGUUAUAUUUAUGUAAAUUUACCAUUUUUAAAAGUUUUUUCUUUUAGUUUACAAAAUUUGACUUGGUUUUUUAAACUAUUGGUAAAUAGUAUAUAAUAAAUGAAGUAAUUGCCAAUAUGAGCUUAGCUCAACUGACACCAGAUUGGUCGAAAAAACAACCUCACUCGAAACCACUCCAACCCGUGUCACACCUUAAUUGGCAUGGGAAACUUGCACAAUUUGCAAGCCUCCAUGUGUUAUCCAACUACUUCCUCUUUUAGUUUAUAGCCUUUAUAUGUGAAAGCAAUUGUACUUGGUGCCAAGUCGACUACACCUUAAUAUUGAAGUUAGUAUAGAGAGUGUAUAGAGAGUAAAGUUAGAGUUUUCUUUUUUAAAGUUUAUUUACUUCAAUUAAGCUAAGUACCAAAUUUUUAACCACAACCAUCUUUUCAAUCAAAGUCGAUAUUAGUGCUGUUGCGACCCUCAAGGUUAGAGAGUACUAGAAUUGAGCUUGACUAGCUUGUUUUCUUGUUAGUAACUUCUCUAGCUAGGUGCAUAAUUUUUUUUGUUGGCUCCCAAAAUUUUCAAACAUGUAUGUUGGCUAAUGAACUUUGGAUCUUACCCAACACAAUUCUCACACAAUCAAAAUUCAUGUUUUCAUUGUUGACCUUUUUUUUUAUUGUCUAAUGGAGACAUAUUUUUAUGGGAACAAAAUUGUUUUAAAUAUAUUAAAUUCCUUACAAAAUACACAAUUAUGGUUUCAUAUAUGAUGUAACUUACACUUUCAAAUUUUUAUCUUUUCUAUUAUUCUCUUGUUGACUUAAACAUCAAAGUUAUUGUUUUUUCUGUUUUAGAGGUUCUCUCCUCCAAAUUACAAAUUUAGUGUCGAUGUUAUGUGAAAUCAUGUUUGUCUUCCCUUAGCCAAAAUUUAGCGUCAACAACAAUCGUUUAUUUAUAAUUUAGAAACAAAUUUGAUGCCUAAUAAAUUUAUCAACCUACUAAUUAAGAAAUUCAAAUCAUAGUAAUAUUUACCCACAAUAAACUCUAAAUCCCUAUAAAUAACUCUUGUAAUAGCCUAUUUCGAAAGCCAAUAAAUUAUCCAUUUCUUUAUUUUUAAAAAUGAUGAACAUGUGAUAGGUUAUAGGUUCGAUCCAAAGUGUCCAUACCUAAGAAUUAAUUUUCUACCGAUUUUCUCAACAUCCAAAUGUUGUAAGGUCAGGUGGACUAUUUCAUGAGAUUAGUUGAGGUGCGCAUAAGCUGGCUCGGACACUCACGAAUAUCAAACAAGAAAAAAGAAUUAUGAACUUAGGGUGCAUUAUUGCAUUUUCAAAUUUAUAACCUAAGUAAGGAUGGUAAAUUAUUAGCUAAACCAUAUAUUUCUCCUUCAAUUAGGGUUUUUGCUUUUAAACCUAACGAAAGUCAAAGUCAACAAUUUUGGUCAGAGUUAAAGUUGGACUGAGUCAAUAACGAGUAACAACCAUGUCGGUUGUGGGGCUAAACAUUGACGUGGACACCACGCUCCCAAAUCUUUCAAUUAAAAUAUUUGAAUUCCAAAAACACCUCUAUGGGCGCGUGACCACACUAUGCAUUAAAUGUAUUUUUACUUACCCUCUUGUCUUUAUUUCUUUUUCCCGCAAAUAAAGGCUGAGUAAAUUACAAGAAAACAAGAAAGAUAAAAAAAGAGAGGAUAAUUUACCAAAAAUACAUCAAUGAUAAAAAGAAAAAAAAAAACAAACUAAAAUACGCAAAAAAAAAAAAGAAAAAGAAAAAGAAAGAAAAAACAGUUAAUUUGGGUAAAAAGCAAAUAAGUAAAUGGAUUAAGGUGGUUUAGUUAACGUAAUAAACGGCCAUUGUUAAUGGGGAUUGUGGUGUGAGCCAAAAACAGGAACUUUGACAUAGUAAAAGAGAGAGACUACGACAGACUAAUAACCGCACCAUUCAAAACCAUUCCCACAACUUAAAAAACUCAUUUCUUUUUUAAUAUCCAAUAAAAAUAAGACUUUCUACAUUUAUUAGCAUUUUCUUUUUUAAUAAUUAUUUUCAAUUUUCUCCUCCUCUUUUAGCUGUUGUUUUGUUGUUCUUCUGUAUAUUUAUUUUUGGGUUUUUUAGCUGGUUAUUUGGAGCUGGAUCUCUUACCCAGCCUCACACCCCCGGACCCCUCAUUUCAAAAUUCUCUUCUGGGUGUUUGAUAAAUUAAUUAAAAUUUCCCAUUUUUCUUAUUCUUCUUCUUCUUCUUCUUCUUCCCUUUUUUGAUUUUGUGUUUUCUUCCUUUCUUAGUCUUCUGGGGUCUAAUCAACUUUUGGGGUAAGCGGAUUUCUUGAUUCGGGGCUCGUUUCAUUGUACUUGGUUACGGAUUUUUGUGUUUCUUCUUUCUUUGAUCAUCUCUUGGAAGUGAUUUUGGUGUUUGGAGGGAAUGUGGAACACUGGAGCUCCUGCUGAUUCUUUCUAUGAGGUUCGCCCUGAGUGCACCGAUGUUCCCAAAACCCGUUUCAAGAUCAGGGUUAGUUUCCUUUUCCUUUUUUUUUUUCUUUUUUUUCUUUUUUUUUAUCCCUAAUACCCCUUUUGUUUAACUUCUUUGAAUCUGCACCCCAAUUGUAAGAUCAUUGUUUUGAUGGGUUGUUGCUUAACUGCAUCAUUCAAAUUUGCUUUUGAUCUGGAUUUCUUUUGCCAUGGUCGGAAGCUUUGAUCGGCUGGAACAGGGUAGUUUUGUUUAGAUUAGUGUCAUCCUUAUUGGUUCUUUCAAGCUAUGGUCAACCUGGUGACCUUUUUGGUUCUUACUUUUGCAUGCUAAGCUUUUCUUUUCUUCAAAUGUUUUUUCUAAACUUUAACUGGCGAUGGCAGAUUAUUAGGACUUGUGUUUUUGGUUUGCCAUUUGACCAUUGGUGUGUGGCAGGCAAGAAAAACUGGUUGGUUGAGCAACAAUGCUUGCAUAUAUUUAGGUUUCCAAACAAAUCAUUUAGAAGAUACAGUGAUUUUUAGGUUCAUUUUUUGUUUUGUUGUAAAGGUUUAGGGUUCUCCUUAGGACAGGAAGAUGAGAAUGGUGUUGCCUGCUUCUUUUUCACAUAUUAUUCUACUUGCUUGAAAAUCAUUUAGAAGAUGUGAUUUUGAGGGUCAUUUUAAAGGUUUUAGUUUUCCUUAGUACAUAAAGAUGGAUAUGGAGUUGCCUGCUGAUCAAUUUGUUUCUCAUAUAUGAUUCUAGUUGCUUGAAAAAGAAGGGAAGCUAUGGUGGUGCAUUAACACUUUGUGUAAAAUCUUUGUGUGCCAUUGUCAUUUCACUUUUAGUUAUUUUAUUUAUCUAAGAUUGUCAAUUUGAAACACACCUAUUGCUUUUAGAGGUUAUAAUUCAACUUUUAUGCAGGCUGGGAAAACCUUAAGUGUUAGAAAAUGGCAGGCAGCAUUUAAUCCUGAAGGGCAACUUGACAUAUCAAAGACUUUAAAUCGCAUACAUCGUGGGGUAAGUUCAAUUUCAUUGUUAAAAUAUUUUUUGGGAGUUCAAUUCUGCUUGUACUGUUUAACGGUGUGAAAUGUGGAUAAGCACUCAUUAGCAGUUGGUCAACUUUAUCUGCCAGUUGAUAACUGAUUUGCUUUUGAAUUUUGAUCAUUGUCAUCAUUUUAUAAUGUAAUAGUUAUUUCUUUUUUUGAAAAAGUUAUGAAUAUUCAAGAAAGUAUGCUAUGGAGGUAGCAAUAAAAUGUCUGGACACUAAUGUUCAAAGAUCUAAUGAUAAAGUUUUUCUUUGCCCAAAAUUUCCAUCUAAUACAGGGGAUCCAUCCUUCAAUCAGAGGAGAAGUUUGGGAAUUUCUUCUUGGUUGCUAUGAUCCUAUGAGUACCUUCGAGGAAAGAGAAGCAAUUCGCCAGCGUCGAAGGUAGUCCUAUUUAAUUCUCUCACAUUACUUAAUGGAUUUGCUUCUAAUGUGAUGCACAAUGAGAGAAGCCAGCCUGUAAUAAUCUACAUCGUUUGCUCAAUGCACCAUAUAAUGUUUCUACAGAUUCUAAACUCAUUUAAGUUUCAUUUUCUCCUCAAUUGUUGGUGGAAAAUAAUAUAGCUUCGAACUGUCUUUGUAGUUUCCAGGAAACAGCACUCCCAAAAAUGAACUUGAUGGUAAUGAGCAUAAUGCAAGGAUCGGGCCUCACCAUAACCCUAAUAAAAAACAGAUUAUUUAUUUACAAAUGAGAAGAUUUCCCAGUUGUUUUCUUGUCACUUCAUUUAGAUAUGAUACAUUUUACUCAAGUUUCUUGUAAAUCGUUGCACCACUUCUCUAAAUUAGAUGAAUGAGAUGUGGGCUUUUCAACUUGCAGGAUUGAGUAUGCCACUUGGAAGGAAGAUUGUCGACAAAUGUUUCCUGUCGUUGGAAGUGGUAGAUACAUCACAGCUCCUGUAAUCACAGAGGAUGGUCAGCCCAUUCAUGAUCCACUUGUACUCUUGGAAACAAAUCCGGACAAAGGUCCAGCUGUACCUCAAGAUACUAGCACCGCUGAUGGCAAUCCGGAUGGUUCACGGUCAACUCCUAAUAAUAAUUUGGAAACUGUGAAGGAUCCGAAAAUAAUUCAGUGGAUGCUUACUUUACAUCAGAUAGGUUGGUAAAGACUUUAAUCACGCACAUGAACAGAUUGGUUAAAUUUCUACACUUUAAUUGCUUUACUACUUGACUUCACUACUUCGCAUCAUCUACUUGAAGUAGUGGUCUUGAUAUUUUUGACCUCUGGGAUAAGUGCAACGAUAUUAUUUUUGUAAUAUAAUUGUUCAAUUUCAUAUAUUAUGACAGUUGUACCUUAAAUCAAUUUGUACUUUUUCUAUAAAACUCACUGAUAUAAAAAUGUUUAUAAUAGGUCUUGAUGUGGUUCGGACUGACAGAACAUUGGUAUUCUAUGAAAAGCAAGAAAACUUAUCAAAACUUUGGGAUAUUCUUGCUGUUUAUGCCUGGAUAGAUAAAGACGUCGGUUACUGUCAAGGUGGGUAAUUUUGAUAAAGUAUUUUCUCUUUUGAAAAAUGAGAUUAGUUUUCUAGAAUAUUGAUUAUGGUUACCUUCUGAUGUCUAUAUGACUGAGAAAUUAUCUUGUAGUUUUACUCCUUGAGGAUUCUGCCGUUAAAUUGUCUAUUGAAUUGGAGAAAGUAAAUGUUCUAAACCUUACUUGAUAAUAUUUUUGUGUAGGAAUGAGUGAUCUUUGUUCCCCCAUGAUAAUGCUUCUUGAAGAUGAAGGCGAUGCAUUUUGGUGCUUUGAGCGUUUAAUGCGCAGACUGGUACCGACCUAUUUUCCUCUUGAGGAGCUCUAUUUUCGUGUUACUUUGUAUUUGAUGUAUUUAUUUCAUUUGCACGUAAGUCAAUUAUAUUGAGUAACUGGCUCAUGGUUUUGCAGAUGUUAUUCUUCAAAUUAGCUGGAGUUUUACUAAACGAUUUUCUCUCCUCAUCAACUGAUUAAGUUCUUUGUUUGUUUCUUUACAUAACCAAAUACAUUUUUACCUUAUGUAAAAUGGUCAAGCCCGUGCUGCUAGUCUUAGGAUCUUAAUCAUUUUUAUUUCUUCUCUAUCGUUGUAUUUGCUUUUUUAGAUUCUCAUGGUGCAUUUCUAUUUGAAAUUUUGAAGCGAGGGAACUUCAGAUGCACUGAUAGCUCUGUAGGUGUGGAAACUCAACUCAAUAAUUUGGCUGCUAUCACACAAGUCAUUGAUCCAAAACUUCAUCAGCACUUGGGUAUUGUUCAUAGCCUUGUCUUCUUUGUUUAUGAGAUAUUACACUAGAACUAUUGUCAUCUGAUGAUUGUCUAAAAUAGACAUUGUAACUGUUUUAUUUUUGUUCCAAUUACAGCUGAUGGUUUUAAUUAGUUUGGUCUUUAGACUUUAAACUGUAUUUAAUCCGCAGACUAUAGAGAUUCCCAUGCUUUUGUUCCGUUAAACUUAAUUUGUAUGUCUGAUUGAUUGGAGUUAGAUUUAUCUUCUGUUGUAUUUGCUUAUUAUGAUUUUUCAUUCUUAUCUAUUCUAAAAGAAAGUAACAAUGAAGGUGUUCAUUUUAUGUACACAGAGACACUUGGCGGUGGAGAUUAUCUUUUUGCUUUCAGGAUGCUUAUGGUUUUGUUCCGUCGAGAGUUUUCCUUUUGUGAUUCCUUGUAUCUCUGGGAGGUACUUUUCUAUCCCUGCACUUUACUGGCUCAAAGUCAUUAUCCGUGAAAGAACUUUCUUUUAAAAGGGUUAAACAUUGGAAAAUCAAGUAACAUCCUAGGAUUCUUUUCAUGUAUAUGAAAGUUAAUAGACUCUCAUACAGAUUUUGUUAGUAGGUUGCCGUUAAUCAGGUAGUGUGUGCGUGGUUUCAUUUAAAAGUGGAUCCGUUUUCUGCUUUAUGCUAUAUAUGUGGUGAAAGAUGACAUUGGAAAUUGUAUUAAUUUUGGUACACUUUUGCUGUUACAACAGAUGAUGUGGGCCCUGGAAUAUGAUCCUGAUCUAUGUGUAUUGUAUGAAGAACCUGAUAUUGGAAAUGAGAAAGGAGAGGGAUCGAAAGGAAAAGCAAAAUCGAUACGCCAAUGUGGGAAAUAUGAGAGGGAGAACUUGAAAGCAAAGAACUCAGAAGCUCCUCUUCCCAUCUCUGUUUUCCUUGUUGCUAGUGUCUUGAAAGAUAAGAGCACAAAGCUACUUACAGAAGCUCGGGGUCUAGACGAUGUUGUGAAGGUUUGUUUCUCGAUCUCAUACCUUGAUCUGUUAAGAACCCUAAACCAGUUAAGGUAGAAAGAUGAUACAUUAAAUUGAACUCAAGCAUGACUAAUGGCAGAAUACUAAGCGACUCAGGAGGUUGGGUCGUGGGUUGCACAUAAAGUCCCGAAACUCUUAUUUGUAUUCGUUUUAACCAUUUCGGUCUAAGCAAAAUCAAGGUUUCGACUAACCGAAUUAGUCUCUUGUUUCUUAUUCUUAUCCAAUAGAUAUUAAAUGACAUGACUGGAAAUCUGGAUGCCAAAAAAGCUUGCACUGGGGCAAUGAAGCUUCACAAGAAAUAUCUAAAAAAGGUAAUUUCAUUUGUAUCCUUGAAGUGUUUCUUUUGCAAAAGUCUAUUACACAAGUUUGAGAAGUGAGAUAAAAAGAGUGUAUGAACUAAACUAACUGAUUUAUGAACUUUGCAGGCCAAGAAGGCAUAGCAAUAGAGAAACCUGAAAUUGUAUUUUUUCUGAUCAUUGAGUCGAUCGGGCAAGAGAUUGUCAUAUAUUUUCUGCACAAACCGGUGGCCAGAAUUUGUGGAACUAUCCAAGUUUUCUGACCAGCUAUACAUUCCCACAUUAUCAAAUUUGUUGUAUGUAAAAAUAAUUUGUUCAUUUUCUUCUCUUUUUUUUCAUCCUUUUUUGAUACUAAAAAAAAGAAAAAAACAGUGAAAAGAAUAUAUUUUGUGAUAACCAUCUGAUUCUUUGUAACCACUUUAUGCAUACAGAAAGUAAAUAUCAUUUGUAUAAACAUUCCAUUGCGUAAUCCAUGAAUUUAUUAUUUUAUUUUAAAAUUUGCAUUUCUGUGAAGUCCAAAAAGACAUGCUUUAAAGCCAAAUCCCAGCAUAAUUACAAUAAUCAAUACCAACUCUUUGAUAAGUUAAUUUAAAAUUAACAAUUCAUACUUCCUAUUCUUUUAGUAAACGAAGAAUCAAGUUUAUUUUGAUGUAUAAUAGAUUUGCAAGCUUUUCAUUUUUACCCUUUCAACUUUUAUCUAUAGAUGUGUUUGAACUUUUUAAUUUUGUAUCUAAUAAAUCUUGUUUAUUUGAGAUUUUUUUUCAUACACUUAUCUAAUGAACAAUAAAUUAAAAUUUUAAAGUUUCAUUAGCCAUAAAACUCACUUUUUUUUUAUACAAAAGUCGAAUAGGUUAGUAACCUAUUAGGAUAUGAGAUUAAAAUUUUUAAUAACAUACUUGAUACCAAAUUUAAAGUUUGGAGACGUAUUUAGACACAUAAUAUUAAGAAUUUCUAGAGUUAUUUAGACUAUUAAAAGUUUCGGGAUGUAUUAGACAUUUCUUAAAGUUUAAAGAGAAAAUAAAGGAUUAAAUUUGUAGUUUACCCUAAAUUGUACAAUUUGAAUAAGAAAAACAUUCACUUACACCAAAUUGUUCCUAAAACUUGGAUGACUUUAACAUGUUACCACUUUAACUCUCAAAUUAGUGAUUUAUAAAAACAUAUGUGCAACAUGAAAUUGAUAAAGUUUGAAAAAAGUUAACUAUAUAUAUAUAUAUAUAUAUUUGUACUUUUUUAAAUUUAUGAACUUUGGCUAUGUUGUUUAUUGAUUGUUCAAAUGUAUUAAUAUCUUUUUUGCGAAAAACUUUAUUUUAUUAAAAUGAAUGAGUAUACAAAGAUUUUUACAAACUACUCUUUUAGGUUCCGUUUAAAGUUCAUUCGAUAGAAUUGAAAAUUUUGUACCUAAAUGGACAUGAUCAAACAAAUUUAAGGUCAAUAUUGUUUUCUUCCUUCAAAACGUGUAGCAUUUGAAAAUUUAAAACUUUUGUACUUGUGAUUGCUAUUCAAAUUUAAUUUGUGCAAAAUAUCUCACAUUUCACUGAAAGGAGAAAAUAAAUGAAAAAGGCUUUUUUUUUAGUAAAUUGGUUAAUUGAAUUUUAAGUUGGGUUGGAUUGGUUGAAGUAAUUUUUAGAUCCAACCCAAUCAUUAAAUUUCUUUGAUUCAAAUAACCUUUUAUUAAUGAUCAACCAAACCCAAUCCAACCAUAAAAUACUUGGGUUGGAAGUAAGAAAUGGAAGGAAUGAUUUAUUGCUUUGCGGCAAUUGUGUUAAAAUUACAAGACGAAAACAAAAAAAAAUUAUGGAUGCGUUCUACUAGGGUGUAAAUGAGUUGGGUUGAGGGACAUUUUCAAUCCAACCCUUAAAAUAUGUAUUGAGUUGUCUAAUAACAUGUAUAAAUACUUGUUAUUAUAACAUCUUUUAUUAGAAUAAUGAGGUCCAAAUGCAUAAGAAGAAGAUCAGAACGCAUAAGUUAUAUUGUAAAUUCAUAAGCAUUAAGAAAUACAUCUUACAUAAGCAUUGUCUUUUUUACACGAUUUCCAUGUCUUAACGCAUGAUGAUUAGAAAGGAAAAAACUAGUGAAUCGUAGGAGACAUCUUAUGCAAAGGCUAUGUGAUGGAAACUCGUUUGACGAUUAACAGAGAAACCACAUCAUGUGAGGAAGAUUCACUAGACGACAAAGAUGAUAGUUAAACUUGAUGUAACGAGACAAGGCUUCUAUAAGGACUGAUAUGAUCAGAAUAAUAGAAAUUUCUCGUUGAAAGAAUGCCUAUAAGAGAAUUUCAUCUCUACCAAGAAAAGAAGGCUUGUAUGGGCAGGGACGGCCUAGAUGUCUGAAUAGUUUGACCAACCCUUAGAGAGAAUGGUGGAAAGGACUAGUCUUUCCACCAUUUGUAAAUGUUUUCUUUUUCUUCUUCUCCGAUCAUAUUGUAAGUGAGAGCUUAGAGUCUGAGUGGUGAAGAUUCUAUUUUCUAUUGCCCUUAACUUGGAAAAUUUUCCCUUCUCUUUUCUCUCAACUUUUUAUAUUUCUUUGUAAUAUAUGAUGUUCAUAUUGUACAAUGCCUUUAAGGCCCACACUUGUUAAUAUAUUAUAUGUUUAUACCUUUUCAAUCCAUCUUUCUUAACUUUCCAUUUGUUAAUGUGUUUUUAAUAGUUUAGGGUUGUGAUAAGUUCUUGAUAAGAAGACCAACAUAUAAUUCUUAUCGCUUUAGUUGAGCUAUGUUCAUCAUUUGGCCAGCAUCAAUUUCUAACAACUCAAGAGGGCAAGUAGAAAUGAAGUUCUUAAUUGUGAAGUUCUAUAAGUAUUAUAAGUGAGUUCUUCUAGAUAUACCUCACCUAAUCAAGCUUAGUCAUUUGCAUCCCGAGAGGUGAGCAAGUAUGACAUCUAAAGACUUUGAGAGAAGUUCAUCUUAAUCAUAAACUGGUUAAGCCAGUUAUAUCGCAUUGAGGCUCUCACAUUGCUUAAUCACCUAAUAAUGCAUAGACCUUCCUUCAUCUCCUUUCUUCACUAGUUCACAUUUUCAUUUCAUAUCCAUUUAUUCCCAUUUACAGAUUAUCUAGGUGUACAUAUAUAGUGAGUUUUGAUCUUUUUAUACGUUAUGUAAUUAAUUCUUUUACACCGCCUAAAUUAUGAGUCAAUUUUAGAACUAAGCUUUGAUAACAACUUCCUGUGUUCGACUUUGAAUCACCCAGAUAAACCUAUUGUUUCGCUUAUACUUGGGCAAACAGUAGUGAUAAAGAGGUACAAAGUGAGCAUUUCGCCUAUAGUGAUCAUGACCAAUGACUUAUCGCACAUAAUUAAUUGUGUAUUUUUUUGCGUCCUUAAGUCCUAAGUUAAUUUGGCGUCACAACAACCCUCAUACAACCAAGUUUUUGGCGUUGUUGGUUAACAAACCCACACACACAACCAUUGUCGGGUUGUAUUGUUUUUUUUUUCAUCUAAUGUUUGUACAUUUUAAAAUUGUUGUACAUGUCAUAUCGAUAAAUACUCACACCCAAAAAUUCAAACAUCCAUAAAUUCAAAGUUUCAAACAUCCAUAAAAGUUCAACAUUCCAAACAUUAUCCAUAAAUAUUAAAUAAAUAAUAAAAUAUCUAUAAUAUAAAUACAAAUAUUUAUUUAUAUAUAUAUAUAUUAUUAAUUCAGGUUGGGUUGGGUUGACCCGAAUUUUCCAACCCCCAAUCCGAGACUCGACCCAAUCCAAAAAAACCAAAAUUUUCAACUCAACCCAAUCUACAUUUUAAACUAACCCAACCCAACCCAUAUAAUAUAGGUUGGGUAGUUCGGAUUGUUGAUUGUUCUUACCCCCUAUUUUCUACAUGAAUUAAUUAAGAAAGAAGAAUAAUGACCUUUGUACAAUUCAUGCUAAAACAAUUCUUUUGAUCCUUUCGAUGCCCAGCAUGAAUGUGAGAACCAUGAGCAAGACACGAUCGACAAUGUUGGAGUUUUUGGUUGUUUGGUGAAAGGAAGAAGCCAUAAAAUGCAAAGUAGUCUUUUUUAUAUUUUCCUUGUAGUAAGAAGAAGAGGGAUUUCUAUUGAAUCUAUUGGGGUGUUUGGCCCAUGAGUUUGGAAUUAGAGGGAUUUGACCUUUGAAACCAAAUGCAUGUUUGUCCACUUGAAAUAGAAUUCCUGGAAUUAAGAUUCCAAACCCAUGGGUUUAUAAUAUAUAUAUAUUUUUAUUGAAUGUCAUAUGUUUUAGAAAAAAUCACUUCAACAUUAUCAAUGAUCAUUGGCAACAAUUGUUAGGCAACUUCACGAUCAACGUAACCACAAUGAAUGAUCAUGACCAAUCGACGGUCACAACAAUCAAUCGUUUUAACCGUCAGCUGUGGAUCAUCUUGAUCGUCGGCUUCGAAUUCUCUUGAUCGUUGAUUAUCAAUCCUCUCGAUUGUCGGUGACUAAUCAUCUUGAUUAAUUGUGACCUACAACUUCGGACGUUACUAUCGUGGAGUGAAUAUCUUGAUCGACGACAACCAAUCGUUAUCGUUAAUUAUCGAUCUCAUGCCUAUUAACAAGCGAUUUUAGUAAUGGUCAAUGAUCAAUAGUCAUAACCCUUGACGAUUGAUUGCCAUGAUGGUUGACUACCAAUUAAUUGUCUUAAAAUUAGUGACCUUUGAUCGUCUUCACCAUUGAUCAACAACUGUCUUCAUCAAGACUUCCUACACUCUUUCCUUUGAGGCUUGAAUAGUAUAGGAUUGAAUAGUAAAUACUAUUCAAGCCCAUGGAUUACAUUUUUUUUCCUUAAUUCAAUCUAGAAAAUUCAUUGACCAAUUCCAAACAGCAUCUCUAGUGACUGUUAUUCGUCGACCGUUAUCCGUCGACCACUAGAAUGAGUGUUGACGAACUUCCUACCACCACUUUUGCAACAGCUACGAACCUUAAAAAAUUAAUAAAAAUGAGUUUUUGAAAAACUUUUUUGUUAGUCAUUCCAUAUACGCAUUUGAUGUAAUCACAAUAAUAUUUUUUAAAAUACGCAUUUUUCAUUCUUCUAUUUUCUUUUCUUCUGGAGGUCCUUUUAUAACUAUUAUUAUUAUAUCAUCUUUUAAAUUAUCUCUUUUCUAUUCUUUAUUUAAAAUUAAUCUUUCCUUUAUUUUAAGAGAUUUUAUUUAUUUUGUUAUAUUUUUUCAAGGUGAAAAUUGAUGACCUCUCUAUUGUGAUCUUGAGUAUAAAUCAAAUAUUAAUAUAUUAGUAAAUAUAGUGAAAAAUGUAAUUAUAUAUCCCAUAUAUACCAUGGUUUAUUUUUAGUUUAAUAACAUUUUUCAUUUUUUUCGUUAGUCAAUUUAAGUAGAAGACCGGAGACUUAUUUGGAUUGACUUAAGAAAAAGUAUUUUUCAGAAAGAAAAAAACUCAUUUUUAUUUAUACCUCUUUUGAUAAAAGCGGUUUAAGAUACAUUGCAUGUGUGUCAUAGAAAGACAACCAUAAUUAUAUCUAAAGGUAACUCUACUUUGACUUCCGCUUUUGCAUGACCCUUUUGGUUAUGUUUAUUUUGAAACCUAUUAGACUAUUUUUAAUGGUUAUGUUUAUUUUGAAACCUAUUAGACUAUUUUUAAUGUUGCUUAACUAAAACUUUCGUAAACUCCAUCUGAUUACAUGAUUUUUUUUAUAUUUUGUGAAUGGUUUGUAAUAUUUUUACUUAGACCAUUUAUGUUAAUGCAAGUGAAAUCAAAAUUAUUGUUAUAUAAUAUUAAAAUUUAUCGUUUUUACAUUAGUGUCAUUAAAUCAACAGAGUCAAUAAAUUGAAUUAGAGGUACAAAUAUAUAUAUAAAAAAUCAACUAAAAAUUUGAUACAAAAAAAUUUAGCGCGUACAAUUAAUAAAAAAAAUUAAAUAAAUUAACUAAACCCAUAAAUUCAAAAUCAGCACUCGAAACACAUGCAUUAGAAAAUCCAGAUUUUCAAAUCCUGCACCCCAAACACAGACAUUUAUAAUACCCAGACAUCAAAACCGCAUCAAAUAAACCCACAUGGAACAAGCGAUUGUGCAGUACUUGUUUGACCCAAUCAACAAGUCAGCCGAUCAAAAUCUGAAAACUGCGGACAAACUCAUGGUAUAAUGUAGCUUCCCUUCACGUUCUUGAGAAAAUGUUUUAUAAAAAGUGAGAGAUAAAGAAGUUCAUUGAAAACAUCAUUAAAGCAAGCAUUGAAGACUGUUAAUUGCAACGAAAAACUUUCAUUGCAAAGAGUUCGACAAGGCUUGGGCGGAGAUUUAACUACUAUGUCUCCCCUAUAGUACAUUUUAAACAUUUCAGCUCUGGUAAGCUUGUAAAUGAAAAUGCUAAAACGUCACAUCCAAGCUUUAUGACCUAAAAUGGAAAACAACAAGCUAAAUUAAAUAUAAAACAUAAAGAUAAGGUAAAAUGGGAGUAUUUAGGCAUGCAUACACAGGCAAACAACAGCUUGGACAAGCAUGCCCAUACAUUCUUCCCCACUUAAACAGUUGACGUCCCUGUCGAUUGGCGAAGCUGGAAUUCUUCGAUCUUCUGCUUCCAUGCUUCAAGGUCUUCAACAUGUUCCUAACCUGUUUCUUCCACUAGAAGGUUUUUCCACUUCGCUAGGAAUUUGAAUAUUCUCCUCGUGGGUCUUUUACCCUUCCUUACACUCUCCACAAGGAUUUCUUCCACUUCUCUAUUUUCUUUCUUCUUCAGGCCAAUAGAUGGUCGUACACUAUCGUUGCGCUGCUGGUCAUCUGGGUUUUAAUAGUAGGGAUUCAAUUUCCUUACAUGAACUAUUGGAUGAAUUUCAUCCAUGUAGGCAACGCCACCCUAUAGGACACAUUUCCAAUUAUUUUCAGAACUUCAACAGGCGCCUUAUAUUUUUUGACAAGGCACUGGUCUUUAUGCCCUCUAAAUCGAAUUUUCUCUACUUUCAACUUUAUGAGGACUUGGUCUUUAGCUCAAAACUCAAGAGGAUGUCUUUUCUUAUUAGCCUACUUUUUCAUACGCUUCAAUGCUUUCUUUAAGUAUGCUCGAGCGAUGUCGGUAGUUUGCUUCCACUCUUUCGUGAAGUUGUGAGCUUGGGGUUUUUUUCUGUACAAGGGUGUGAUCAACAAUAUGACGCAGUACAGGUUGUCUUCCACUUACAAUUUCAAAGGGACUAUUCUCGAUGGAUGAACUGGUUUGUGCAUUAAAACAAGGGAAAUUGCAUCAUAUGACUAAAACAGUUGGAAAAAAACAGCUCAUCACACUAAUUUUUUGCAUAUUGCAAAUAUGGUAAAAUAAGUUAUAUUAGAUGACUAUCAGGCAGUAAUCAUAGGGCUAUUAAAAGGUCAUCAAAUUUAAAUUUGACACUUUUGCAAAUUUAGAAAAUGUUGUAACAUGGGCUUUAUUAUCAUAAUUUUUUUUGUUAUUUUUGCAAAAGUCCCUUAAAACAAAGUUGAGCCACAUCAAGCAAUCAGACCCAAUUCUUUUGUCUGGAAUCAAUGAAAUGUCUAAAUAAUUCUCAAGCAUACAAUUGAAUCUUUCAGUCUGGCUAUCCGUCUGAGGAUGGUAUCUUGAAGAUAUAUUCAUGUUUGUCCCUAAGAAGGCAAAUAACUCAGCCCAGAACGUACCAAUGUACCUAUCAUCCAUGUCACUCACGAUGCUUGAUGGAACUCCCCAUAACUUCAUGACGUGCUUAAAGAACAAGUGUGCUGUCAGCUUGACAUAACAUAGUUUUGUAGUGAAGAUGAAAGUGGCGUACUUCGAGAACCGAUCAAUUAUAACCAAGAUGACCUCAAAGUCGUCCACCUUCAGAAGAUGUAUAAUUGUUUGACCCAGUCAACAAGUUAGCCGAUCAAAAUCUGAAAAUCGCAGACAAACUCACAAUACGAUGUAGCCUCUAUUCACAUUCUUGAGAAAAUGAUUUAUAAAACGUGAGAGAGAAAUAAGCUCAUUGAAAACAUCGUUAAAGCAAGCAUUGAAGACUAUCAAUUGCAAUGAAAAGCUUUGAUUACAAAGAGUGCGACAAGACUUAAGCGAUGAUUCAACCACUAUGUCUGCCCUAUGCUACAUUUUCAACAUUUUCAGCUCUGGUAGGCUUGCAUAUGAAAAUGCUGAAACGUCACACCCAAGCUUUAUGACCUAACUAAAACGAAAGCAACAAGCAAAACUAAAUACAAAACAUAAAGAUAUAUAAAGUAAAUCAGAGGUAUUUGGGCAUGCGGCCAUAGGCAAACAACGCCGUGGACAAGCAUGCCCGUUACACCAAACGCCCCCUUAGGGCUUUAGAAUAAUACCUAAAAUCACUCCCCAAGGACCCAAAUCCACUAACCACUAUCCUACAUUGCACGAGAGUUUUACCGUUUCUAUCUUAAAUUUAAUUUAAAUUAAAUUAAAAUAAAUAAAUAACUAGAUAAUCAAAUAAAAUUUAUCUAUUUUGAAAUUAAAAAUCAAAUAUUUAAUUAAUUUAAUAUUUGAAACAUGUUCAAAUAUACUUCUUUCUCGUAACAUAUAGUUUUAAUAUAAAAUCUCAUUCAUUUUCAGUUUAGGGAUUUUUUUUUUAAAUAGCACAAAAUGCGAAAUUAUUUACACGAUAUAAAACAAUUUUGAAAAAAGAAAAAGUUCACACCGUGAAAUAACAAAAAUACCUCGCGAUUAUUAAUCGGUCACACACACACGCAAAAAGCUUCUAAUUCAAAUGAUCAUUUAGAUAUUGGUACACGAUCGUUCAAAUCUUGGUAAACGAUCGUUUGAAUCUAUCAUUUAUCUAUCUGGGAUAGACAAUGAUAGUAGUCUAUCUCUCUCCAUAUGAGAUAGACGACUGAUCUUUUAGAUAUUACUACACGAUUCUUUAGAUCUUGGUAUAUGAUCGUGUAGUGAAAAAAGAAGAAGAAAGAAAAAGGACACAAUCCAUGAUAUACUGAAAAAAUAACAAGGAGAUGACUCAGAGAUGAAGAAAUCACGAACAAGAAGAAGUGAGAAUAUGCAGAAGAAAUAAUAAUACGAAGAAGAUGUGUAGACAUUCAACAUGAAAUUAAAAACAACAAGCAAAAAUCUGAAAUUUGUGAAAAUAUAAUGGUAGUUUCAUGAAUUUUUUUUUGUUAUACGAACCGUAAAUAAUUUUUGGGUUUUCUUCUAUAAUGUAAAUUAACCUUAAGUUUACUAUAUGUAUAUAUAUAUAUAUUAUAUAUAUAUAUAUAUAUAUAUAUAUAUAUAGGUUUAGUAUGAACCACUUCAUAUUAUUAUUUAAUAUUUGAAUCUCAAAUAUUAUUCUCAGGUAUAUAAUUUAGAGGUGUAUGUAAGGUGAGUUGAGUCGAGUUGGAAGAAAAUUAUGGACCAACCAAAAUUAUUCGAGUUGAGAAAAAAUGAAUCCUAUCGGUUCAAUAUGCAAUGGUCAACCAAGCAACCCAACCCAAAAAGUAUGGGUUGAGUCGGGUUGGGUUGAUAGGUUGAAUUUCCAUUUUUUAUCUCUCCAUAAUUUUGAAAAAUUGUUCAAGGUGACAUCUAUAUGCUAUACAUUCAAAUUCGAAGUAUACAAUGUCCAUUCAAAAUGAUGUUUACUUUUAGAUUUUAGGUUUAUAUAUAUAUACACACACAUAAUCGGUUGGAAUAGGUCAACCCAACUCCUUACGUACACAACCUGGUUCAACUUUUUCUCUCUCCAAUUUUUUAACUAAACCCAACCCUUAUAGUUUGGGUUUGAUAAUUUGGGUUGGUUGGGUUAUCGGUUUUUUUAAACACCCUUAAUAUAGUUUUAAAUUUCAAUCUAAUUUAAAUAAAUGAUAUAUUAUAAUGUAUGUAUAAACAUUAUAUUAAACUAUAUCAUAUACAAUAAAUUCUCUUAAAUAAUAAUUUGAACACUUCAAAUUUACAACAUCUAGAUCUUUGUUUAAUUUUGUUAUAGCUAGCCGUUUCUCUUACGGAACUACCAUUAUAAGCUCCAAUAAUACAACAUUAAUUAACUAUGAGACACUACACUAUAGAUCCAUAGAUGCACUCUCAAGAUCCGUAAAAUACUUAUAUGUUCGCUAAUUUUUCACAAUUUUUUGUAAGUCAAUUCUUUCUAGGUUGUUCGUAAUUAUAAGUGACUUUUGAGUCAACACUUACCCUAAAGGAAUUAAUAAGUGAAUUUUGCCUUGUGGCACUAUUCUCAGCUCCCCACUCGGUAUUAUCCUCAAGAUGGUAAACUUAAUUGAGUCAACAACCAGGAUCACUCUCACACCCACACAAAUCAAAAUCAAAGAACAACCCUCGUGAGCUUUUUGUAUAUAACUCACUUAGAAUUCAAAUCAAGUUACAUAGUUAUCGUUUAAAAUAUUAAUUUAUUCAGUUAGGGGAGUUAUAACUGACUACCAUCUGCAUCUAGUUAUGUCAUGAUAGUAAGUAUAUCGUACUCGAUUACAAACUAUUUACAAUUGACUAUAAUAUUUUACUAUAUUUGUAAAUAUUUGAUUUAUUUUGGUGUAUAUGAAAACAAUAACUAUGUAUUCACACAAAAUCUUCACACAAAAUCUCAAAAUUAUGAGUAAAAAAUGAAAUGUAAAAUACAAUUUAUAUCUGACAACUCACUGAGACAUGGAAAAGAGUGUAACACUAGACAUUAUCUGAAUCAUAUAUGAAGUCUCACAUACAUAUCCUCAAGAAAAACAAUACAAAAAGACUGUUCAGUUGCAACUAAUGAUGAAUAUUCAUAGUUGAACUUUGAUCAAACACUAAAGAUUUCUUUUACCCUAAAUCCUAAGGGAUAAAAAAAAUCAUGUUAAGUAGAAAAAGAAAAAGAAAAAGAAAAAGAAAAAGAAAAAGAAAAACCCUGAACAUCCCCAUUUUCAUAUGCAUAUUAUAACACAGAACCAAUAAUUACAACUUGAGUACAAACUUUUAUUGGUAUGUCCUUUCCAAUUGAUAGGACCCCUUUUUGAUAGUAACAAAUUUCUGGAUUCAUCAUCAUCAUGGUCAUCAGCUCAAGUUCUUUUUUUUUUUUUUUUUUUCCUUUUUAAAUAAAUUUUUAUAGAGUAUAAAUCUCCUUCCUGUUAACACAAGAUGAUGUAAAAAAUAGAAAUAUCAGGUUGGGAAAAAAAUGGUGAAGCUUCCAAGUAAAAAUCCAAGUAUUCAAAACUGUCUUCUUCCAAGACAUCAUCAUUUAGGCCUACCAGGCUGAAAUCAGGUUGUGAAGAAAUUAUUCGGAUCAAUGGAAGCGAUCGGUCAUAAACACGAAAGUAAGAGCUAAGAUGAAGAUAAGUGACAUGAAAACGUCGCAAGAACGGUGGUGGGCUGAACUUGCCGUGGGAAUAUCCUUUGGAAGCGCACAUUCUUCGCCAUUGAAAAAGACUUUGUUCGGGAAACCAUCGCCCCGUAGUAUGUCGAGGUUGCGUAUACCCUUCUUGGUGAAAGAAAUAACAGAUUGUUGCUUUCCAGGAACUCUUGGAUCAGUUUUAGGAUUGGUCCCAUUAACCUCACCCAUCAAGUAAGCUAAACCAGGCAAACCUUGAAGGAAGAUUGUAUUUUUUAUUUUGGGAAGCCGGGUUCCAUUGAAGGAAUAAACGUUUUCGUAACCCCUACCGGCCUUGUUUAACUGAAUGGCAGUAAACCAAUCUUCAAAUGGAUAAUCUUCCCAAUUGAAGAGUGUUAAUCUUGCAGACCAUCCAUUAGUAUAAUCAGAGUUGAUAUGCCAAUUUAUGCUAACCCCACAAUUAUCAGGACAGGGCAGCUUUUUGGGAUUUCGGUAAUGCUUAAUUUUAGCCCAAGCUCUAGCUUUGGCUGACCUGUUGGAAAAUGGAACCAAAAGUGCUUCUGGAGGUAGGAGCAUUGAAUGUGCAUUUGGAUUGCAAGUAUCAGUAUCAAUAUCGUCACACCCACAAGCACAAGUAUUGCAUGGAAUAACAGAGUCAUUAUAAUAAGCUGAAAAUGAAACACAGCAUUUUGAUUGCUUCACCUUUGGCCUUGUAAUGUUGCAUAUAAUUUGCCAACUUGCAAUUGAGGUACUCGUUGAUUGAAGUCCACUCGGGUCAGGGAACUCCGUUGGUUCAACUCGGAGUGGUGCAGCACAAACGUAUUUCGGAUUCAGAACUCCAGAGAUCUUCCAUUUCUGUGGCGGAUUAAGGGCGGUUCUGUUCAUAUCCGGUGGAAGCUUAUAGACUUGUAGUUGAAAAAUAGACCUUGCUUUACUCUCAUCCAUUAAUGUUGGCAAUAAGCUUCCAUUCCUACAACAAUACGGCAACUUGCCGACUUUAUCAUCAUUGAUACGAUCGGCUGGAAGGUCGGCGAUUAUGGGUCGCUUAUCGCAACUCAUGACUUGAGAGAAGUCGAAAUCUUGAUAGUAUUGGCCAGCGGUACCAUAAACGCAUUGAGAUAAAUCUCUCGUAUGAGUGUAAGCUCCUCUCAUGCUUUGAAUGAAUUCUCCUCUCAUCCAUUCCCAAGUUAAGUUCCAAUGAUCGAGACGGCCAAGAGGAUUGUUGUUGUCUAUUGUAACUUGAGCGAGAUAAUUAUUUCCAUAAGCUUGCAUUACAUCGUAAGUGAGUGAGAGGUCUCCAUUUUGGCGAGCGAAAAAUUUGGUCUUUUUUUCUUUCUUCACCUUGAACUUUGGAUCCUUUUUGCAGCAUACAUGCAUUGUUCUCUUACCUACAUAUCAACAUCAUAUUAACCAAACCAAACAACUAUAACAGCUACACUAUUGGGUGGGAAAAGAUUCUGUAAAUAUGAAAUGAAUUCUAGAACAAUUUGCUUUAUGUUUGAUAGGCCUCUUUUAGUUUGGAGUUGUGAGUACAUAUUCAUGAAUAUUAAAUAUAUAUGAUGGUAAGCGAAAUUAUUAGCAAAAUUUGACUUGUUUGUUUCAACUAGAUCAUUUAUUUAAUAUGAUAUUAUCUAUACCUAAAAACUAUAUGAAUAGAAUAGAUCAAAGUUUAUCAUUUUAUUUUGUUGUGUUUGAAAGCUUGAAUUAAGGAUACCGCGAUGGCGAGGGGCAGGGCACUUAAAUCCAUCGUUCUCAAGACGGAUGGUCUUCGGCAUCGGAACACCCGGCGGCUUAAUUCCGAAUUGCGUUCCUGUGAACUCCACCGUCGCUUGAAUCUGAUUAAUAUCACCAGCGGUUUCGAUCGACGUUUUCAGAUCCGUCAUUGGAUACCCAGCCAAAGUAGUCCCAUUCCCAACAUCCACAGGGAAAUCCGACCCAUCCAUCACCACCGCACCAUUUGCCGACACCAAAAUCUCAUGGUGAUGAAAUCCAAUAAACAUCUUCCAUGCCUUCAGCUCCGUCAAUCCCGCAUUCAAAAUCACCGCCUCCGACUUAAACGCCCAUGACUGAGCCGUGGCAUUCUUCAACCGUGGCAGCUCUUUCUCCCGCGAAAUAAACGUAUAAGACAAAAAUAUCCCAUUACAUUGAUUCUGCUCUGGGGGUGGCGCAGCCGGCUUGGCUUCAUCAUCAUCAUCGCCGCCGCCGCCGCCACCACCACCGCCAAUAAUGUAAUCUUGUGAAAAACAGAGAGAAAAAUUGGAAAAAAGAAGAAGGGAAAUGAGAAGAGAAACAGAGAAGAAAUGUGGCAUUGGAAACUGCAUGCCGGAAGGAUUAGAGAGAAAAAUUAGAAAUGGUUAUUGAAUGUUAUUCUUGUUUUUUUUUUUUUUUUUUGUGUGUGUGUUUUAGUUUAAUGGGGUUUGACGGCGCCGCGCGAGAACGCGGCGGAGGAAUGGGAGGAGGGGGGGUUUGGGGAAAACCGGAAAUGAGAAAAGAGGAAAAUUGUUAUAAAAGAGAGGAGGAGGAAGAAGAAGAAGAAGAAGACAGAGUCAGGUUUAUAUUUUGGCCUCUGGUUUUACCGCCAUUUUCGCUCCUUCCGGGGAAACCGACUUUGCUUGGUUCUUCUCUUCACCUAUAUAAACUCCAUAUAGACCUAAUAUUUUUUUAUUUCAAAACUUCUUUUUCUUUUUUUCUUUACUUUUAAUAAUGUAUACAUUACAUUACAUCCUCACCUUUUUAGAUCGAUGUUUGGAAUUUUCGAUUUCUAAAUAGUAGUUUGAACAUAGUUUAAUAAAUAAUAAUAGUGUUGGUGGAGAAAUUUUGACUAAUUAGAAAUUGUUGUGUUGUUAGUGUAUGUUAAUGAUUUAUAAAUUUGAGAUCAAUUGCAAAUUUCCUCUAGUUCUCAAAUUAAAUUAAAAAGUAGUGGAAUAUAUCGGCAAAUCAAAUGAUACUCUGCAGGUUUAAGCAUUCACCAAUGGAGUAAUGUCAGCCGUUGGUUUAGUUAAUUAUGUUACAUAUCGAAGAUAACUUAUUAGUUCGAGCUUACUAAUAUAGAUUUGGUUAAAUUUCAUUCAAGUCUAAUUUGAAAAGAUUGGAAACCAUGCUUAAGUCCUCUCUUGAAAUUAUAUGGGUGUGUUUGGGAAUUUUAGUUGAGUUACGUAAGUUUGUGUUUAGGGGUAAAGAGUUGGAGUAUGAAAUGAUUCGAUAAGGAUGCAAAUUUUAAUAAUGAACAGUAUUGAAGUUGGUAGCUAGAAUUGCAUUAUGUAACACCUACUUUAGGAAGUCGAUGCUUGUGUAUUUGGCUCACCAACAUAUAUGUGUUGAGAUGAAUUUGUAUAAUUUAUCAAUUCAUUGUUUGACCCACCAACUUUAAAUUAAUACUGACGAAGUACUUGAAUUGUUAUAUUUUAUCAACGCACCUCAAUUCUCUAUUCUUCCAAGGUUUUUAAUGCUCCAUUCGUUUACUUUGAAGACCACUUUUUUACUCAUCUAACUUCGAGCCCUUGACAACUUUGUGUAACCUUUGUUUCAUGAUUACACAAUAAAACCAUAACAUUGUAUAAAACAAUAAAUGCCAAGAUUUCUUAACUACAUGAUUUUCACAAACUAAAUUUAGUUACAGAAUCACAUACCUUAUCCAUGAAUGGUCUUCUAAGGGAUUGACCUUCCUUUAGAACUUAAUUAUUUUUCAUGAUGGAGAAGAGUAAACUACGUACUUGCGGUGAGAAAAUCAAUCCCUAAGGUUCUAUUUAUAGGCAUCACCCAUCAUGCAGUUUAAUUAGGGCAUUAUCUUUUUACCUAAUGAGCCUAAUAAAAUAGUAGGCCCCAAAAAGAUAAAAUAACAUAUAGCAUAUGAGCCCCAUUAAUAAUAAUAUUAUAUUUAAAAUAAAUCUAACAUUCUCUCACUUGCCCUAAUGACAUUAUAUACCAUAUACGUUCAUAGACAUAAUGCGCAAAAUUAAACUUCAUAGCAUAUCAUAUCAAGUCAAAGAAACUACUAAAGAAUCAUGACAGUCAUACAUCAUUGCAUUAACAUACUCCCUUCCAUGUAUUACUGAAAUAGUUCUUCAAUUAACAUGAUCUAUAAUAAAGAUAAUCAAUAAUUGUUCAACAAUAAGUGUCUUUAUCAAAGACAAUGUUCUGUUUAACAUAAUUCAUUUGUGUAUAUACUAAUCAUAAAAACAGAACCAUGAGAUAAAAUUAGAAACAAUAAAAAAAUGAGCUCAAAGUGUCAAAUAAUAUAAUCUUAAUUUUAGUAAUGAUAUCUACUAAUGUCCACACAUUUAACAUGAUCAUUGAAUGUCUUUGGGUGGCAAUCCUUUAGUGAGUAGAUUUGCAAUUAUAAGUUUAGUGCUAAUGUGUUUGAUUGUCACUCUUUGUUUCUGAACAACAAAGUAUUUUAAUUUCAUAAGUUUAGCACCUUUAGAAUACCUGUUGUUUUUUUAGAAGAAAACUAUUUCAUAAUUAUCACAAUAAAUUCUCAACGGCUUGACAAUACUAUCGACAAUCCAAAGUCUUGAGAUAAAGUUUUACAACUAUAAAACAUGAAUUAUAGCCUCAAAGCAUGCUACAAAAUUCAACCUAUAUAGUGGAUGCAACAAAAAUACACGGCUUCACACAUUUUAAUGAAAUUGCUCCUUCAGCUAAAUAGGAAUAAAAUAGCCAAAAGUGAAUUUUUGUGUAUCCACACACUCAGUAAAAUAUGAAUCGGAAUAUCCAAUCACCUUAAAAUGAUCGGAUCUCUUAUAAGUAAGCAUAUAGAACAAUGAUUAUAAUUAAACUUACUCCCGCUUAUCCUUAGGUAUUAUACAUCGAUCAAUGAUGUUUUCUUUAAAACCAAAAGAUGUGAUGGUAUCAUUGCACUUAAGAUACCAUUGUUUGGAAGCUUCUUUAGGUUCAUAUAUUGACCUCUUUAAUUUACACACCUUAUGUUCCUUUCCUUCAACCAUAAAACUUUCUUGAUGAUCCAUGAACACUUUGUCAUCUAAAUUAUUCCCAUUUAGAAAGACAAUUUUCGCAUCCAUUUGAUGAAGCUCUAAAUCAUAAUGAGCUACUAUAGUGAUAAUAAUAUUCUUAAUUAGUCCUUUCUUCGAGAUAGGAGAAAAUGUCUCUUUGUAGUCAAUGCCAUAUUUCUGAGUAUAACCUUUGGCAACAAGUCUAGCUUUGUGUUAUUCGAUAUUGCCAUUUGAGUCAAGUUUGGUUUUAAAGACCCGUUUACACCCAACUCUUUUACUUUUCCUUUAAGCAAUUUACAAGGUCCUAGACUUCUUUAUCAUUCAUUGAUUUUACUUUUUUCAUGGCAUCUAACAACUAAAUUGGCAUAAUUAUCUUCUUUAAUCGCCUAUGAAAACAAAAAUGGAUCAUUAUUAAUACUUAGGUCAAAUUCUGACUCAUGCAAAUAAACCAUAUAGUCAUCAGAAAUAGUUGAUAUUUUUUGUCUUACAUAUAUUCUUAACUCUAUUUCUUGUGGUCUCUUAGUUAUAGGUUUAUUUGUUAUAACAUCAUUAUGUGGUGUUUGACCAUUAAUUUAUUCUUCUUGACUCUGCUUGUAGAUUGUUAACAGAGUCAACAACUACAAGAACAACUUUAGAAGAAGUUAUAGAUGAAGGAAUUUCCACCCUAGCUUCUUAAAUUUUCACUUAACGUGGUUUCAAACUCUCACUAAUUACAUCAUUCCCAAUGAACCUUACAUGUCCAAUUUCAACUAUUCACAUACUAUGGUUAAGACAAUAAAAUCUCUACCCUUUUGAUUUUUCUUGAUAACCAAUGAAGACACCAUUGGUUGUUCUUGAGUCCAGUUUUCUUUCGUGUGGAUAAUAAAUUCUUACUUCCGCUUGACAACCCCAAACAUGCAGGUGUCUUAAACUAGGUCCUUACUAUCCAUAAUUUAAACGAUGUCUUUGGAAGUGACUUACUUGGAACCCUAAUUUUAAUAAAUAUUAAGCAUUUCUUAAUGCAUACAUCCACAAGGACACAAAUAAAGACAAAUUAUUUAACAUGCUUUUAACCAUAUUUAUUAAUGUAUGAUUACGCUUUUCUACAACACCAUUUUAUUGUGGUCUUCUUGGUAUUGUGUAUUGAGCACCUAUACCAUGACUUUAUAGGAAUUUAGCAAAUGGGUCAAAACAAUGUGUUUUCUCUUCAUACUUUCCAUAAAUUUUAUAAAAUUCUUGGCACUUUCAAUAUUGUAAUUAAUUGUGGACUUGAUAUUAUUUGCUACAUUCAUUAGCAUAAACUUUAGACUGAAUCUAUUUGAUCUUUCCAAGCUUUAUAGAAAGAUUUAUUCUCAUCACUGCUAGCAGAAGUAAGAGUUACAGGUUUCUCGCUUAAGAGUGUCAAAUCAAGAUUCAAAACUUCAAGAUGGAAUCAGAUUUGUUUAGACCAAAAAGAGAAAUUAAGUCUAUUAAACUUGAUUAACGAAAUAAAUAUACUUAUACAUUAUUGUUUUGAGAAAUAAACAUAAAAAUAUAACAUAGGUUCAAAUAAUAUUAAGCAACCAUUAAUAUAUACAUUGAAGUUCUUCUUGGAAAGAACAAUGUGCAAUAUUUAUACUUAACUAAUGUUAUAUUUAACUUUACAUAAUUGAUAAUUUAAAUGUUUAAAUUAGAUACAUUAGAAAUUUAACGUUCCUUCAUCUCCGAUCGUCUUGACAGUCAUCCAUUAGAAAUUAGAAAAAAAAAAAAAAAACAAUACAACCUGAUAACCCAACCCAACCCAUAUUUUACUGGUUGGAAUGUCUCCCAACCCAAUCCAACCCGAUUAUACCCCUACCUAUAAAGAUGUGAAAACCUUUCUCAACUAAAACAACUUUAGGCUCCCUCUAAAGAAGUGUAGUCUAUUAUAGAAUCAAGGUAGUCUCCAACAAACUACUUACAAUCAUUAUAUUCUAUUCUCUCAAAAUUUUGUUGAACGAACAAUCAAAAUUAUAUUAUCAUGUAUUUUUUUUUACUAUAAUGUUAGAUAAUAUAGUAAAACAUUUUCAAAUAGGUGUUAUUGUAGGAUGUGUGCUAAUACUUUCCCUACACUCAAUGAUCCCCAUACCUCUUUCUGGUCAAAUAAGAUUAGUUUUAAUUUAAAACAGGUGGCCAAUCACACUCUAAAUUGAUUGGUGGCGACUCCAAACCUUUUCCUUUGAAAUAGGCCCUAUAGUUAGGGGUGGGACAUGGACGACCAUUUAGAAUCGUGACAAAUAUGUUAUUGUCUCUUUUGAAAGGAAGCCUUUAUAACUCUAACUUUCUAAAGCCUCAAAUUAGUUAACCCAUUGAGAUAUUUAACAUUCAACAGGGAUAAAAUAAAUAAAUUGAACAAAAGAUCUAUAUCUUACUCUACCUACUUAUAGUUGAUCACUUAUUACUAGUCAUAUCAACUUCUAUAUAGUAGAGGAGAUCUAUUACUAACUAAUCUGGAGAUGUCUAACUAAACUUAAUCUUGACUCAAUAGUAAUAACAUGUGUGUAUUACAUGUAUAUCUUCCUUGGUGAAAUUUAUAUCAGCCCAAAAUAAACAGGUUCAAACAGCAAUUUCUAUAACUUGGGAGUAAAACUUUCUUUUAAUGAAUUUGAAUCGAAAGAUAGUCAAAUAGGGUGAACUUGUAUCGAUUGGCUUAAGUUUCCCAACCAAAUCGACUAUGGACUAUGGUUAUUGUAGUAUAUGGACUAUGAUUAUUGUAGUAAAUAUUCAAACUGACUCCGAUGCGAUUAUUGUUCAAUUUAGGUUGGUUUAAAGUUUUGAAAUUUAAAAAAAAUAUAUGACUUAGAUUUUUGUCGAACUAACAUCAAUCGAACUUCUCCUUAUUUUCAAGAGAUCACCUUCCAAAUUGAUCGAUUUUCAUCAUACUUAACCCUCGUUUCAAAUAUAAUUAUGAUUUAUGAGAGACUCUUAUCACCUUGGAUCGUAAUGAAGUUUUAAGAGUUCAAGUUAAACCCAUAAUGAAAUUUUAGGAAUCACAAUAGUUUAACAUUGGAUGGCAGAGCCACAGAGGAAGAGUAGUGUACAUCAAUCACAUUAUCAUAGAUUGAUUACGUUUCCUGUUGGGUUAAUCGUGACCAACAUUACCAAUUUGGAUGGGGUGGGGAGGAGAGAUAUUUUGGAAAGGCAUUUUUAUUAACAAAAUAAAAAAAAAGAAGAGAGGGAGAAAAAGGCAACUGAUAUUUUUUGUCUUUCCCCAAACCCUAUUGUGUUAUGAAAACACAAAAAAGCCAAACACAACCAUCGCCCCUUUUCGUUUACUGAAAACUCACUACAAACAAACAAACAGCACCAUAAAACCCAAAAGCAAAUAUUUCUUCCAAAUCAACAUCCGCCGGCUACUAAACACUUUAAGCAUCUGCAACUUCCGGUGACUCUCCCGCCGCCAGUAGCAACUCUUCCUCUUCAAGUCCAACCUUUCUUUCUCCCAUCUCUCCUUCAUCCCCAAUGCUGUUCGCCUCUCCCAAUGACUUUAGUGCCAAGUGUGCUGCCUUCUGCCCUGAUAUCAUCAUCGCCCCGAACGUUGGCCCCUAUGAAUGGCACAGUUUAAGACUAAUAAAUAUGGGUAUAACGAAAUCUUUCGGUGGUAGCAUCUAAUGCAGAUAGCUACCGGAGUAAACAAGUUAGUAGUGAUAGACCCAGAUAAACUCUGAAAAGUGUAAACUCAUCUAAAUGCUGCUAUAUUUUACUGUAUCAUGAUUAUUAAACGGUCUAAAGCAAUAAUCUCUCUCUAGUUAAUUUGUUUACCAUUCUUGGAGCUCCAUCGAUCUCCGCAACCUCCAUGCCGGUGACAAUCAUGCCAGGAACGACCUCUCGAGUGAAUCGAACAAUGGCAUCCUCAGCAGUGUUCAUGUCAAGGGCCUUCAUUCCCGGGACACUAUCAAUCAUGCCGAUGCUCUUGAGGCGCUUGACUCCGGUAGCGCCAAAAGGUCCAUCGUGGCCACAAGAGCUCACAACCACCUUAGCCUCCAUCACAUUGGGGUCCAUGCAGGACUGCGUGUCAUGGUUCAUUGACACAAGAGCCCAGUUGGUGACAACACCGCCAACUCUGCCGCCCUUGACAAUCAAAUCCUCUGCCGCCACGGCGUUGAACAGCUUCACGUUCGGCCGGGCCAAGAGCUUGCUCAUGAUCGUCGACGUGAACAGAGCCGCGUGCUUUAUCACGACAUAGUCGUCUUGCUCGUCAUACUCCACACCCACCUCAUCCAAGAACAAAUGAGCUGGCUUACGAACCACCUAUCAAACAUUAAAUUUAACCAACAUCAAUCAGAUGAACAAGAUCAGAAUAUUUGUCUGCGAUGAAAAUUAAUCUAAUUUUUUAGGGGAUCACAAGAUCUGUAAACUAUUUCCCCUCAAAUUAAUGAUUAUGAUAUUAGUUUCUGGGUUUCUUUAUUUCUGAUCUCUAUUAAAAAGAAAUGAUUUUUUUUAGUCCAAAUACGGCAUGCAUGAAAGCUGAUUGGGUGAUUUUCAAAAUUUUGGUAUUUUCAAGAAAAGAACAAAACAUAAAAUAAAAACAGAGCAUCCAUUCAAAUUUGGAAAGUGAACUUGUUACCAUAGCAGAGAAGAGUUGGCCGCCGAGCCAUGCACCGCCACCGGGGCUGACGGAUUGUUCGAUGAUGGCAAUACGAAUAUUGGGGUUUUUGCUGAGUUCGUAAGCGCAAGAGAGGCCGGCGGAGCCAGCGCCGACGAUGACAACGUCAGUAUCAGCGUAGGUGAUCAUAUCGGUCAUGUAUCGACGGGUCAUCUCUCGAGAGACAAUAGAUUCUCUGAUAGGGUUGAAUUUGAAUUGGUUUAAAUCGUAGGGAGGCUGAGAGGCGGAGGCAGAGAUGGUGAGGGACGUGGCGGCGGUGGAUUUGAGGCGGAGAGAAGAAGGAGAGGCGAGAGGUGUGCCAUGGAAAGAGGAAUCAUGAAGUAAAGAAGGUUUUUGGAGCUUGGUGGUGAGAGUGGAGGCAAUGGAAGCCAUUUUUGAAGCAGAGGAAAACAGAGGAGAUUGUAGUUUGGUGUGGGGAAGAAGAGGGGAAGGAAGAAGGGUUUUAUAGAGGAUAUUGAAGAAUGUAACAAUAUCUUACACGCUUGCAUGUAUGAUGCAUACAUUACCUAUGCAUGUAUUUCAAACAUUGAUGCAUAUAAUCGAGAUUUUCAUUUAUCCAUGUAUUUCUCUUUUUACUUUUUUUAACAUAUGAUAUAUUAAACAUAGGUUUAGCAAUAAGUAACUAAAAUUAGUGUUAUUGUAAUAAAAUUACAUUAAUUUUGAUCAUAUUUACUUACACAUUUUACAAAUGUCUUAUCCAAAUAGUUCACUUUAUGUUGUCUUCUUACUAUUGCUCUUAUUAUCAAGGGUCAACAUAUUUAUAAUUCUCUUCUUCUAAUAGUAACACCAUAAUAUCCCCUAAUGAGUUGCAUGUAAUUUCAAAUGCAUUUAGAGAUUGGUCAUCUUAUCUCUAUAAUUAGAUUGCAUUACAAAUUUGUUUGUGAGGACACCAUUUUUUCUACAAUUACAGAAUAAAUGUAAACAACAAACCUAAUUAAAUGAGACACCCUUUUCAAAUUCUCGUUUGAUUGGUUACAUUUUCCGAGUGUAUAGUCACUCUAAUUUUAUACUGUUGCAACCAAUCCAAAACCAAAUCAAAUUAAUUGACUUUAUUAAAUAGAGAACCAAAGAUGCCCAAUAGAAGAUAGAAUCUUUUUUUUUUUUUUUUUUUUUUUUUGGGUUUCUAACCAAUGGAGUCUUCUUUUCUUUCAACUUUUACUUUGAAUGGGUUACCUUUUUUUACCAUUUUUAUAGAUAAUUAUGAAAAAAGAAGUAUCCAUUGGCAUAAUAUUUGAGUUUAUUAUCACUACAGUUUUCAAGCGAUACGCUUUCUAUCCAAAUUGAAAUGGUUGGAUUUUGAUUGAUUUCUUGAUAAAAGUUCAAACCAAAAGAAUAAACUUUUUUAUUAUCUCUAAAUAAUAAAAAAAAAAAAACCCCAAUCAAAACAAGAAAUGAACUUGAUUGAAUUUGAAUUUGUUUUGUUUUUAUUUUCUUGAACUCGAGUGUAAGGAGUAUCCAAAAAUUAGGGUAAGAAAAGUUCAAAUAUUUGUUAAGUUGGGAAGAGAGAAAAUAUCUGGAAGGGGACACGUGGGAAGAAGAUAGGAAAUGAAGGGCUGAGAAUGAGGUGAUGGUGUUGGACACGCGGCAUCCAUGGCAGCCAUUUGUUAUUUCUUUUCUUUUUCUUUUGCCAAAAUGAGAUUUUUUUUUUUCUUUUUCCCAAUAAUAUGAUAUGUUUGUUGAUUUGCAAAAUAUGGAUUUGUGAUUGUGAAUCAUGAUAUGUCCGUUUCUUUCGUCAAGAUAUUUCACAUAAUCUUGUAAAAGAAAGAGAUGUUUAUAUAUAGGCCACUCAUUUUGCUUUUUACUCUUUAAACCAUUGCUACACAUUUUAAUGCGUCUUUUCAAAUAAUAAUAUUUAUGUUUAUUAAUCAUUGAUAUUUUUUUGUAUCUACUUUAAACAAGAUUAAGUAUAGAGAAAAUACAUUUACAUAAGGAAAUAUUUACAAAUUAGGAUCUAAAUGUAUUCUAUUUCCCUAAUUUAAACAACUAUAUAAUUUACGAUCACACUCUUUCUCAAACUCAAGGCGGUAAUGUAGCAAUCAACUUGAGUUUGUUAACCAAUUGAAGAAAAUGGCUAGAAGCCAAAGCUUUAAUGAAGAUAUCAACUGGUUGUUCAGUGUCGAAAUGGAGUGUAAGAGAAGAUUGGUGCUUCGAAGAUUAUGACAAACAAAAUGAUAAUCGUUUUUAAUAUGGUGGGUACUCUCGUGGAAGACAUCAUUGUGAACAAUAUGCAUGGUAUUAUAAUUAUGUCUUUAUACCCUUCUCUCGGCUCAAGCCUUUACCACACUCUUUUGUCAAGUUGCAGUUGUGCAGAGAAAUCUCAACGCACUUAGUAGUUACUAUGAAUUUCACUACGCAUAAUGUGUCUUCCAAUGCUAGAUCACAUAAAACGCAAAGGGUAUUCUAUACCAAAUCACAUAGUAGGUAUGAGAGACAUUUCAUACUAGAUCACACAACAAGUAUGAGUCAUCCUAUUCAAUAUCACACAAUAUGAAUAGGGCAUUAUACUCCAGAUCACACACUAGAAAUAGGGCAUCUCAUCUUAGAUCACACAGCAAGGACAAAACAUUCUAUCGCAUAGGGUACAAAAAUUAUCUUUUUCUAGGAAACAUUGAUUUCUCAUUUUCAUGUAAUACUAGCAUCAUCAAUAGCACAUGCCACAUAGUUUAACGUAAUUGCCUUAAAGGGACUUAAAGAGAUUGUUUUCAAGCAUUUCUUUUCAUUUGAAGGUUAUUCGAUAAGAUACUUUAUUAUGUACUCAAUCACCUUUUAUUAGUUUCAUAAUGAACCAAAUUCAUACAUAAGUCACACAUGUUUAUGGGAGUUGAAAAAGUAUAAGGAAAUCCAUGUAAACAAAUUUGUAAUAACGAUAGUUUUAAGGGUUCAAACAUAUUAGAAAUCCCUUUAUAUAUUUGAAAACAUUUGCAAGGGAGGAAAACCACUCACUGCUGCAGUGAGCUAGCUCUUCCUUCUAGCUUCCUUGACCAAGAGUUCUCCUGUGCUUUUCAGAUUCCUUGAAGGAAUGAGUUUUUCCUGCACCUUGAGACUUUGGUUAUCCUCCCCGUUCUCUCUUAAGAAACUUAAGGUAAAAACGUCUUCAGUUCGGUCUAAAAUCCUCAAUUUAUAUGUCUCUCUGGUGAAUUUUUUCAUGUCGAAAUGAUUACGCUUUACCGACGGUGAGGAGUGGCCUAAUCUCGAAAUGCCAUGUAUCUCUGUCCAAUCCUUAUCCUGAUCUAGAUUGGGUGGCGAGUCCAAUCAAUCAUCGACCUACUAACAUUAGGGUCACAUCACUGUUUCUUGAUGAGGUAGGUCAGAAUUGUCCAACUGUUCGACGCAUAACCUUCUUUGCAUGGGGACUUUCUAUUGCAUGAUCCUUUAGCGAGGCAUGGUUUACUAUCAGAAGUCUCUUUGCAAAACAUUCUUACCGCAAGGGAUUCCUUGUAUUGGGGGUACGCAAUCAGGGCCUUACACGCGAUUAGACAUUUUCCUUUAAAACACUAACCUUAUCUUCUUGGAGUGCUCAAUUCUUUAUCGCUUGACUCUCUUCUCGAAAAACAAUAGAACAUUUACUUUACCUCAUACGGUUGUCUAGUCAUCUCAUACAAACAUCCAUCCUUUCAAUAGAACACCUACUUCAUCGCAACAACACUUAGGUGCAAACACUUCUCCUCGAGUUACUACAUAGGACAUCUAGUUCUUUGCGUUAAAUGCAUGUUUCUUCUUUCCUAGCUAAUCAUCGCCUUGCUUCAAGGCAAUAGUUACUAUAAGUAUCUCUCGUUGUGUCACCUCUCCUUAAAGGCACCCUUCAUCGCAUAAUGCUUUUUACUUACAUUUAACUAAAAUGACUCUUAUUAACAGGGCUCCUCUUCAACAUGACUCACUUUCUCCAGAUUAGAGCCUCAAGUGGACUAUUGAGGUACUCUCAUAUCCGUAAGGAUCCAUGGAAGUCAUGAUAGUUAUAAAGUAGCAUUAGCAGAAGCCCAAUAUUAUGAUUUAGUGCUGGAAAAGAAGACAACAUUUUGCUUUUUACCCUACCAUGAUAUUAUGGGAUUACUUAAAUAGAAGGAAUAAAUGAUGGUGGAGUGUCGAUCAUUAGGAUCAUCAACCCAAUCAACAUCAAAGUACCCAGAUAACACCAGAGGUGUCGAGAAGAGAAAUGAAAUCUAUGUCUCAAAGUACCUUUGAGGUAGUGAAAAAUGUUCCAUCAACUUACUAACAAUGUGCACAACAUAUGCAACGUUAGGACGAAUCACUAUCAGAUAAAUGAGGAUGCCAAUAAGUUGCCUCUAAAGAUUGAUAUCAUCAAGAGGAAUACCCUCUUACGGUGUCAAGUGGACAUUGGGAUCAAGAAGUGUUGGUGUCUUGAUGGAGUAAAUGAUACGGAGCAGGCUAAUAGAUCAGAGACAUUUGGCUUGAGAAAACAAGUAACCAUCAAGACAUGUUGAUACCUCAAAAACAAGAAAGUAAUUAAGAGAGUUUAAGUCUUUCAUUUGAAUAACUAAGAUCAUGAUAUCUACCGUUGCAACACUAAGAUAGCCCGAGGAUCAUCACCACUGAUAAUCUUGUCCAAUACCAUGAAGAAAAAUUAGAGAAUUUAUGACGGAAGAGUUUACAAGUUUUUUUUUACAAAAUGUAGUUCCAAAUUAUUGUAUGAAUAAGUGCUUGCGAAAAGAACUUCUAAUUUUUUGGAGGGAAAGCCGUUUUCUUCAAAUAAGAUGUCUUGAAACUUGUGGUUUGUUAACAACAAACAUAUUAUAUUUACAUAGUAAAGUUUUUAAAAGGUUAUUAAAUAAAAUUGUUAUUGAACAUGAAUGAAUUGCUUAUUUCAUAAUAGAAAACCAUAAAUCUAAUAAACUAAGAUCUAUGGUUAUGAGUACGAGUACUUGAACUUUAUGUAAUAAUGUAAGAAACUCCCAAUGAAGUGAGAACUAUGUUGGGUGUUGGCCUCAUCUUCUAACGGGAGAAGUCGUCCAGAAAUGGAUUGUGAAAUUUGUGAUGGAGACAACUCCCAAUGAGCCAAAGGAUGCCAUUGGGAACUCGUCCCAACCCUCGACGACAUUCAUUAAUAAGGCGAAGAUGAUAUGAACUGAUUUUGGCUUGAUCCAGGUAGGUCCAAAAUGCUAGAUAUUUAUUAAUUGAUUAACUAGUUUCUUGAUUGAGUCUAAUGAGUACUGUGUAACUAAUAGUAAUAGUAAUGAACCAAUCCUAUAGAUUAAAAUCAAGUAGGUUUUGCAUGAAAAUCCCAUAAUUUUAUAACAUUAUCAAAAGCUUUGAGUUGAAAAUGGAUAGUAGGAAUAGAUAUGUUAUCAAUCCAAGUGAUAAUUUGGUGAUUCUUACUGUCUCAAUCUUUUCGUCAUUUAACAAACAUACUAUCAUCUUUCUUGUCCAAUGUAGUUUGUUUAGCAACAUCACCAAUGAAAAUUUUCCGUAGUCUAUGUUCAAUUAAAAAAAAUUCGUUUGAUGGGUUCAUGCAUUUAAGAUAAUUGGUCCCAUCAACAACAGUACUAAUAGAACAAAAAAUGUGAUUUUUUUCAUUAAGGACUGAACAUAAAUUAACCACCAAAAUACACAACAAGAUUGAAAACAAACAAAUCUAAGUUAAAUCACAACGAGCAGAGACUAAAGUGCCAAUGAUCAGAAUAGGUGCAGGACCAGUUAGAAGCUGGAAUGAGUAGACGUAGAAUAUGUUUAGAUAGUUAUGAUAUAUUAUUUAAUUUAAACACCAGGUGUUUGUGAUUAUAUUUAUUUUUUCACUGAAAAGACACCAUCAUAUGAUUGGAGAUAUUUUCUUUUCACUUAUAUACAAUCAAUUAAUGAAUGAAAAAUAUGGUGUUAAUUAACAAGGUAUUAGUUGUGAAGUAUUAAAUAAUGGUAAAAAUUGAAACAAAUUUGUUUUGUAUUUUGGUAGAAGAGAUAUUAUUAAAUUGAGAAGGGGUAUAUCUGCUAUCACAGUCAUGAAAAAGAGAGAAAUUAAAGUGGCGAUGGGUAGCUACAUCACAUCUCAACUUGCUCCCCUCCAUCCACUAUUUUUCGUCUUCUUUCUUCUUCGACGUGAGGAUGAACUAUCAUUGGAUUUAGAGGUGGUCCAUACAACUUCAAGAUUUUUUUGGUACCAAAAUCACUUUAUAAAUUAUAGUCUAAACCAUGUUACUCUACUUUUUUUUUUUUUUCUAACAUCUCCCUCCUUUCAACAAUAUUUUUAUUGUAUCUUACAAAAAUAUAGAAGAAUAAAAUAUCACUAAUCUACUUACAAUAUAAAUAUAAUAGACAAUAGAUAUGUAACGAAAUAUUUAUGGAGAAUUAUUGUCAAUUGCAAACGUUGUGAAAAUAUUUAGAAAGUUUAGCAAGAUCUAUAUGUGAGAUUUUUCUAUAUUUUUUAAGUAUUUUUAUUUAUUUUGCUAUAUUUGAAAUGAAUACAAGGUUUAUUUAGUGAUUUAAAUUAAAUUUUUUUAUUUUUAUAGUUUUUCUAGAAAUGUUCAACCAUAUAGACUAAAUUUAUGUAAAAUUAGCACUUUCAUAUUUUUGUAGAUAUCAACAUUUUAAUCCUUCAUUUUAAGCAUGAGAUUUAACUAAUCAUGUAUCUAUAUUUUAUUAUUUUAUGUUCUAUUUUAGAUUUGUACUCUCUUCUGCAUUUUCAAUAAAUCAUAAAUUAGUCCUAGUUUACUAUAGUAAAGCUAAUUUUUUUAAAAAAUAAUAUAGCAAAAAAAAAUUCUCUAACCAAUGCAAAAAAAUCCAAAAUAUCUAGCUUACUUCUCUCAACCAUGAUCAUUGUCAAUACCUAAUAGACAUUGAUAGUCUAUUAUUACUAUUUAUGAUAGUCUAUUACUCUAGAGUGUCUAUAACUGAAUAGUUGGUUGUUAAUAAGAAAGUUGAUGAUGAUUGUUCUUAAUCUUAUGCUCCUUAAUUUGGUUUUAAGGAAUUAGUUGUCAUUUAAUAUUUAUUGAAAAUAUAUAUUGUUAUUGGGAGAGAGCAAUUUUGAAAGUAUUCUCUAGACUUAAGCAUAUUAAUUUCUUCUUACUCGAAAAGAUAAAAGAAAACAUGUGUAUUUGAAUUAUCUUAAAAACAUUAAGAUCUAGGGAUUAAAAGAAUGCAAGAGCUUGCAUUGAUGGUGGUACACAUGUGUUCCCUACACCUCAAAAUCAACCAUCAUCUCAAGUAGCUCAAAAGGAAAUUAAAGGUCGAAGCUAUAGAGUAGCAAGAAGGAGCUGAGUAUUAAAUCAUUUUGGGUUGUAUAUAUACAUAAUAGAAAUCACUCCAACUCAAUUCAGAAGACGUUUGAAACCAAGAAUUUCUAACCUAAAUUUCAUUAGCUUAUUUGACAUCAUUAGUCCGCCAUCUAAAGUCAUGGCUUAUUCAUCUAUAAAUAUAAGCUACCUACAACUUUUGAGUUGUAUAACAAAAUUUUAAGAGAUUAAGGGAUCAAGUUUAGAGAUUAAAAUUGAAUAUUUUUUAAAGUUUAGAGACCAAACUAAAAUAAGAUUCAAAGUUCAAUAGGGGAAUAUCAAAUUUAAACCAAACUAAAUACGUUUUUUACAUACUGAUUUGUAUUUAUUUUUUAAAUAACCAAAACAUUUUCAUAGUGGGUUUGAUGUAAACCAAAUUGGAGAGUUUUACUAAUGUUUAAAAGUUGUUAAUAUAAGAAGAAAAGUACUCUAUUUAUAGCAAACUGUUAAAUGAAAAUUUUGAGUAAACAAGUAUUUACUAUUAUUUUAUUCAACACAUACAUUUCCACAUUGCUAAGAAGUCUCCUUUAUAAACUCAUAGAUCCGCUCAUGGGUUUGGGCCCUAAAGACACUCAAGUUUUGGAAGGAGUGAGUAGAUAGUUAAAUGUAGAUAUGCUUAUAUCUCCACGUGCACCACCACUGCCGUCUGUCGAGUGAGGCGAGGAGGAAUAAAAUAAUAAUAUAUAUAAUUUUUGGUAAAUUAAACACUUUCCAAAGUCGAAAUAAUAUCCAAAUUAAAUGGUAUUUAUCAAUCAAUUUUCUUUUGUGUUUUAUAACCAUUGGUUGCCUCCACACUCACUAUAUAUAUCAAUCUAAUUCUUCUCUUCAAUAUACAGAAAUUAUAUAUAUUAAUGAUGAAUUGGACUCUCUUGAAUUCAAUAGAACUUGGCACCUAGUUGACUUACCUGACCUUAGCUGCAAAGCAAUAGACUGUAAAUGGAUUUUAAGGAAGAAACUCAAACCUGAUAGAUCAAUAUAUAAGUAUAAGGCUAGACUAGUAGCAAAAGGUUUUAGGCAGAGGAAAAACAUAGAUUUCUUUGACACCUUCUCUCCAACCACUGAUUUCUAUAGUUUUCAUUAACAAUCUCUUAAUACAUCAAAUGGAUGUUAAAAACUGCUUUCCCUAAAUGAUGAUUUAGAAGAAGAGAUUUAUAUGGAACAACCUUAAGAUUUCAUAGUUCACCGUUAAGAAUCUAAAGUUUAUAAAUUAGAUAAAUCCUUCUAUGGCCUAAAACAAGCUCCUACGCAAUGACACGAAAAGUUUGACAACUUAAUCAUUUCCAAAGGAUUCAAAAAAAUGAGAGUGACAAAUGUAUUUACUAUACGACUGAAGAUAGAUUAUGCACUAUCAUAUACUUAUACGUAGAUGACAUGUUAAUAUUUGGAUCAAACCUACACGUCAUAAAUUAUGUAAAAUCAAUGUUGAGCACAAACUUUGACAUGAAAGACUUAUAAGAAGAUAAUGUGAUCCUAGACAUCAAAAUUACCAUAACUAAAAAUGAAAUGUUCUUAGAUCAAUCUUAUUACAUAAAAAAGAUCCUAAAGAAGUACAAAUACUUCGAAAGCAAACCAGCUUGUACACCCUAUGACUCUAGUGUUAAAUUGUUCAAAAACACUGCUGGCAGUGUUAACCUAUCAGAGUACGCUAGUAUCAUAGGUAGUUUGAGGUAUGCUGUUGAUUGCACUAGACCAUACGUAACUUACGCUGUAGGAUUACUAUGUAGGUUUACCAGCAAAUCUAGUCUAGAACAUUGGAAUGCUAUAGAAAGAGUAAUGAGAUAUCUUAAGAAAAUACAAAAUAUAAGAUUACAUUAUCAAAAGUUUCCCGCUAUACUUGAAGGUUACAACAAUGUUGAUUGAAACUUUCUCUUAGAUGACUCAAAGGGUACAAGUGGCUAUAUUUUUAAUAUAGCAGGAGAAACUGUUGCUUGAAAAUCCAAGAAACAAACAAUAUUAGCCUAGUCAACGAUAAAGUUAGAGAUGAUAGAACUAGCUACUGCUAGUGAAGGAGCAAACUUGCUAUAAGAGAUUCCCACACGGGAAAGAUUGGUACCGGCAAUACUAAUCCAUUGUGAUAGUACUACAACUAUCGCAAAAGUUCAGAAUCAUUAUUAUAACAGUAAGAGACGACAUAUACGUCGUAAACACAUUAUCAUUAGAGAUUUUCUCACUACUGGUGCAGUGAUAAUAGAUUAUGUUCGAUCUGAUGACAACUUGGCUGAUUCUUUGACGAAAGGACUAGCAAGAGAGAAGGUCUUUAAAACGUCAGAAAGAAUGAGACUCAAAAUUUAUAGAAAAUUUAAUUACUUGUGAGGUAAACCCAACUUGAAAGACUGAUCCCAAGAAACAAGUUUAAUGGGUAAUAACUGAUCACAAGCAAUAUGAUGAAAAUCAUGCUAAAAUAUUAGAAGUUCCAUUCUUAUGAUUGAAUAAUUAGCAUGACAUCCUGAAGUGUAUGAGAAGGCUAAACUUUGUUCUUAAUGAAAUAUAUACUUGAUAUCAAGUAAGGUACCUAGCUACAUAAGUACUCUUGAUAGCUUCACCUUUGUGAAUGUGGAAGUGAGAGUUGCUUCCUUUGGAAUUUUGGACAAAUUCCUAGAACAUUCACUAAACCGGGUUAUACGUGCAAGGCCAUAAAUCACAAGCUAUUUUAGAACUUCACUCGAAUAAUGUUGUGUGGACAAUAGUAUUAGAAGUAAAGUUCAAAACUACAAGUUACUUUACAAUACUCUAAACUGUUGUCACUACUUAAAGGUUCAAGUCAUUAGACACCUUUACUUAAGCACAAUAUUAUAGAGAUAGACACUGAUCGAUGGAAACGUUUUAAAACAAUUUCAAGUGGGGGACUGAUAGUAUGAAUAUUUCAAGUGGAAAAUUGUUAAAUGAAAAUUUUGAGUAAGCAAAUAUUUAUUAUUAAUUUAUUCAACACAUGCAUUCCUGCUAGUAAUGUGGAUGUCUACUUUGUAAACUCAUAGAUCCAUUUAUGGGUUUAGACCCUAAGGGCACCCAAGUUUUGGAAGGGGUGAGGAGAUAGGAAAAUAUAGAUAUACUUAUAUCUCCACGUAUGCGCACCCCGCCAUUGUUGGGUGUGGAGGAAUAAUAUAAUAAUAAUAUAUACUUUUUCUAAACUGUUUUCUUAUUAUAAACAUUUUUGGUAAAUUAAACACUUUCUAAAACUGAAACCGUAUUCAAAUUAAAUGGUAUUUAUCAAUCAAUUUUAUUUUGUGUUUUAUGAUCGUUGGUUGCCUCCAAAUUUACUAUAUAUAUGAGUCUCAUUCUUCUCUUCAAUAUACAGAAACGAUUUCUCUCCCAAAAAAUUUCUUCUGAGCAUAUGAGUGUUUAUCUGAGUGUUGUGAAUUCUGAUUAGUUUUGAUAUAAAACUAAUUGAAGAACGAUGUAUUUUAUCAUGGGGACGUCGAGGCAAUCAAACUGUUUUGGACAAAGGAGCAGAGACGCAAAACGUCUUAAAGAGAGCGAGAUUCGCGACUCAACCAUUUUCUCAAAAGUUUUUGUUUUGUAGUUUGCGUUUUGACCAAGCGUUUGACCACUAGGCGUUUUGAUCAAUUGGCGAGAUAGUCAGUAAGCGAGAUAAGUUGAGGAGGUGAUAACUAGGCGACUUGGUCAGACGAGAUACCAGUACAUUACACGAGAUACAAGGCAAAGAAGCACGCAUUUUGUCUAGACAUUUUGCCUAGGCGUUAAGACUUCUCAUUGCAUCACUCCUUCGAGUCAAAAAGCAACAACACAAACUAAUCCUAAUCCUAAUUAAUAAAAGAAACUAAUCUUUAAUCCUAAUAAAUAAAAGAAACUAAGCCUAAUCCUAAUAGAUUAAGGAUUUUAUCAUAAUAUCCUAUUCCUACUACAUCAUUCUAUAAAAAAAAAAACUCGUCCUUAAGUUUUAAAAUGAAAAUGAAUGUGAAAAUAAUAAGUAAACUAGUCGAAUAAUAUCCCAAUUUUGUGAUACCUAACAAUCAAUUCUAGAACUAAUACGAUAAAGAAGAACUCCAUUGUCAAAGAAUAUGCAGAUUUAUCAAAAAAAUAAACUAUCACUCAUUUUGUAACUGUGAUGAAAGUUCAAUUGUGGUUGAGUUUUUAAUUCUUCAAUAGGUUUCAAUUUGGGUCAAAUAGAUUAUAGUAAGAGAUAACGCGUAAAUAGCAAAAUAGUAAAUAACAAACUAAAAUGUAGCAAAUUUAAGAAAUAUUAAGAUUUAUAUCAAAAACGCCGGUUGCUGAUUUUUUUUUUUUUACUUUUUUAUACCCAAUUAUACUCUUUUAUAUAAGACAGUUUAUUUCUCACAUAUAUACAAUGUAUUUGAAUAGAUCAAAAAAUGAGACAGAAGAUCACAGAUUCACUAGCACAAUGUAUUUGUUAACAACAUUCAACUUUGGUAAGUCUUAACUAAAUAUGAUAUUUUAUUGCUGAAGAAGAUUGCACUAACAUCUCUUAAAAAAUAUGGCUGUAAUUUCUUUUAGAUUUUCGGAUGCUUAGCAUUUAAAUCAAUCAAUUAACAAUUUAUUUCUAUAAUUCAUAAUAGAUAUAUUUAAUAACGAUUUGAAUUCAAAUUUUGGAUAAUACCCCUAAAAUAAUAGUAAAGAUAAAUUCAAUAAUUUGGAUUCUUUAUAUUUCAUACUAUUUAUCAAAAUUUUAUUAAAUAAUAUAUAAUACAUAUUUUUAAUAACAAUUUAAAUUCAGAUUUUAUACCAUCCGCUAAAAUUGUCAAUUUGAAUUUAAAUGUUACAUAAUAUCCCUAAAAUAUUGGCGAGGAAAAAUUCUUAAUAACAAUUUGAAUUUAAAAAUUAAAAUUAAAAUUGUUUAAUUUAAAAUUUAACAACUUAUAUUUAAAAAAAUAUAUAAAACAUUUAUUAAAUAAUACAUGAUACAUAUUUUUAAGGGGAAUUUUUAAAAUAGUAGAUUUUACAAAAUAUUUACAGCUAUAGAAAAUUAUAAUUCUAUCACUCAUAGUCAUUUACAAAAUUUUGUUAUAGCUCAUAAAUAUUUUAAUUUAUUUUGUUAUUUUAAAAAAUGCUUCUAUUUUUAAUAAUAGUUUGAAUUUUAAAAAAAUUAUUCGUGAUAAUUUCUAUUAUCAACUUAUUUUGGUUGAUUUUUAAUAACAAUUUAAAUUUAAAUUUUACAUCAACCCUCUAAAAUAAUGUAAAAAAUGAAUACACCAUUUUUAGGAUUUUUAUAUUCCAAACAAUUUAAUAAUAUUUUAAAUUCAAAUUUUAGAUCCCAAAAUAAUGCCAAUUACGAUUGUCCAUUUAUUUUUACCAAUUUGAUAACAACUUCAAUUUUCUUAAUUUAACCAAAUCAAUUUAAUUUAUUUUUACCAAUUUGAUAAGAACUUCAAUUUUCUUAAUUUAACCAAAUUGAUUUAUUGGUUAAGUUGGUCAGGUUUGAUUGUGUUGAUUUUCUAUAGAGUUACAAUGUACUUAUACAUACUUUCUAGAUUAGUUUCACAAUAUUUGACAUAAUGUAUAGCAUAUGUUGCUCACAAAAUUACAAUGUAAUUUUAUGCUUUUAAAUAAUGUGAUAAACUAGUCGUUCUAUAUUACGAUCACAUGUUCAAAUAUUAAUAUUUAUUUGCUCCUAUAAUAAUGUACUUUUGCAAUUCAAAACAGUUACCAUUAUAAUAAUGUACUUUUAAUUAAUGCGAUAAACUAGUCGUUCUAUAUCACGAUCACACGUUCAAAUAUUAAUAUUUAUUUGCUCCUAUAACCAUGUACUUUUGCAAUCCAAAAAAGUUACCAUUAAGAUAAUUUGUUACAAAACCAACAAUAAGAACUAUUUCCUAAAUAUUGACAUUGAAUCAUAAUCAUGGUUGUUUAAUUAACCGAACUUUAUAAUAACCCAUAGAAUUAAGAUUUUCCAAACAUAGUAUAUGUUGAGUAUGAAUGAUGUUAUAAACAACAAACUUGGGACACAAACAAAAAGUAAAAUUUUGGUCAUCAAGAUAUAGUAUCAUUCCAUUGGGUAUAAGAUAAUCAGAUAUUUCAAAUAGAGUGUAUUUGAAUAGCUCAAAAAAAGAGACAGGAUAUUAAAAAUAGCACGAAAACAAUGUAUUUUGCAAACAACAUUCAAAUUUGGUAGACUUAACUAAAUCUGUUAUUUUGUUGCUCGACAAGAUUGCAGCAACCUCUCCUAUAAUAAUGACAAAUAUAUCUACCAGAUUUUGAGGUUUGUUAUAUUUUAAACCAUUUAUUAGUAAUAUCAGUAAUUAUUACAAUUUCUUAAAUGACCUUAAAUAUAUUUUUUCCUCUCCCUUGUUUCUUUACCAAUUCAUUAAGCAUUAUAUCUUGUAAGUUAAUCACUAAGGAUAGUUUAAUUUUAACAAAUCACCAAUCUUAAAGACAUUUAAGUUGAAAAAUAAAUACUUCCAAAAUAUGUGUUGUUAAUAACAAUUUGAAUUUAAAAUUUUAUCAACCUUAAAUUCGUGGUUGAUGUCCCAAAAUAAUGGAAAACAUAAAUUCAACAUUUUUGGAUUAUUUAUAUUUUAAAAUAUUUAUAAAAAUUUGAAUUUAAAUACCUCAACAAUACAUAUUGUUAAUAACAAUUUGAAUUUAAAAUUUUAUGAUCCCCUAAAAUCAUGCUAAUUGGUUGGUUUUUAUUUUAAAAAACUAUUUUAUCGUGCAAAUUGCAUUGAAUAACUAUGUUGAGACAUUGUGUUUUUAAAUUACGUUAAUAUUCAUGUUUAUCUUCGUUAGAUGUUUUCUUUUUUGUGUUACAGUUUUUGUCAAAAGCUUUCAAAAUGGCUUUUAUGUUUAGGACAGAAUUGUAAUUAUACUUCAUCUCCUUCUUUAGGUCUUAUAAAUUAGAGAAAAGAAAAGAAGUAGGACAAAUAAGAAGAGGGGGCUGCAAGCUAAAAAAACACAGUAGAGAGAGUUUUUUCUAGCAAAAAAGAUUGAUAGAGAAGAGUGCAGUGCGGCGAUUUUCGGUGUUCCAACAUAAAGAGAGACGUUGGUCGACCGAGAGGAAGACGUCAGAGGUUUAGCCAUUGGGUUUUGAGGCAGACAAAAGCUAACGAUUUUGUGGCUUUACAACGGCUACAACGUUUGUUUCGAUAGCUUCGCGAUGGGUUUAACGACUGGUUAACUAUGGUUUUCGAGCUGACAGAGGUUGGUUUAGUCGUGGGUUCUUCUUGGGGCAAUCGACGCAAGUGACAAACAUAGUGAGAGAGAGUUUUUGUGCAAACAAGAGAGGAGAAAAGUACAAUCAACAAAGAGGAAAACAUCACAGUUUCAACGUCAAUGGCGAGAUGAACAUCUCAAAGUCUUUGGUCGGAGGAGGCGGCAAGAUGAAAAUCCUAAAGUCUCCAGUCAGAGGAGCCAACAAGAAGAAAAUCCAAGUAUGAAAACUUUGAUGGGUUUAAAGGAGACGAGUUGGAAGCUCCAAUAGAUUUUGAAAAAGUUUGAUUUUGAUAGGUGUUAAUUGUGUAUUGGGAGUUUGAUUUUAAUAAUUGGGUAUUUAUGGUUCUUUUAAUAAUUGUAUUUAUGAUUCAAUUUUUUCAGUUAGGUAGGAGCACUCGAGACAUUGUUAUAGCAAUUAUUUUUCCAUAUUUUUUCGAUUCGGUUAUUUUAUCAAUUUAAAUAAAAAUUUGUCAUUUAUUCAAAAUAAACCCAAUAUUUUUCUAUUUUUCUGGUCCGCCCUUGUAGUAAUAUUGAGUGGACUUCAAAAUUGAUCUAGGUUUGGAGAUGAUAGGUUGAGCUUGAGAAGACCAAAAUUUUGUUUGGAAUAAAUUGGAUCAUCUGGGUUGGGUUAAGUGAAGGAAAACUGCAGCUGAUGGAUGGAUUAUAUAUGAAACACAGUACAAUAAAUUCUCGAUCUUCCACCGCUAGUUUUAAAUCGUCAGAAGAAAUGGCAUCAGAGAUGUGGUAUCGUCCAACGCACCACCCUAACAUGCCUAAAUUACAAACUACUAGUUCACAUGCCUAAAUUACAUCACAAAAGAAAUAGAAAUAAUAAAUAUACGAAAGGCCAUUAAUUACAAAGAAUAAUAUACAGAUUAUUUUCAUAUAUAUAUGAAAAUAUUUUCCAAUAUCCCCACAAAUUGGUGAUUUGGUUUCUUUGUACGGUUGAACCAUUCUUGCCCCAUGUAGCUUAAUGUUAGACCGUCAAAUCUUUUGUUAGGAUUCCAACCUACCCAGAGGUACUCAAGAAUAAACAGACAGCUCAAGAACAACUAAUUAUGAAAAAAUAUUGUUAGAACUGAUGUCCAAAAGAAUUGUUGUUCCGUGACAAACCACUGUUCUAAAAACAAUUACGGUACAACCAUGGUACUAAACACGAUGUCGGUUGCUUUUCAAGGUUAACACAACUCUUCAACUUAAACGUAUACUUGUUGGAAUAAGGAAUAGAAUCAAGAAGCUAAAUUAUGCCAAGGGAUGAAAGUUGAGAUGAACCGACGAUAAUAAAAGGAGAAAAAAAGAAACGACUAGAAUAAUCCUAUAGAUAUGAUAAACAAAAAACAAAAAGGAGAAUAAUCCUAUCACUAGAAACACACUUUACUUUUACAAUUAGCAUGCAGUGAUAUUUAUACCCUCUACGUAGUACUAAACAGUUCAAUGUGUGGGACAAAAAUCUGUCUUAUCCUUUACUUAUGGGCAUAAGUCCAUAAAUCAUUUCAAUAAAUGCCCGCCAAGUGACUAUUACAACAACGUUAAGAAGUAAACAAAAGAAAACAAAAGUUUUAAGAAAUCUAUUCUGAGCUAAGAUAGGAGAUCAAGAUUAUGCAUCAAUAUAUUGUAAUGAUUUGAAUUGAUUGGUAGUGUUGCAAGACGACUAACAGAGCGAGUGAGUUACAAAGCAAGAUCUCAAAAUUGGGCAGCGAUCCUUCUCAUGCGUUUAAAACACGGGACUCAACUACUAUCUUCCUUGGACUCACAAAUGUCUUCUCUUCAGCCUUGACCCGAAUUGGGGCUUCAACUUCCACUCUUAGACUCUGCCCAAUAAGCAAACCCAUGAGUCCCCAUUUUUCCUUCUUCAUUUCCAUUGACGUUGUUCUUCUGUAAUGAUUAUAGCAACCUUUGCUUAAUUCACCUCCUCUGCCCAUAUAUAAGAUAAUAAGUUUAACAACCCCUUUUAACUUAGCUUGCCCCAAAUGAAAAACUCUUCAAAUAUUAAUCCUAUAAAUCACUAUCUUUCUUAAAUGAAAGAGUGGGAUUCCAGCAAUUCAAGCCUAUAACCCAGCAUGUGGCUAUGGGCCCAUAAUUUAUUUGUCUUCCUUAAAGAGUAACAUUGAGUUUCUACAAAUUGUAGUCCAUAUUCAAGCCCAACAUCCUACUCAAUUUUUCCUUUCCAUAUUCCUCCUCCAAAGUAACGCUUGUCCUCCCUCCCAUUUACAUUUUACUAAGUAAUAACCCACCUUUGGCUGCAUCAAAAUAGAAUAAUGGGCUGUGUUGUGAUUCUGUGAAGUUAAAUUCAACUCUCCCGCAAGCCCUUCGCAUUUGUUAAAACAAUAAAAAAAUUAGUUGUUUUUGUUACUUUGAACUACUGUAACUGAUACUUGUUUGAGAGUGAGUUAUUUUGUUAAAAACAUAAACAAAAUAACAGUUUUAAUUCUUGUAGCUUAAAAAGGAAGCUUAGUAGAAAAAGUGAUGUAAGAAAAACUCAUCUGUAUUUUUUUGGCUUUUUGAAAACAUUUUCAUCUUAAAUAAUCUGUUGAAUAAAAGUGUGCUUGGAGACUUUGAAGAGUUCAUGUAAGCAAAUUUGUUGAACAAACCAUAGUUGUAUGUUCUUCUCAUUCUCUUCGUGCUCCAUUGAUCUUUGGAAGGCCAUUGUUGAAACUCUCAUCCAUCUUUUCUCUCUUGGUAACAUGCAAAACAAAAGGAAGAAAAUAAUUAAUAUACCUAAAGGUAGAGAACGUAGGUUUUGUAAUAAGGGUCAACCAUAAGAAUAUCAAUCUACAAUUUGUCAUUUAGAAAAAUAGCAAAACUGUUUUUUUUUUUCUUUUAAAAAAGGGCAAAACGAAUAAAAAUACAAUAAAUAGAAAUAUAAUCCAAAAUGCCCUUAGAUAUAUAGAAUGCCAGCUACUUUCUAAAGCUAAAAUAAAGUCUAAUUACACUAAUAAAUUCUCGAACAUAAUUAUCCUUACAUGUCCAAUCAAACUUAGAAUCCUUUUAAUCUUCACUUUCUAGCACUCUUGCAGUCAUCUUCAUUUUCCAUUUUCUUUUUCGAUAAUUAUUCAUAUCAAAGUCUUCAAGUUACAUAUUUAAUCUUCAAAUUACAAUUCCAUUAUUCCAUCUUCACCAAGCAGGCAAAACCUAAUCUCCACCCUCCAUUUUGCAAGUUACAAUUCCAUUUGAAGUACUUCAUCCUGCAUUUUUAUCUUCUUGUAUUUAAAACAUAAGAUUUUAUUAACUUCAUAUUUUUCACCAUCUUAAGGAAAAAUAUUUAAUUUAUAUUAGUAAUAUUUUAUAUAGAUUUUAGAGCGGUUUUAUCUAAAAAACGCAACAUUUUUGGGAUAUUUUGUUGGGAUAAAAAAAUAGAAUAAACCAAAAUUCAUUUAAAAAUCCUGAACAAUAGUGUUCUCUAAUAUUGAUUUGAGGUCAAGAUACCAUCCAUUCAAGGUUUGGGAAGUAUAUACUCUUAAGACAACAUUCAAAACGAGGUAUGGGCAAUAUGAGUUUUUAGUGAUGCCAUUCGAUUUAACAAAUGCACCUACAGUUUUCAUAGACCUCAUGAACAAUAUUUUCCAUCAUUAUUUAGAUUAGUUUGUGAUAGUGUUCAUUGAUGAUAUAUUAGUUUACUCAAUUGAUAGGAAAGUCCAUUAGGAAAAUAUGAGGAUUGUUCGAUAGACAUCACGUGAUAAAUAGUUGUAGGCUAAGUUCAACAAAUGUGAGUUCUGGUUGAAACAAGUAGUGCUCUUAGGGCAUGAAGUUUCAACAAACGAAGUUAGUGUUGAUUCGUAGAAAGUGAAAGAUGUUGUCAACUGAGAGAGACGAACUAGUGCAACAGAAGUACAUAGUUUCCUAGGCCUUGCAGGAUACUACAACCAUUUUAUUGAGGAUUUCUCACCAUUUGCAUUACUCUUAACAACUUUGACAAGAAGAAUGCUAAGUUUGAGUGGUCGGAUAAUAUGAGACUUUCCUUUGACAAAUAAUCUCAUCUCCACUAUGUUGAUCUUUUUUAGAUGAACUGUGAGCUUCCUCUGGUACAACAUCCAUAAGCUCACUAAUACUCGAAACACACAGUCUUCUUUUCUUAACUAUGACUUCAUAUAUUCUCAACUCAAACUCUACCUCUGAGCCUUACUUUCAUGACUUUCCAAGUAUAUUAUGUAAGUUACUAUCCUCUAGUUAUCUUCUCACAAUCUCUACUACUAGAGAAGACCUAACCUGAAAUUAAGCUACAAGACUCAUUGUACUCUCUACAGUCAUAGCCCUAUUAAAGCCUCUUAACUCACUUAUCAAACUUGCUCGAAUGCCAUACAAGGCACUCUUUGGAAGUCUAGACUUCAUAUUGAAUGCAUUUGCUACUAUGUUAUUCUAUGGUAUUCUAUGGUACAGUCACAACUUAUAAUCAGUUCUAGCCAUCACCUCUAUCUUAAAUUAAACUCUUUGAUCAAAGAUAUACUUCAGACUCUUACCGAUAUGUAAAAAUGUGGCACACUUCUCAUCGAAUAAAUAAUUUCUCUAGAUUUUCAUUGCUAAAACAACUAGUGCUAGCUCAAGAUCAUGGUUAGGGUAAUUAUAUUCAUUGUUCUUCAACUGUCUUGAAGCUUAGCUAUUAACUUCCCUUCCUACAUAAGGGUAUAACCUAAUCCUUGGGCUCGAGGCGUCACAAUAGAUCAUGUACUCCUUCUCUAUUUCAUGAAGUGUCAUAAUAGAUGCUAUGACUUGAAUCUCUAUCAAAACAAGGCAUCCUACCUGAUGAAACCAGUAAGAAGCUGUCUUUUUGUAAACAUUGUGUGUUAGGGUGAAAGCAAGAAAAAAAUACUUCUCCAAAGCCCAACACACUACUAAAGGAAUCCUUGACUUCAUCCAUUUGGAUCUAUGAAGACUAUCCUCAACUCCAAGCCUAGGUGGCUCAAGGUACAUUUUAUCCUUUACUGGUGAUUUCUUUAGAAAAAGUUGGAUUUAUUUUCGAAAAACUAAAAACGAAGUCUUGAAAAAAAAAAUUAAAAUGGAAAUUGAUGAGAGGAAAACAAAAAGAAAAAGAUAUUAAAUAUCCUAGAACCUAUGAUGGUUUGGAGUUUUGUGGAGAGGAUUUCAGUGCUUUUUGUAUGAAAAAUGGAAUUACAAAACUUAAGACAAUAAGAUACACACCACAACAAAAUGGGGUGGUCAAAAUACUUACAAGAACUAUCGUGGAAAGAGUAACAUUCCCAUUAUCUGUUUCCUGUUUCCUAUUUCCUAUUUCUUGUUUCCUAUUUCUUGUUCCAUGUUUCUUCUUUUUUGAUAACAAGAUACAAGAAUGUGUUUGAUAACUAUUUCUUGUUUCCAGUUUCUUAUUUCUUGUUUUCUUAAUUAUUUCCUACAUUUGUCGACUCACAUCUAAUUCAAUUAAAUAUUAACAAAAAUAUAUGUCGAUAGUUAAACACUUCUUCUCUACCUUGAGGGCAAUGUCUCAUUUCUUUAAAAUCUACCUCACUAACUUUAACGAUAUUUACCAACAAUAAAUCAUUUUUGGAUUUCAACGGUAUUUUGUCAUUUGUAUAAGUUCUAAACAUUUUACACAUUAGCUUGAAUAUGAGAUUGAAAUUGAAAGAAUGAAACUUUCUAUAAAAGUUGAGAUGGAAAACAUCUUUAAUCCUUACAUUUAUAUUUAUACGAAAAAAUACUUAAUACCACCUUUGGUUUUAUAUAUAAAAGAACAAAGACAACCUAAUAGAAAGUUAAAAUGUUUGAAUUUAUACAAAAAUGGUGCUAUAUUCCAAAAUUAUGGUUCAAGAUUACAUUUUUUAAGCUCUUGAAACUCACCAAACAAAGAAGAAAAAAAAGCAAAAAAACAAUAUCCUCAUAUUUUCUUCUAAAAUGUUGGGCCAAACAGAUAAACUUUAGCAAUAAUUUUAGCAUAUAAACUUUAGAUAAAAGAGAAAGAGAACAAAAAGAGAGUCAAAAUCUAAGCAAUCCAACCUCAUUUCAACAUUUAUAAAACUUCAGAUUCAACCAAGAACUUAGCUAAUACAAGAUAAAAAAGAAUGGGAAAUAGAAUGGUAUACUCAGAUGACAAUGGAGAUUAUUAGGUUCGAUUCUGACAGUAAAGUCUCCUCAAUAGAUUUCAGAAGAGGAAGCUCUUUAUCCUCAUUGUAACCCUUCAAGUUCCCAAGAAAAAACUCAAUCGCUCUUUAUACGAAAGUGUAAAAGGAAAAAAACAAAUUUUUCUUGAAGAGUAAAUGGAAACGAGAGAGAAAGACAGAUUCGAAAAGAUCAAUUCUGCAUUCCAAUCUAUUGAGCUUGAUCUUUCAUGAAAUCAUCAAAGCCACUUGUUGUAUAUAAAACCAACAAAGGAAAAUCCAAAGGAAUCCAACCCGUAUGCAUCCUGAACUCGUUAUAUGGUAUGCGACGCGACUGGAGCAACCCCAACACCUCAAAGGAAACGCCAGAAUGCUCAUCAACUUAACUCUUUAAAAAAAAAAUGUACUUUAAAAUUUAGGCGACAAUAACAUCUUAACGCAGUGGAUUGAGUUAAACAACUUCUUUAUUAAUUCAUCUUCAUGCACUCUACAAUACAAUUUACACGCUCCUUAAAUAUAACAAAUAUAUAACAAUAAUCUUAAAACGCCUUGCACAGCUUCACAAUAUGGUAGUUCGCCCUCCUUAUUCCAACCUUGGCCUUACAAGCUGGUGACCUAAGGAAGGAAAAACUUUAAAACGUACGUAAAAACUUAAUGAGUGAUAGUUUUGGAAAACCUUUUUGGACAUAUAAAUACAUGAAAUUAUUUUCAUAAACACGACUUUCAUCACCUCAUUUCAUAAAACAGAAAUACUCAUUAGUCCUUCAUAUUCCUUUCCACCAAGAACAUGAACCAUUCUCAUGCAUAGAUUACUGUGAUGUCCUUUUCAUCAACAUCAUCCUUUGGAGAAUAUAUAUCCUAAUUCAUUUCUCGUUGCUCAAGCCGCUAAGCUCAAUAUGCUCAUUUUACGCAUCGGCCAACUUCACUCCACUAUGCAGUUCUUUUCUACAUGGUUGUCUUUGCUCCUUACGUCCACAUAAUAGUUAGUCCAUUGAGAGGAAUAAGACUAAUGCACACAACAUAGCACACAAUCAAUAACAAUAGGUUUACUUGAAACAAAACACAACUUUCUUAGAAAUCGUUUAUUUCAUAUGAAACGUUACAAGUCAGCUAGAAAUUAUAAGAAAGCUUUAAAAUCUUUAAACAAAAUCAUUCACAACACAAAUUCUGUCUUUAAAACGUGUGGAUUCCCAAAGACAUUAUUCUCGCCUAGUGAGUUUCCUCUUAGCAGAAUAAGUUCAAAUAUUUCAACAAAAACCCUUUUUACCAUAAACCUUUGUUCUUAUUUAUACUAAUCCCAACUUGGAUUGGUCAUCACUAAUUUCUUUAAGCUUGACAACUCCUACUUAAAGUAAUCCAUAUGCUUUUCAAACCAUGUGGAUUAGCUUAAGUACCAUUAGAAAAUUUUCCAAAAAUUUCCUAACUCUUCAACAUCUGAUCUUAUCUCACGCUUUUCCCUCAAAAUGCCUAUCAUCCCUUACUUGCAGAUUCUUUCCUCAUGCUAAGAUCUUCAUAAUGCGACUUAUCAAAACACCUAUUUUAUAAAGAUUUCUUCCUAUAUCAAAAUCCUUUAUUUAUUGGUCAUGUUGAUGAAAAGGAACGAGAAAUGUGAGACAGCUUUUAAGCGUCAAGUAAAGCUAGUUUUGUAGUAGUGAUGACUUCCAACAUUGCGUAGAUCCUUCCACAUAUGAGUUUCAAUUGCCAUCAUUUUCUGUUUUUCUGAUAUUUUCUUUAUUGUUUUCUUUUUCUCUGCUUUGAUAUUUGCUAGUCUUUUCUCCUCUUUUUCUCUAUUUGUUUUUAAUGAUUCAAUAAGUGUUUGUUGCAAUGUUCUAACCUACAGAUGUCCACUAGAUGGAACAGGAAUGAGGGGAUGUCACUCCCUAUCCCCGUCCCUACAAAUUUCUUUUCCCUCGUCCCCAUCUGCACCCCCUAUUCCAUUCCCCAUUCCCCAUUCCCACAAAUUUUCCCAUGGGAAAAUAUUUCCCGCUUUUAUGUUUUUAUAAAUAAAUAGAAAUAAAAAUAAAUAUAGAGGUCUUUUAAAAAAAUAAAUACUUACAUUGUAUAGAAAAAUUUUGAAAAUGAAAAAAGCUCAAAGGUCCACAAUAUAAAGUACUAAAACUACUUCAGUCAAGACAUGACAAAUUGGUCACAUGUGCAUGAUACACGAUUGUGUAGAUUUUAAUACAAGAUCUUAGGCAUACCAUAUCUCAAGAUGCCCCUAGAUGAAAGAAUUAUUCCUUUAGUUAUUGUACCUCUGGCCUUAGUUGCACUGAGAUGGUCUAAAAUGUUAGAAUUCUGUCUUUAUUUUUUGAUCUUAGGCAUACAUUAUCCUGAGAUGCCUGUAUGUCUCAGGAUGAAAGACUUCUAGCUUUAGUUAUUCGAUCUCGAACAUACAUUGCCCUGAGUUGACUCAGGAUGAAGGAAUUCUUCCUUUAUUUUAUUCAAUCUCAGGCGUACAUUGUCUCAAGAUGUCUUGAGAUGAAAGACCUCUGCCUUUAAUUAUUCGAUCUUGGCCUUAAUUGCAUCAAGAUGACCUGAAAUGAAAGAGUUCUGCCUUUAUUUUAUUUGAUCUUGCCUCGAAAUGUCAUCGAAUGAAAGUUUUUUGUCUUUAGUUAUUCGAUCUCGGGCCUUAAUUGCACCGAGAUGGCCUGGGAUUAAUAGAAAUAUACAUGUGUGUGUGUGCGUUUUUUUCUUUCGAGGCAGGGUCGCGACCAGGUUCCGAGAAUGUAUUCCCCAUCCUUAGUCGUGAAUUGUUAAUAAAAAAAAAAAAAAAUCCUUAGUGCCUCUCCCAUUUUCCUCCUCGUUGUUGUACCUCUAACAAUACUUCAUUAAAAAAAAACACUAUUAAAUUUGAUGUUCCAAGAUGAGCAAUGGCUUUGUAAAAAUUGUUAGGAUCUCAACCUAACAAGAGAUACUCAAGAACACACAAACGGAACUCAAGAACAAUCAAUUAUGAAAAGCAUAUUUGAAAUAAAUGUUAUAACAUCAAAGAACAAGUAACUUGCUCUUUGCGAGGACUAGACUCUCCCAAAUCCCCCACAAGAAAAUUGAUCCACACAUAAAAUUCUUCAUACUCUUUCCCAAUCCCUCUCCUUGAUCUACAAUCCCUCUCCUUGAUCUAUUUAUACUAAAAAAGAACUAACUAACUUUCUAACUAUUUACUAAUAUAUAUGUUCCCAACUAAUAACCAUAUUAAUUUUCAACUGAAUAUUCCUUUUAUUCUUUAACUAGGGAUCUCACAUCUUCUUACCAAAUGGCUAGGUCCCUACUAGCUAACUAUAUUAAUUUACAUCAUGUAAUUUAGAAUCAUUCUUUUAGCUGCUUAGGUGAAGGAUAUUAUCGAGGCCAACUAGACUAGCUUUUUUGGGUGCUUACAAAUAUCUUAAGGUGUCAUUUCGGACUUAAAUGUAAUUUAGGCUGAAUGUGCAUUUAUAUUUAUCAAUAAUCAAACUUUAUGUCCUUAAUUCUACUUGUUGGGGAUUUUUGAACAUUCAUAAUCUAGAUAUAUAAUCGAGGCAUUACAAAACACAUGCAAUCAUGUUAUGUCAGAUCAUCAUACUCGUACCAAAGUUUAAAUACAAAUAACAAUUUUCGACUUUUGUAAGAAUGCAAGAGAUAUAUAUUGCACACUCAUGCCACUUGACAAGCGUUUCUUAACUAAUAUACUAUUUCUUAUGGAAAAUCUCUUAGCACACUCAUUUUGAGAUGUUUGCCCUCACUAGGUGUGUAAUCGGGUUGGGUUGGGAGACAUUCUCAACCCAACCCAUACUUUUGGGUUAUAUGGGUUGGCAACCCGAAUUUAGUUUCCAACUCAAUCAGUAAAAAUAUGGGUUAGGUUGGGUUAUGUUGUUUUUUUUUUUUUUCUUUCUUCGUUUCUACUUUCUAACGAAAACGAAGGUGGAUGGCACGAUUGUGAGGGAGAAGACCGAAGAGGGAGAAGAUCGACCGUCGAAAAUGGAGGUGGACAACGAGAUUGUGAGGGAGAAGACAGAUGACUGAGGUGAGAUGGAAGAGAAGAAUCGAACACAAUGAAAAAGGGUGAACAGGACGCAAGGGAAAGAAAAUUGAAGAGGGAGGAAGACCUUAAUUUUUAGAUUUUAUUUUAUUAAAUAAAUAAUAUAUAAAUAUGAAUAUAUAUACAUAUAUUAUAUUAAUUUAGGUUGGGUUGGGUUGACCCGAAUUUUUCAAUCGUCCAACCCAAGACCCAACCCAACCCGAAAAUAUUAAUUUUUUUUAAUCCAACCUAACCCUUACAAUAUGGGUUGGGUAGUACGGAUUAUCUGAAUUCAACCCAUAUUUUUACACCUCUAGUCUUCACCGUGGAUGAUCAUUUUCACCACGGUGGCUCAUUAGACCAUAGAGCAAGUUAUGGCUUAUGGCGGUAGAGAGAGCCAACACAAUGUAUUUCCCUUUAGAUCAUUUCAAGGUACAAAGUUGGUUUCAGCCCUCAAAUGUUGUGAGGAGUCACUCACUAGUGUGAAUACCACAUUUGAACUAUGAUUAAAAAAUUGAUGUGGUUGCUUUCUUCACUCAUGUGUCGUCAACUCUAGAUUCACCCGUCCAAACUUCUAACAAAACUCUGACUUUUAGGAGAGAAAUGACCCUAAGGAUAUCAGGAGGAGUGAAGAAGAAAAAGAAUAUAGAAAUGAGUAAAACAAUAAUAAACAACUAUAGAGGCAAUAGUGCAAGUAAUAAGGAAUACAUAUAUUACUUUGUACGUGACACGGAAGAAAUUAUAAAGUACUGUUGAGAGAAGCAGCCUAUUGCUAUAGUAGAAUUGAGACAUGUUACACCAAAUUCUUAUACUUAUAUUAACUAAUUUUAUCCGUGUAAAGUUAUAUAUUUGACAAAUGUGAUGUGAUAUUUGUGUGUACAUUGAGGGCAGUGCCCACUUUUCCUGAACACAUAAAUAAUGUUAAGUGAACAAUUGUAUGUAACUAGUCGUACCAUAUUAGACAUACACUUUUUAUAUUAUUAUAAGUAAAAAAAUAUCAUAAUUAAAGCUAAAUUUAACCUCUAAAUCGAAGUUUUGUGACUAAUAAAUCUCAAAUUUGUAAAUAAAUGUUAGAUAAAUAUUCUUGAUUUUUAAUUUUGUAUAUCUUUUGACGAGUACUACAACUGAACAUUUUAAACUUUGUAUAUCAUAAAUCACGAAUCAUGAUAUAAAGGAUAUAAUAUAUUUUUUUAAAGAGGUAUUUAAUGUUCCAUAUUGGUAAAUGUAUAUCAUUUUGUAACGAUGUUUAAUAAUCUCGAUAAAAAUUAGAUUUUUUUCAAUAGCUACUAUAAAUAUAUAUCUUUCUAAACGGUCUUUAAUAAUCUAAUUUCAAAGGUUACGUUCAACAAAUAUCUAUUCUUCAACUUUAUAUUUAAUAUAUUAUUCAUAAAUUAAAAAAACAAAACAAAAGCUGAAUACAGUAUGGUAUUAUUAUAGACACGUUUUUAAAGAUCAAGUGCUCUAUUAGAAGUAUUUGAACACGUUUGGAAGACUUGGAACUGAGUUUGUAAGGAAAGAAACAAAGAAAGAAGAAAAACAAAUGGCAAAGAAGAUGAUGAACGUGGAAGAAACAUAGAAAUCUCCAUAGCCAUUAAAAGCCACACCAUACAACCUUCAAAAUUCCACGUCUCAUCCAUGCAUUGCUCUCUUAUUCCUUCAAAUACUCAUCCUUUCAGCCACCACUUUUCUCCCCUACUCUCCUCUUUAAACAUUAUACUCAAGCCCAUAUAAUGAUGUCUACUAAACCACUAGUUUCCAUCCUCCUCCUUUCCCUCUUCCUCUUCGCCGUUGCUGCCUCCGACCACCAGUUCGACGAUGACAACCAAAGCCAACGCCCUUGGUUGCAAAGGUGCCGUCAGCAGGUUCUCGCCUUUCCAGUUCUCUUUUAUUUAUAGUUUCAUUUAUUCGGUUAAUUGCUAUUUUUUAUUUUUAUUUGUAUUCGUUGGGAUGAGAACAUGCAUACAAUCCACCAACUAGUUUGCUUGUGUUUUUGUUAUUUUUAAACAAAUAACUACUUUACUUUAAUAUUGUUCAAAAUUAAUUAUUUUGGUAUUUUCUAUACUUUAUUUAAAUAUAUAUUUCAUAAAUUAUUUAGAUUUCAUUUGCUAUUAAUAACUAUUUGUUUUUUUGUUUUUAUUUUUAAAAGUUAAGCUUAUCUUUUCUCCAAUUUCUUACGUUAAAAUGUUGAAUUUUUAGCUAAAUACUAAAAACCAAAACUAGCUUAGAACUUUAUAUAUUUUCUUAACUUUCAAAAAACUAAAAUGGUUUUAAAAAAUAUUGGUGAAAAAAUAAAUAAUGAAAUUAUAAAUUUAGACAUGAAAGAAAGGUUAUUAUAAAAUUUUCAAAAAAUCUAAAAACAAAAAAACUAUGACUCCUUUUUUAACUAAAUUAUAUAUAUAUAUAUAUAUAUAUAUAUAUAUAUAUAACUUUUUAAAUACCAUACUAAAGUUAUAUUGGCAAAAAUGUACAAAAAAAAAAUAUCCAACCAAUGUAAGCAAAUCCAAACGUCACUUUUCAUAUAGAACCCAAGAUUACUUAAAUCCCAAACCCAAGAUUACUUAAAUCCCAAAUUUUGAAAACUAAGAAAACACAUAAAUUUAAAAAUAAUUUUGUUUUAAGAAUUUAACUAACAAUUCUUAACUCUUUGAAAAAGAGGAAAAAUAACUUGUUAUUCACCACACAAAUGUUUUAUUUUACUUUAUGUUUACCAACAAUCAAAUGUAACACCUACCAUGUCGCUAAAAAUGUGACAGAUUCGAAGCGGCGAACGGCUGCGCCACUGUGAGAGGUUACUGACACAGCCCCGCCGCUUCCGGCUGCUGUUAGCAGCGGAGGAAGAGGAAGACGCAGUGGAACAUCUGGAGGAAUGCUGCCAGCAGCUGAAAGGGAUGGACGAUGCAUGCCGGUGCGAGGGGCUUCGUCAGAUCGUGCAGCGCCGUAGGCAGCAAGGCCAGCUGCAGGGGGUCGAUGUUGGACAAAUGCUGGAAAGAGCUACAAACUUACCGUCGGUCUGCCGUCUCAGCCGACGCCGGUGUGACCUCCGAUCAACCACUCCAUUGUAGAAUAAGAGGAAAGAAAAGAGAGAGGAGAGAGAGAGCCCAUUGAGGUUGAACAAUCUGAAAAAUGGAGUAAUAAUCAAUAAAAUAUGAAGGCUCCCCAACUUAGAGGGAGAUCUGUGUACUAAUGUUUUAAAGAAACAUCACUUAGUUUCUUUUUUUUCUUUCUUCUUUCUUUCUUUUUAUUUUUAUUUUUGGUUUAGUUUUCUUUUCUUUACCUUUUUUUCUUGGGGUUUUUGUUUUGUUCUGUGUGCUGAAAUCGAAAUAAAUCAAAAUAAGUCUUAGACUCUACUGGGAAUAAAUAUCGUUGAAUCUUAAUUAUUUAGUUUACUUCUUUUAAUUUGGUUGAAUCUUAAUUAUUUUUGUUUACUUCAUUUAAUUCAUCUCUUUCAAACUAUUUUUUCUAAUUUUAAAUAUCAAGUAACUAUUUUUUUUAAAAUCAACAUACUCGGGUUGAGUUGAGUUGGAGAACGUUUUCAACCCAACCCAUAUUUUCAAGUUGGUUGAAUUGGAACUUAAAUAACCUCAAUUGUAUUUCUAUCCAAUCUCGAGUUAGAUUGAGUUGGCAGGUUGUAUAUAUAUAUAUUUUUUUUUCAUUUUUAAUGUUUGCAAAGUUUAUAAUUGUUGUACCUCGAUAAAUACACACAUCCAAAAAUUUAAACAUCCAUAAAUUCAAAGUUUCAAACAUCCAUAAAAGUUUAACAUUCCAAACAUUAUUCAUAAAUAUUAAAUAAAUAUAUAAACAUUUUUAAAAAUAGCAAAAUAAAUUAAAAUUUUGGAUUCUAUCACGGAUAGUCUUCUAUCACUAUAACAUAUCACUGAUUGAAUUUGCUAUAGGUGGUAAAUAUUUUGUAAAAUCUAUUAUUUUUAAAAAUUUUCCAAAAAUAUAUGAUAUAAAUAAAUUUAAUUUAUAGGGACAUUUUUAAAAAUACUAAAUAAAUUAAAAUAUUUACAAACUAUAACAAAAAAUUUUGGAUUCCAUCAAUGAUAAAAACUGAUAGAUUUUUAUCACCGACUAUAAAUGUUACUAUACAAAAAUAUCAAUGUUUAUCAAAUAUUUGUUGUUGAUAGAAUUAGAAAUUUUGCUAUAGCUUAUAAAUAUUUUGUCAAAUUUGCUAUUUUUGACAAUUUUUUCUCUCUAUAUAUAUAUAUUAUGAGUAAUAAGGGUUGGAUUAGGUUAAAUCGAAUUUUUCAACCUCAAUCCGAGACCCAACCCAACUCGAAAAAAAUCAAAAUUUUCAACCCAAACUUAACUCAUGUAAUAUGGGUUGGGUGUUACGGGUUUCGACUUAUUCAGAUUAUUCUUACACCCCACUUAGGACAUCUUAAACUUACUUUUUAAAAAGGGGCUCUUGCAAAUAUGACAAAAUUAAUUUGAUAAAUUAGGCUUAUACCACACAAAUUGUAAAUUUGUAAAAAUAAGUCCAGUCACAUUUGAGAAAUGCAAAAUUACAAACCUACCCUAUAAAAUUAUAAAUCAUUAGUUUGUUACAUUUAAGUUAGCCACAUUAAACAUUUUUUACAUGUUUCUUCUUCCCUUCAUGUCUCACUAAUACUUCAUCGAUACACAUCAUUUGUUUGAUACAUUUGAUAUGUUGUUGAUACCUUGAUGCAUUUUUUAUACGCUUGUUAUGCUUUGCUAAUACAUCUGAUGAAUUAAUUAAAUAAUACUUGAUACACAUCAUUGGUUUGAAUAUACAUUGGAUAUGUUAUUGAUACAUUUGCUAAACUUUGCAAAUACACUUAAUCAAUUAAAUACACUUGAUGUACUAAGUAUGAUACAUUUAAUAUAUUGUCGGUACACUUAGCUAUUAUGGUUUGUUCAUACAGUACUUGAUGGGUUUAAUACACUACCGAAAAUAUAUUUUAUACUUUACUAAAAUCCUCGACAGAUUUUAUAAAACUAACUUGAUGCAAUUCAUAUGUUUGAUACCCUUGAUGUACUGAUAGUACACUUUCUAUAUUACUAAUACACUCGAUUGAUUAAAUACAUUUGAUACACUUAUGGUUCUGCCGAUACACUUAAUAUAUUUCACUAUUACACUUCGAUACAUAUUAUAUGUUUGAUAUACACUUGAUAUCAUGUUGAUUAUUAUGCAUUAUUUGUAAUAUGAUCAACUUGAUUAAAUGAAUCAAUUUCAAUUUACUUAAAUAGGUUAAUGCUAAAGAGAACCUUGAAAAUAAAGUUCAAUAAGUUGACAACAAUAGAUUCAAUUGUCAACACGAGUUUCAAUACGUAAUAUCAAGUUCACAAAAUAAUCAAACAACAUCACUCCAUCAACCAAAACACAAUUGUUUUGCAAUCCACGUAGUAUGUCACUCAUCCCAUUAACCACUAUGAAACAUAAUUAUUGCAAGCUUAACCAUGACUACGAUCAACUGCAAAAAAUUAAAGAAAAAAAUAGAUAGUAUGUACAUCAGUCAAAUAAUACAUAUAAUAUAAGUGUAUCACAACACUGAUAUACAAAACUGAUGAACAAAAUAAAACCAAAAUAGAACCAACAUAAAAAAAAAAUAAUAAUAAUUAGAAAUUAGAUUUAACUCCAAAAUUCACACCAAAGAAAAUAGAGAAUAAUAACAUAUAAAGUUAAAAUUUUCAUAUCAACAACUAUUAUAUAUCAAAUUUCAACUAACACUACAAGAAAUCGAAGUUUUUUCGAUGAAGAAAAAUGCGUCGGACAAAGGAACAUCGACAAACGGAGUUUCUUCCGACGUAACAAGAAUAAUUUCGAAAGAGGGCCUUUCUCCUGACGCUGCCAAAUGAACAUCGAGCAAAUGUGGCCAAGCCCCAACGUGAUUCAUGUACACAUCGGAACUACCUUAGUUACUGUCGACGUCUACUAUAUGGCAUCGAAAGAGGUGAAAGAAUUAAAUGCAUAAUUGGCUUUCCUCCAACGUGAUGUCGGAGGCAUCAAGAAAAUGGAUUCACAUUCCUAAUGUCAUUAGUUAUAUGUCAGAAAUGAGAGGGUUUCCCUGACACUUUCGAGAUGUGUCGAGUAUUUCCCUUUUAAUAAACUCAUUCUCAUUCAUGAUGUAAAUUACAGAAUUGAAAGAGAAGAAGGAAAACGAGAGAGAGAGAGAGACUAAGAAGAAGAGAUCUUUCAUCGUCCUGUUGUCGUCGAUCCCCGUCGCUCGUUGUCGUUCUAUCAUCGUUGUCUUCUAUCGAUUCUACUAAUUUAGGUAAGUACUUUUGUUUUAUAUUAGUUUAGAUUUAGUUUAUUUUUAUUUAGAUUAUAAAUGAUGAUUUAGGAAUAAGAUUUUGAAUUUGGUUUUAGAUUUGGAUUUUGAAUUAGUUUUUGGAGUUCAAUUUGAAUUUUAUUUGUUUUUGGGAUUCAUGAAUUAGUGUAAAUUUGAGGGGUUGUUGAAUUCAAAGUUUGAAAGAGUGAGGGGUUGAAUGAAUUCAAACCGUAAGGGGGUUAAAUUAAAAAUUGAAAGGGGUUGAAUUGAAAAUUAGAGGGAAAGGUUGAGUUUGGUUGAAUUGAAAUUUUUCACGAGAGUUGGAUUGAAACAGGUGAAUUGAAAUUUUGUAGGAGGGUUGGAUUGAAACUUGGAGAGAGAGAGGGUUUGUAAGAGGGGGUUGAAAGGGAUGAGAGAAGACUGUAUUGAAUUGAAAAUUUUGUUUUGGCUAUUGUGAAGUUAUGAUUACCUUUAUUUCAAACUUGAUUGUUGUUUAUUUUUUAAUAGUUUUGUUUGUUAGAACUAUUAGGAAUUUGUUAUUGAUUUCUUAUGGUUAUUAUGGAGUUAUGGCAACCUCUUCUCUUUAGUGCAAACUUAGUUUUGAAUUUGUUAGAUGAUAGUAGUUUGUUUGGUUAGUUUGUUCUAACUACAGUUAUGGUAGCCUUUGUAGUUUAAACUUAGGUUAAAAGAUUGGGAGGAUUGGAAAUAGCUAUUCAUGAACUAAUUAAAUUUAGGGUUUGAUGGGAGGAAUAUAGGACUAAUGAUCAAACAUAUUAUUUACUUGCGGUACGUAUUUUUGAGCAGUAUCGUUGUUUACGUUGCAUUAUAUAUAUAUCUUUUUUUUUUUUUUUCAUUGUGUAGGUGUGGACUUGUUUAAUUAUGGCAUUCCCAAUUAAGUUAUAUUAAUUUUUUUUAUAUAAUUUUUUAACAAAUUGAGAAGUGUUAGACAAUGUAAUAUUUUUUAAUUACAAUGUAAUUUUGAUUUGGCAUUUUGUAUAUUUAUUUACUAAUUUUGGUUGUUCAUUUUUUUGUAAUUUUAUUGAAUUUAAAUCGAAUUGGAAUUGAACAUAAUAGUGCACAAUCAAAAUAAGAAAUUAAAAAAAAUCCUCAAACCGUUCCCGACGCAAAUAGUGCAUCGGAAAAUAGGUCUUCCCUCCAAAAAUGCAUAAUGACAUCAGAGAUAGUUUUCAUGAUGUAACGUCGGCCAAACUCUUCUCUCGACAUAGAAAUCUACGUCAAGAGAAGAGUUCUCUAUUUCCUGACACGAUUACGUCGUCGGCACAACGUGCCUCGGGUGAAGGGCAUUACCAACGCGUGUUUCUUCUUUCGUCGGGAAUAGAUCUCCUGAUAGGAAUUUUCGACAACCAUUCCUAUGUGGGACAUUACGUCGGGAGACUGUUUGCCGACACAAUUUGUAACCUUACCCGAUGCCAUCUUGCAUCGAAAAACUCCCAACUUGUUGUAACGUAAUGUUGCAUGAGAUUGAAUAAAAAGUUGGCAAAGUAAAUAAAAACUGCUUUCUAUUUUUAAUUUUAAAGAAAAUAGAAAAACACAAAAAUAACAAAUAAUAAAGUAAUAAAAAGAAAAAUGGUAGGAUCCACUAUUCUACAACGUAACUUUUACCAUUUUCUCUUUCUGCACUUCUCCUUUGUUCUUUUCCUUCUUCUUUAUCCUCCCUUUCUUUUCUUCUGCUUCUUUCCUAAACUUCUUGUUUUACCAUCCUUUUGUUAGUAUUACUGUCGUCAAAAUUGGUGCUCCAACACAAAUUCAACAUGCAAGUCUUACACAUCAUUUUGAAACUCCUAUUUUGUCAUGCUUCCAAAUUAAACUUAUUCGUGCUCUCAUUGUUGUCGUCCUUUUUGGUCAAGUUCUCAUCCACAACGUCAAAACAUUUUUCUCACCGUCAAUCGAAUUUAGGGUAAUCAUGGUAUUGAAAACUGUGAUGCUCCAAAAGAAAAAGAAAUGGUAAAAAUGGGAAUUAAAAAUACAAAAGUCUGAAUUUGAUAGAAAAUCACAAACCUUAAACGUUUUUGGCAAAGUACCUAAACUAUUUUGUCAUCCAAUACAAUUUCUCUUUUAAAAACUUGUGUAAACUACCAAGAUAUAAUUAUUAAAAACUCAGGGACGAAACACUCUACUCGUCAAAACAUGGAUACUAAAAAGAUAAUUUUGCUUUAUUUUUCAGGGUUUGUACUAAAGGUUUCUUUUUGUUCUAAUAUAUAUUUUCUUUUUUUAAAAAAAAAACAAUUGAAUAUACAUUUGUAUUAUAUGUUUAAAUGGAACUAAAUCAAUUGAUUUUAACCUGUUCUCUACAAAUUUUAGAAAUAUAAAUUUCUAGUAGUUUUUACAACUGUUUUAUGCCAUUAAAAUUUGAUUAAGCAUUAAAAAACUCAAACACAAAGAACUAAGAGAUCAAAAUAAACAUAAACUUAAGAAACAAGAAAAAAUUAUUAUCAAACAAAGUCCAAUUAAGCACAAUUUGACAUGUGUGCUAAAUCGCCAUGGUUUCUAUUUUUAGAUCUUAAAAAAGCUUAAUAUAAUGUUCAAUAAUUUAAUUUAUUUUCUAAAUAAUGAGAUUAAUUUAAAAAUUAAUUCAAAUAGAGAGAGAGAAGUUGAUGAGACGAGAGAACAAGUCGUUAAUCAUAUACAUACUAAUAACUGUGGUUUGUAAUUAGUUUUUAAUAACAACAAAGAAGAAAAGUUGUGUUAUUUAAUUAAAACUAAUUAAAAGCCACCAGAUAGACGAAUAACCAAAUACAGUGCAGAAUCAUUCUUAAUAUUAUUCUCUGCAAGAGUUUUAUGAUUUUCGAGAACCUUUCCUGCAUAAACAAUAUUUUGACUAUCAGCACGUACUCCAUAUUUAGCUUCUAGUUUAGCCUUCAAACCUUCAAUUGUGGCCGUUGGUUCCAAAUCUAAACUUAAUACUUUCCCAUCGAACGUCUUCACAAAGAUCUGCAUCUGCAUUAUUAUUUUUCAAAUUCACAACACAAAUUAACGUAACUAGGAUCCCAUUUCCUAAUCAAUUUGUCAUUUCAUACUACAGAUCACCAUCAAAGUUGAAAUGGGAUUGUUCCCUUGAAAUGUUAUGAAUUCCAAGUUUUGUUGAUUUUGAUAUGAAGCUUUGAUUAAUUAUUAUUAUUAUUUUACUGGAAGUAGAGAAGUAGCGAGGACGUAUAAUUUUAGUGGAAAUUAUUAUGAGUUUUUGUAUUUAAUGGUCUAUUGUGGAAGAAGACGAUUGAGUGCUUUUUUCAAGAAAAAAGAAAAAUUAACGAAGAAAUGUACAUACACUUCGAUUUUUAUUCUCACCACUUUGGAAAACGAAGUUGUUUAAUUUGGUGUUAAUUAAGAGUCGUUGUUUCUUUGGGUUUCUUUGGGUUGAGUUUCUUCUAAGACGAAGAUUCUCAAACAGCCAUAAAACUCUAAUAAAUUAAUUGAGAAUAAUACUUUUUUUUUUCUUUUAGUUAGUAGUUUGGAUAAUUACAAUAUUCUUAUUAAAAAAUUAAAAUAGAAAAAAUAGAAAAAUUGAACAAAACAUUUACAAAAUUAAAGUGUAAUAGUUUUUCUAAAUGAUGGGUAAUAAUUUGUACUUUUUAUUUUUUUGAAAAAAACUUCAUAUAAAAAAUUAUUAAGAAAAAAUAUGAUAUUUAAUAAAAAGAGAGAUUUGAUUUGAUUUUUUUUGUGCAUAUAAAGAUUAUUUGGAAAAUAGAUUUUUAGGAGAGGAGUUGUCAUAAAUAGAAAAAAAAAUUAAAAAUAUUUCCAAGAUAUAACAAAAAAAAUCUCAAAUGCUCUUUAGAGAAAAAGUUGACAAGAUCAAAAAGUUACAAAAAAGAAGUAGCCAUAAUUUUGAUAGUAAUAAUAAUAAAGAAAACUAAAAUGUGUUAUUUAAUUAAGACUUAAUUAAAAGCCACCACGAGUAAAAAGAAGCAAAAACAAUGCAAGAGUUGGAUGAUCUUGAAGCAUCUGCAUAAACAAGCUUUUGAGAUUCAACACCUAUGUCAUGCUUAGUUUCUAUUUUAGCAUUCAAAUUUAUGCAUUUGUGGCCGUUGAUUCAACAUCUAAAGCUAAUUAUCUUCCUAUCAAAAUGUCGUCACAAAGAUCUACAUCUGCAUUUUUUGAAAAUAAAUUCACAAACACAAAUCAACAUAUCAAGGCUCUAUUUGGUAGUGAUUUGGUUUUUUAGUGUUCAAGAAGAAAUUUGGAGAUGGAAGAGUAAUGGUAUUGAUUAAUUGCUUUUACCAAAAACAAAAUGAUUUUACCAAUUAUGAGCUAAGUUAUUCCCAAUUUUAUGCCUUAUAGAAUCAUCAAAAUUCAAAUGAGAAUGUUUAUACCUUGGGAUGUUAUGAAUUCCAAGUUGUCGAAGGGAUGUUGAUGCAGCUUUAUGAUUUGAUUGAUUUGUAUAUUUGAAUGUAAAGAUUUGAGAACAUUGUAUAUUUAUAGUGGAAAAUACUAUGAGUUUGCAUUAAUGCUUCAUAUGGAUGAAAACGAUGAGUCAUUAAAAAAAAAAACUAAACUUUGAUUUCUAUCCUCAACUCUUGGGAAAAACGAAAAUGUUUGGUGUUAAUGAAAAGUCAUUUCAAUUUUUUUUUCUAGGGAUGAGGAUUCCCAAACAACCAUUAAACUCAAACAAAUUUGUCAAUAAUCAUAUCGAGUUUGGAUAAAUGUAAUAUUAAAAAAUAUAUAUAUAAUAUUUAGGAAAUGAUAAGGGAGAAAAGAUAAAAUGGAUUAACUAUUAAAAAAAAUUGUUUCCCUUCUUCAUUUUCCUUAUUCUAUUUAAGAAUAAUUAUGAACUGAAUAUUUGAGAUAUUAAGAGUCGUACGUUCGAAAAACCAAGAAAACUCAUAUUUCAUCUAUCCUCUUAUAAUCAAUUAGUUUUGAAAUAAAAUUCCAUAUUGUUAAAUUUAACAUAAAGAUAGGUGAACUCAAAGAGGCACUGCUUUGCUACGGAAUCCCAAAAGUUUAAAGUUUAAUUUUAGUAACGAUAAAAAAUAAAUGUUUAUAUGCAAAAUAAUUUAAAAUUUAUACUAACAAUAUUUAUAGUUAGAUCUUAAAUUAUCAUAAAAGACUAUUAAACAUUAUGAAUUAAUUUUAUAAAAAAAUACACAUUUUAAAUCUUUUUUCAGAAAUAUAUUUUAAAAUAAAUUGUACGUUGACUUGAAAUUAUUAAUUUUUUAGUUAAUUGAAACUAAAUAUUUAUUUUAUUUUUUGUCUUAAUUUUUUUAGGAGAAUUUUUAAAAACAGUAGACUUUACAAAAUAUUUACAACCUAUAGCAAAUUAUAUCACUUAUAGUCAUUGAUAUGCAAUAGUGAUAGAAGACUAUUAGUGAUAUUUGUAUUAAUUUUUUUAUGAGAAUUUUUAAAAAUAAUAGAGUUUGCAAAAUAUUUACAACUUAUAGCAUAUUCUAUCACUCGUAGUCAUUGAUAUGCUAUAGUGAUAGAAAACUAUCACUCAUAGGAUCAAAAAUUUUGCUAUAGCUUGUAAAUAUUUUAAUUUAUGUUAGCUAUUUUUAAAAAUAAACCGUAAAUAUAAACAUCUUUGAAUUUGUUCUUAAUUUUCUUUUCUAUCAUCAGGUUUCUUUUAUUCUAAGUAUCUGAAUAUUCUUAUUGAUUUCUGUUUUUGUUAUAUUCAAUCGUUUGAAAUGUGUUGUAAUUGUUCUUUAUGUUCUUGGCAACCAUGGUGAGCUUAGAAGGUAAAGUAUGAUUUUAUUUUAUUUUUGUUUACUUACUGCUUAGUGUGUCUUUGUGGUUUGAAUUUUUUGCAUAUGUUUGUUUGCACACUGCAGCUACAAAAGAGGAGGAAGUUGAAGAAGAUGAUAAAAUGGAUGGUUACCAAAGUAGGAAGUUGAUGACGAUGGGAAGAUAUUUUUAUUUUUAAAAAAUAGAGGAUAUCCUGACGCUAUAUCCCGUGCGUCGGGAUAUCCUCUCUAGACAAAUGUUUUUCGACUUCGAUCCGGCACGAACUUAUGCAUCGAGAAAUCAUUUUCAAAUAUUUUUUCUCUUUCUUCCAACACUUUUGUACGUCGGAAGAUCCUUAUUUUCUUUUCUUGUAGUGUGAAUUGAAAUAAGAAUAAUGUAUAGCUUUGUUUUAAGAGGCAACAGUGAAAAGAAGAUGAUUGUGGAGUUUUGAGAUUGGUUUACUCAUCUCUUUAUUCUCACAAGGAAUUGGUAAGCAAAUCCCGAUUUCCUCCCAAGUUUGCAAUUCUCUCUCAUUUUAUUAUUUUCUAAUGUGACUAUAUAAAUCUACUUGAAAAAAUGCCAAAAGUAAGACAAUUAAUUAGGGGUGUAAAGAGUUUUGAAAUUGCUUUUUGAAAUGUUGAGUUUAAGGACAAAUAUGAGUAUGAAACGUUUAUAUAACCCUUACAUAAAAAACUUAUUUUCUUCUUUUUAUUUUUUUAUUUUUUAAAAUCUUUUUCUGUUUUUAUUUUAUGAAAAAACACAUUUUCUCUCAUCUUUCUCUAACUUAUUUUCUCCCAAAGCUCUCUUACAAUUACUUAGAAUUUUGUGGCUUUAUCUCUUGAAUAAACUCCCUUCUUAUUAAGUGUUUAUGUCAUUUUUUUUCUGAUUAUAGAUAGUCCUCUUAGGUUUUUGAUGUUUCUAACUCAUUUAUUCUCCUCUUACUGAAACAUAUAAAUCUCAAGUAUAACUCAUAGUUAAUUUUAUAAUUGUUCUAGAUAUCUCUAGUUGUUUGAUAUAUAUUUAGAUAAACUUUUUUGGUUAUUUUUUUAUCUUGCAAACAUCUAGCAACUUCCAUAAACUUCAAAUGUUUAAUCCCAAAUCAACUAUAUACUUGUUUCAUGUGAUUUAUGGUGAGUUUACUACACAUGUUUUAAGAAGAUUUUAACUACUAUUUUUGUAUCUUGCAAACAUCUAGCAAACAUCUUUCUUAAAUAUCUCUCUCGCAACUUCCAAACUUCAAAUGUCCAAUUCUAAAACAAUUGUACAUAUACUUUUACACAUCUUUUAGGAAAUUUUUAGCUACCAUUUUUUGUAUCUCACAGACAUCUUGUAAACAUUUCGCAGAUAUCUCGCAAAAUCAUCUCACAACUUCCAAACUUCAAAUGUCUAGUGUCAAAUCAAUUAUAUACUUGUUUUAUGUGAUUAGGGUGAUUCUACAUAUGUGCACUUUUGUUAUUCUUAUAGUUAAUUAUUUUGAUAUAACUAAGAGGAUAUUAUUGAUCAUCACAUUUAUUUCACAAUAUAUACAAUUGAAACAAAAUUCAAUAAAAGCUUAGAUUAUUUUUUUAGGAAACCAACUAGUUAAGAUCAACACCUACAAUUUUUUGUUCUGAACAAAAAAAGACGUUCUUGGUUCUAAUCUCUCCCGUUGAUUGUAUGAAAAAAGAAUGAAUUUCCUAUAAAGUAUAAGAUGUUUGAGAGAGAAAGAAAGAGUUGUUUAGAGGAGUAUAAAAGAACGUAAUUUAACCAAAUUCACAACUAACAUUGUAAUGAUAUCACAUAUAUAGAUAGAUAAUAAAUGUGGGUAUUGGCUUUUAAUAACAAUAAUAAAGAGAUAACAAAAAAAUGUGUUAUUUAAUUAAAACUAAAUCAAAAGCCGCCAUGAGCACGAAAAAUCAAAUACAGUGUAGAAUCAUUCUUAAUUUGAUAAUGUUCAAGAGUCUUAUCAUCUUCAACAGUCUUGCGACCGAAAAUUAGCCUUUGAGAAUAAGAGGCUACUCCAUUAAGAUCUUCAAUUUGAUCCUUCACAUCCACAAUCGUAGCUGUUGGUUCAAUUUCUAAAUUAAAUGUCUCCCCAGCAAACGUCCUUACAAACAUCUGCAAUUGUUAUUAAAAUUUGAACACCGACAAAUUAGUAAAUCAAAUUAAUUCAAAAACUUAAACUUGUAGAUGAAAUUCAAAUGGGUUUACCUUUGAAAUAUUAUGAUACGAUUGAUUUGUGUAGUUUUGUUUGAGUGAUUGAUUUACAAUUGAAAGAGAUGAUAUAUUUAUAGUGGUAAAAGAUAGACAGCGAUAGGUGUUUUUUUCUAGUAAUUAAUUAAUGUUUAUGGAAGAAAACGAUUUGUUUUUAUUUUAUUUUAUUGGGAACUAAUUAACAAAUGUUUAUUUAAGUUCAUAAACGAAAUUGUACAUGACUUUUGGUUUCUCUAACUCUUUGGAAAAUGAAAUUCUUAAUGUGGUGUUAAUUAAGAGUCUAUUGAUUACUACUCUUUUUUGCCAAGGAUUACCAUUUGUAAAAAGUAGUUAACCCAAUACUCUCUAUCAAUACGGCGAUGAUUGGGAAACUUCAAACGAAAAAAGAAAAAGAAAUUAAAAAUUAUCUCACAUUUUAGGCAAUAAGCCUCACCACCUCCCUCUACACAAUCAUACCAAAAACAAUUGCAACUAAACUGAAGUGCACGCUUCCUGGCACCAUCUCUGAAAACCAACUGGCUUUUGUGAAGGAUAAGCAAAUUACUGAUAUCAUUUUAAGGUAUCAGGUGUUACUUCAAAAUUCAAGUUUAGAUGCAUCAAAAUGUCAAAAGAUGUCGAGUAUAUCAAAAGAGUAUCAUGGUUCAUCAAGUGUAUCAAAGUUCAAGGGUUAUCAAAAAGUAGCAAAUGCAUAUCAAGUGUAUGAAGGAAUAUUAUAUGUAUCAAAUGUGUAUUAUGUAUAUUAUGUCAAAUGUAUCAUGGAGUAUUAAGUGUAUCGUAUAUGUAUUAAGUGUACCAAAUGUGUGUUAGUAACGAAUGCAUUUGUGACAUUUUAAAUCUUACAUAUGUAAGUUGAGUUUUGAUUUUGUCAUUUUUACAAAUAACAAAUGUGUGUGCUAUUGACUUAAUUAUAAUUUGUUGUCAUUUUUGCAAUUGCUCCUUUAUAUAUACUAGAUAACUUAAAAUAUGCGUUGAACAUAAAAACCUUGUUAGUAUAUAUUUUUGCUAAAAUGAAUAAAUAGUAUGCAAUGGUAAAUUUUAAAAAAUAGUACUACUGUAUAAAGAUAUACUUAAACGAGUACUUUAUAUACAAUGUUUUUUCUUACAUUUCCAAUAUUUGUAUUCAACCGAAUUUUCAUCAUUUUCAUCGAGAUGCCUUUGAAAAGUGUAACAUAUAAUUGUCGUGUGAGAAGACAUUUUGUGGAAGAUAAAUUCCAACAUGUGGUAUUGUUUGUCCUUGUGCCUUGUUAAAGGUCAUUGCAAAACUAAGGCGUACUGGAAAUUGUUUCCUCUUAAAUUUGAAUGGAUACCCUUCAUCAUUUGCCGGACUUAAAAGUAUAUGCGGUAUGAAGACAUGUUUGCGCCAAUAUGUUGGCCCAUUGCUAUUUCAGCAAAAAUCACAUGUUUUUCAAAGUCUCGACACACCAUUCUUGUCCCACAAAGACCAUUUGAUGGGUCUAAAUUUCUUAGAAGUAUUAUAGGACAAUCUUUAAAAUAAGUUUACGUGGUGGAAGUUCAUUUGGCAAUAAGGAAUUUAGAAAUUCUUGUUGUUAAUCUGAUGAAAAUUGGAGAAAACUCAGGAUUAUAUUCGUAUUGUAAUAAGAAAGGAAAGUAGAAAUUAUUGGUUGUUAAUGACGUCGGCGAUGACAUACAAUGAACUUGGAUAAGAAUGCGGCAAUCGAGGACAUAGGCCAUAGAUAGAGUCCAAGAAAUUCCAAGAACGUGUAGUUAGAAGCUGAAGCGUGGGAUAAAGAAUAUCGAUUUUACUAAAUAAUCAUAAAAAUAAAGAAAAUUCAAAACUUCGAAUUAAAAUCUACUUUAAAAUAUUCAAAGUUUUGAAGACACAAAACAAAGAAAACAUGAUCACUUAAUAGAAAAAAAAGUUUACCUCCACGACUACUUAUUCUAUUUUGGUCUUCCGCGACAGUUAUUUGGUGUCAUAAAAUAUACAAAAAUAAUUUAUUUAAUUUAUUAAAAUAAAAUUUAUUUUAAAUCCAAAGUUUAUUAAAAUCAAAUUUUUUCCUAAUUCUAAAAACAUUAAACAAUUUAUUCAUUAAAAUAAAACAUCUCCAAAACCCUUUCUCUUCUUCUUCUUCUCUUCUUUUUUUUUUCUUCUUCUUGGUGGAAGAUCAACGAGUCGCCCCUCCUUUUAGAUUUUUCCUCCCUUCCGGUAACCAUCUGUCUCCCUCUCUCAUGCACUCUGAAAACGACGAGACUUUUCGUCAAUGACACGCCCGAAAUCCCCCUCUUUCUCUCCUUCAGCCGACGCCACCACCCAACACCCCUUGCAUUGGUGAAUCUCAACUAUUAUUUCUAUUUUAUGUAUUUAUACAGUAUAUUAACUUCAAAUGCUUUUAUUUUACCCUCAAUGUGAUUAAUUGAUGGUUCUAUUUAUGAAAAACAUCCCUCAUAGUUUUGUUUUUAUAGAAGAUGUGUUUGUUUUGUCUACCAUCAUAUUAAAUAUUGUUGUUUAUGUUCAUUUUUCUAAUUUGAAUCUAAUUUUUUUCUUUAUGGUUGGCUAUGUGAUGAAGCAUUCUGGUAGCUUACAAUGUGUUUGAUGAAAUGCCUCAAUGAAGCAUUUGGUUGAUUUUUAAUUGAUUUUUGUUUGUUCUAAUUAGCAAAUCAAGGCCAAGGGAGAUUUCAUGGCUAUGGGCUCAAGCUUUGAGAAAAAGAGAAUGAAAAAUAAAAUGUGAGAUUUUAAACUUUUAUGGUGUAUAGGGUCUUUUUGUUUGUCUAUGAAUUUUCCAAGUGAAUUUAAGUACUCUUGAUUUUUCUAUUGAUAUUUUGUUUAUGGUUGCUAUUCAGUUCUAUUCUAAUUGCAUGAUAUUUAUAGUAUAAACAAACUGUAUAUAUAAACUUGAACACAAGUACUUUUAUCUAACUCAUUACUAAAUUAUUGUAAUUUGGUUACUCUUGAUUUACUAAUGAUUGAAAGAUUAAAAAAAGUUAUGAACAUUUUCACUAUGAUCCUACUCCUCUUAGAUAGAGAGGAGGAUGAUAUUUGUGAGGUAAGACAUUUGCUAUUAAACCUAAAUGCAUCAUUGGAUUCCAUUUUUCAUUGUUAUUAUCUUUGAAAAAGAAGCAUAACCUUCACUCUCUUUUUCUUUUUGUCUAUAUUAUGAUCUUGCAAUCUUGGAAGCAUUAGGGUUUCUUUUAUAAUAUAAAAUUCUUUUAUUUUAUUUGGAUUGAAAUUAUGUCUUGCUUUGAUUGAAGGAUAGAGGAAGUGAUUAUUGAUAAUUAUAGGUAUGUUCUCUCUCCAUUUCUUACAAUAAGGAUAGUAGCAACAAAAAUUACUACAUGUUCUUCUAUAUUAAAAGGAAAGACAAAAAAAAAAAAAAAAAAUCAAAAGGUGGUAAAUUAAGAUUUAUUUUGUAUGGUAGAAUUUUAUUUGCCACUUAUCAUGCUAGAUCUUUCCAAGAGGAGUAAAUUUGAAAAUUUUGAAAUACACCACUGCUUGAAACAUAAAUCGCGGUGUAUGUUAUACACAUUGGAAAUGGAUGUUUAUCCUCUGUAAUGAAAUUUUGUUUAUGAUUUUUUUUGGAUUUAUUAGGAAGUAGAAGUUAAUCUUUUCUUGCAGACAAAAAAAAGAUAUAUCCAAUGGUAAACUAGUUUUUGGAUAUCUCCCAUUUGAAGUUACUUUAAACUUGCAAGAUAAGAGGAGGUGUUUAUGUACUUGCUUAUAACUUCAGUUUCAGUUCCGUGUCUUUACCUUUUUUCUGUUUAUUAAUCCCCUUUUUCACCUUCAAAACCAUAACAUAGCGACACACACGCAGUACCUAAAGUAAAGUUCAAAUAAGUCUAAGCAUGUGUUACCUAUAGUAGUAUAUAAUGUGUUCAAAUAAUUUAUGGCUAAUUAGAGGAAGUUUUUGUAGCAUUGAGGUGAGGUACUAAAUCGAUUAAGGUGAGAGAGAGACAACCGUCAAAGGAGAGAGGGGGGGAGCCAGGAAUGAAAGAAAAAGAGAGAAAUUCACAUGAAUAUUUCCAACAGUUUUUGUGGAAAUUAAACUCCAUAGGAAAGCAUUAUCUAAAUUGGUUUGGUGAUCUCUUUUAGUUGCUUAUUAUAGUUUUACUGUGGAGACCAAAAUUUGAUGUCUUGAAUAAAUAUAAAACGAUUCUCAUUUCUAUUUUGUGAUUAGCUAGUUGAGCUUAUUUCAAUAGUUAUCAAUUAAGAAGUAUGGUUGUUGUUGAAAAAUUAGUCCUUUAACUGUAUGAAACUAUAUUUUCUUCCUAUGACUACCUUAUGACAUUUUGAAUAAUUGAGAAUUGAGGAUUAGCAGAAAGUUCUCUUACUUCAAUAUAUUUGAAUAUGAAUGUGUAAAGCAGAUUUCAUAGUUCUUGUACAUAAAGUAAAGCAACACAGAGGUAAGUUCAUAGUUAUUGUAUCACAUUUAUAUAUAUGUGAUUGGCUUAUAAUUAAAUAAAUAUGAAUGUGUGUAUUUAUUUUUUUUUCUUAGGAAGAGUUCGAUAUUUUUUAAGUAAAAGUUCAUGUUCAUGGAAACCUUUUGUUUGGGGACCUACAACUCGUAGGAAUUGCUGCAAUUCGACCCUCCUAUCAAUAACCCACAAGCUUGUCGAUAUCCAAUGCAUAAUUGUUUGGGAUUCUACCUUGGUAUGUUACUUGUAAUUAUAUUUUUCAUUUUUAAAAAUCUGUAAGUUCAUGUUUGAUAUAAAACUUUGUAUGUAUAUAAUUUGUAUGUGUAUAAAACUUUGUAUGUAUAUAAUUGGUAUGCACAACCAUUUUAUUUUUUGAGAUCUAGAUAAUGUUUUGGAGAUGGUUUUGUUGGUAGAGGAUUGAUUCUAUUGGGCGGUGUUUCAUAAUGUUUUGAGAAGUUCUUUGUAUAUUGUACUGAAUUAUGCCUAGAUAAAUUGAAUUUGAUUAUAGUUUCUGCAAGUUUUACUUCUUGUGGACAUGUAAAAUUAUGCUUAGGUAUUUUAAUGCAUUAUUUUAAAUCUUUGCCUAGAGUUUUUGCUAUGAUUCAAUAUGGAUUGUUGCAAAGGCAGUGGAUAAGUUUCAUUAUUAUGUUAUUGAACUCCAUGAACAGCGAAUGUUGUUAGACUUAUAUUGGAAAGUUUCAAAACUUUAUUUCUCUCUUUUUCAUCGGCUUGCAACCCUUAAUAUGUAAAUUUGAAAAAACAUUUUGUAGGUAGUUUUCUUCAUGUUUUCAUGAUUGGGAAGGUUUGACUGAUAGUGUAGACUAUGCUUGUAGAAUAAAAUUUGUGUUGUAUAUAACUCUUUGGUCGUAUAUAUAUAUAGAGAUAGACAUAUAGAUAUUACUAUAUGAUUGAAUUUAUUUAUACUUACCAUAUGUUCUCAUGUUAAUAUGAAUUUAUGCAUGUAACACUUAAAAUUCUUAUUCAUAUGCAUGCUCUUUCAUUUUUUCUAACUUUUCAUUGGUUGGUGACAAGGAAGAAAAAUAAUGUUCAAGGAUUGAAUCUCUGAAAGGGGACAAAAUAAGUAAAACACCCAAAGAAACAAUAGAACAAAAAAAAAUACAAGAGCCUAAGAAAUAAAUAGAGGAACCAAAAACAACAAACCAAAAAAAAAUCAAGCCUUUGAAAAUUCAAAGACAACAAUGAAGACAAAAGCUUUUUAUUUAUUUAUUUUUAUUUUUAUAAUGAGAGCAAUGUCAUUGACAGAUGAAUAAAAUAAGAGAGAACAAACUCAUUCAAUUGUUUCAAGCUCAGUUAGGUUACAUACUUGCCACAUUAUGAUUUGAGUGCAAAGCAAGAUGAGAAAGUCAACAUGAUAGCAACAAGGCCACAAAACCAACCCAAUGAUGAGUGACUUUUACAACAAGAUCUUGGUGGGUGACUUCAUCAAGAUUGGAAAUCUUUUUCAUAAACACCAACAUUAUAAGAGAUAGAUUACACUAAAAAAGAAUUCUUAUAUAUGUGAUAAUAAGGUAGCUCUUUUGUAACCUUGUCAUGCAUGUAAUGUUAUCGAUGCAUGUAGUGAUAGUUAAGGCUCAAUGUUGAAAUUUUCUAUAGGAGUUGUACUCUCUUUUCCUGUGAUUGAUGCUUAUAUUCAUGUUGUCUUUGUAGAUUCAACCGAAGUCUACAACUUCAUGAGUUUCCUUUCAAAGAAUAUUUUCAGAGAUGAAGGCUUACUAGUUGAUCGUUUAUGCUUGUUGAGAAAAUCUUGUUAUAUGUAUUCUUAUGCUCUUUACAAUGAUUUUGAUUAAGGACUAGAAUUAUGUACUAGUAAAUUGUAGAAACUUGAUUAGAAAUGUAUGAAUAUUACAAAGUGUAUUAUAGCUUAUAUAUGUCGUCAAUAGCGAAACAAUGCCAUUUAAAUUUUCAGAAAAACUGUCAUGAUUGCACUAUAUUUGACUGGAAAUAAUUAUCGUCAAUAUUAAAACAAUGACAUUUUUAUAAGAAAAACUGUCACGAUUGCCCUAUAUUUGACAGGAAAAAAAAUGUCGUCAAUAGCAAAACAAUGACAUUUAAUUUCUAAAAAAAAACUGUCACAAUUGACAUAUUCUUGACAUUUAAAAAAUGUCAUAAUAAACGAAUUUGCGACAUUUUUAAAUUGUUGUUAAUACGCAAAUGAUGACAGUUACUUGUUGUCAUAAUAUAAAAUAUGACAGUUAUUUGUUGUCAUAAAAUAGUAAUUAACGACAUUUAUUUUCUGUCAUUAAAAAACUUAUUGCCAUAGUUUUAGAAAACUGUCCUGGAAUGACUUUCCAUGACUCCGCUUUUAUGACUGUAAAUAACUGUCACGAAUUUUAAUCGUGACAGAAAAUAACUGUCGUCGUAGACCACUUUUCUUGUAGUGGAUAUAUAAGAAAUUAAGAGGUAAUUGACGUUGACUACAAAACAUAAAAAAUACUAAUUAACAGCCACAUAAUCGAAGGGAAGCAAGAAUAGUAGAACCAUCUGUUAUGUUAUAGUCUGAUAGACUUAGACUUCUUCCAUCUUCAAGCAUCUUUCCAGCAUAAAUGAAUCUGAUAUUGCUUGGAAGAUAUCCUUCCUUUUCAUAGAGUUUAACUUUCAAUCCGUCAGUUCUGAUGAAAAUGGAAACCUUGAUUGCUAUUGUAUUGCCGUUCGUUAAUUUCACGAAGAUUUCAGUUGGCUCUGGCCAAAGCUUUCUCCUCAACCACCUGCUUCGUAAGUUUGCAUUCAUAGCAAUAAACAUUUCGGCAUUCUUUCCCUUCUCAAGAAAAUCAAAGACUUCAAAAAGAAGGUCUUCGUCAGAUGCCGGAUAAUGCUUGCACAGCUUCAAUGGCUGCUAAUAUAGUUGGCAUAUCGACAUUAUUGUUCGAUGAAGUAUAUUGAUCAGUUGCCAUGACUUAAUCUUCUUCUUCAAUUCCACUUUUUAGUAUUCUUUUAUUUGUUUAAAAUUUAUGAGAGAGGAAGGGUUAGGAAAGAGGAUGUAAGAGAUAUGAUAUAUAAAGAGGAAAGAGAGAGUGGGAAGAUGAGGGGUCAAAGAAAUGGGAAGAAGUGUCUUGAUGCAUGGCGUUAAACAACAUUCAAUAAGCACUGUUUUUAAUUUUUUUUUUGAAGUAAUAUCAAUAUUAAGAAGUCCAUGAGUCUUUAGUACUUGACUUCUCUCUUCCCUUGGGUUUCUUUUGAUUAAGUCCAUUAUAUUAAUUGAAAUAAUUCACAAAUUUCAAGUUAAGUAGAUUAUUUUUUAUAAGAAUUUGAAAAAAAAGGAAUUCUUAUAUGUAAUUACAAUUUUUGAAACUAGGGUUCACGGACUCAAAACUAGUUUGAAUGCAAUAUUUUCACUGAGUGUAAUUAGUAAAUAUUUGACAUGAUACAAAGUCAUUCAAAAAUAGUGCCUUAGGCCAUGUUUCAAGUUAAUUUAUAACAAAUAUGAGAUUUUUUAAUAUUUUAAUUUAAAUGUCAUUGAAUUUUUUUUUAAAAGUUCUUCAAAUGAAAAUAAAAAUUGGACAUUUUUAAAAAUAGUAAAAUAAAUUAAAAUAUUUACAAGAUAUAACAAAAUUUUGGAUUGUAUCUCUAUAAUAUAUCAAUUCUCAUCGUGAUAGAAUUUAGGUUAUAAAUAUUUUGUAAAAUUUAAUACUUUCAAAAAAUUUCCUUUAUUUAAUUUAAUUUAAAUAAUUAAUAAUUAUGUAUAUUGGUGUGUUUUAAAAUUUAAUUAUAUGUCAAACAUAUUCAAAUCUUUAUGCUUUUGCCAUUUAUUUUCUUCAAGUUUUAGUGUGGAGGGGAUUCAUAUUUUUCAUAUACAAAAAAUGAUAAAACAAAUAUGAAAAAUAAAAGUUAUAACGUGUUUAUUUAUUUUUAUUCUUUGAAUCAAAAUGUACCAUUUUUUAAUUUUUAUUUGCGUAAUAAAAGAAAUUCUUUUUAUUUACAUAUAUAAAGAAAUUCUAUAUUUAUUCGCUUAAAACAAUAAGAAAUUACACUACCUAUUUUGAUUAAAAAAAUCUUAUUUAAUACAUAAAAUUAUAAACAAAUUUUUAAUCUUUUUUAGUUAAACCAACUUAAACUAUUUCAACGAAUAAUUUAUUUGACUUGUUAUCCAAAAAAUUAUAGUAAUAAUUUUAAAAUGGAAAUGAAAGUAUUAAACUAAAAUAAAUAAAUAAAAUCUCAAUUUACUCUACAUGUUAAGCCCAUGGUUUUACAUCAUGAGCCAAACAUGUGCUUGGCAUUAAAUGCCAAACCCACGUGAUGCCAUGCCAAGGGGUCAAACACCCUCUGAGAGGGUGAGACCCUAUGUUUAAGUCACAUAGAUAUCAUUUAAGUAAACACUCAACUACUUAUCAUAAAGUCGAAAAUGAGUGAAUUUCAUCUUUGUGUGAUUACGUUUGCAGUUUCCCACUCAGUCGUGUCUCCAAAAUGAUAAGCACAUUGAGUUGGCAAACUGGUCACUCUCAUUUGUACAAAUCAAAGGAUAAUCUCUGGCAAACAAGAGUUCAUAAUACACUUAAUAUUAAGACAAAUUUACCUAGGUCAUUCUAAUGAAAUAGAAACUUAACAAGUUAAGAAAGUUACAUCUAAUGGUUACUAUUUAAUGGUACAGUCUUAUGCAAACACAUUUCAUAGAAUACCUUCACUCGCAUGUCACCUACAUAAAUGUUUUGGAUUAUUACAUUUGUAUCAAAUACAAAGUGAGUCGUAUCCAUAGUAAACGGUUAAAUUUCAGAUCAACUUGAAGAAUAAUAGAUCUUAAAGUGGCAUUAUAAAUAAAAAUGGUAAAAUCAUUUCUUUAAUAAUUAUGGAAGUACAUACAAAAUAUAAUACUCAAAAUUCUAUAAAAAGAUGUCUCCAAGACCCAAACAAUAAAAAAGAAUAACAGUAAUUAUGUUGUAAUGAAAAGAUAGGAGAAUUGUUGGGAAUCACCCAUCCAAAUUUUCACUUUACAAAAUUAGCAUUUCCUUUAGAAAAAAAGCUAGUUAAAAUAAUUUUUUCUAUAGAUGCAUCCGAACCCAAGAUCAACCCUCAAAUUUAGUUUAAAAGUUUACUUUUUCUAACUUAUCGAUUGUUUUAGAUCUUCUCAAUACAUUUUGUCAAUACUCUCAUUCUAAAUGUUAGUACGAACCAACAUUUGUUAUGUAAUAUCUUUUAUAUUUUUCAAAAUAUAAAAAUGAUACAAUAAUCAUCCUGAAUUACUUUUGGUAGUUGGAAGACCUAGAUUGGAAUUGAAGAAAUUCAUACCAUUAUGAAAAAGUAUUUACGCUAAAGAUUUUAAGAAUUACAUAAUACAUAGUUUGGAUAUAACAUUUAAAAAGUUGUAUGUUAUUGUGAUUUUGCUGCUAAGAGUAUUAUGUGCAUUCACAACAAAAGGAAGAACAAAUUAUUAUUGGAGAGUAAUAUUAGAAAAUACAAAUGAAAGGUAUCAAUGAGAUAUGGCAUUUACAAAUGACAUGACUUUGUCUUUGUUUGUUAAACUUUAGGUCCAAAAAUUCUUUAAUUUGGCUAACUUUAAUUUUAUAGUUACUAAGUGUUUUUAUUUCCCAUCUUUUAAGAAAGAAAUUUGUUCGAUAAUUUUUGUUUUUUGUUUCUAAUUUCAUAAAUGUUUCUUCGAUGGUAAACAAGACGUUCGACUUAAUUAAUUAAUUUAUUUUUGUUUCUAAUUUCAUAAAUGUUUCUUCUUUCUUCCGAUUUAUUAUUCUCUUCUUCAUAUUAUUAAUUUGUUCAUACUACUACUUCUUCAUAUUUCCACUUCUGGUUUACAAUUUCUUCAUUUCCUCUUCCAGAAUUUCUUUUUCCUUAUUCAUCUCCCAUCUUCUUUUUUCUUUCUUGGUAUAAGAUCUAAAUGAUCUAAAAAUCGUGUACCAAUUUCUAAACGAUCAGUUGUCUAUCACAGAUAAACAGAGAUAAAUCACUAUCACUAAUAGAUCGUUUAGCUUUGGUACAAGAUCAUUUAGGCUAAGUACAAGAUCGUUUAGGCUUGGUACAAGAUCGUUUAGACUUGGUAUAAGGGUACAAGAUCGUUUAAAUUGAAUACAAGAUCGUUUAGAGUAAGUAUAAAAUCGUUAUUUCAUGUGUGUGUGUGACCACUUAAUUGCGAGGUAGUUUUGUUAUUUCAAGUGGUGGACUUUUGGAUUUUUUUUCAAAAAUAAAACAAAAAGCAAAAAUAUUUACACCAUACAAAAUUUUGAACAAGAAAAAAAUCCACAAGCCCACAACGUGAGAUAACAAAAAUAUCCCUGCAAUUAAUUGAUCACACACGUAUGAAAAACGAUUUUAUACCCAGUUUAAACAAUCUUGUAGCAAGUAUAAAUUAUGAUCUUGUACCCAGUCUAACGAUAUCUUGUAUCUAAACAUAAUCUUGUAUCACACCUUAAUGGUCUUGUAUCAUUGUACCUAGUCUAAACGAUCUUGUACGCACUCUAAACAUAACCUUGUACCAAACCUAAAUGAUCUUGUACCCUUGUACCCACUAUAAACGAUCUUAUUCCUUUAUAUCCAAUAUAAAUGAUCUUGUACCCUUGUACCUAAUCUAAACGAUCGUGUACCAAGUCUAAACAUAAUCUUGUACCAAACCUAAACGAUUUUAUACCCUUGUACCCAGCCUAAAUGAUCUUGUACUCUUGUACCCUAGUCUAAACGAUCUUGUACCCAGUCUAAACAAUCUUGUUCCAAAUCGAAACGAUCUUGUACCCUUGUACUCGGCCUAAACGAACUUGUACCCUUGUACCUAGUCUAAACAAUCGUGUACCCAAAUCUAAAUAUAAUCUUGUACUAAACCUAAAUGAUCUUGUACCCUUGUACCCAACCUAAGCAAUCUUGUACCUAGUCUAAACGAUCUGUUACCUAGUCUAGAAAAUCUUGUACAAAACUUAAACGAUCUUGUACCCAUGUGCCUAGUCUAAACGAUCUUGUGCCUAGACUAAACAAUAUCGUACCAAGCCUAAACAAUCUUAUACCCUUGUACCCAACCUAAACGAUCUUGUACCCUUGCACUCAACCUAAAUAAACUUAAUUGUACUCUUGUAUCUAGUAUAAACAAUCUUGUACCCAGUCUACGCGAUCUUAUACUAAAUUUAAACAAUCUUGUACUCAAUUUAAACUAUCUUGUAUUAAAUCUAAACGAUCUAUUAGUAAUAGUGGCCUAUCUCUAUCUAUAUCGGGGAUAGACAACUUAUCGUUUAGAUCUUGUACCAAUAUUAUUUAAAUUUUGUUCCAAGAAGAAAAAAAUAAAAUAAGAGAUGAAGAAGAAGGAAGAAAUUCUCGAACCGAAAAUUUAGAAAUCACGAACAAAAAAAGUAAGAAUAUGAAAAAUGAGAAGAAAUAAUAUGAAGAAAUUAUGAUAAAUAAAUCGCAAAAAAGAAGAAAAAAUGUUAAGUGAAGAAUUAUCCCACAAUAUUUAGAACCAACAAGAGAUAAGUUUGGAAAUUUAUGAAAAAACAAUAGUAGCUUCAUGGACUUUAAUUUUUUGUUACAUGGAUCGUAAAUAUAUUUUGAAUUUUGUUACAUUUAUAUAAAUUAACUUAAAGUGUACUAUCAUCGAAAUUCAAAAACUAAAUGAGGAAACUAAAGAGGUUUCUAAAACUUAUGUACCAAGUUUACAUAUUGACCGAAAUUUAAAAAUAAGAAAGUAUUUUACCCUUUAUAAUCGAUAGAUUUUGUUAUAUUUAACAUUUUCUAAAAUGUUGCUAUUUAUAAAAUUGAUAUUCCAUUAUAAUUAUCCUAAUUCUCACUACAAAAUUUGCAAAUUGAAUCCAUAUAUGGUUGGAAGAAAAUGAUAAGUUCUAAAUGAUGUAGAUAGUAUUGUUUUGAUUUAGAAGUACAUUGGGCGUAUGUAUUUUGUACCACCCAACUAAGGUAACCAACAUAUUAUAGAAAGGUACGUAUUGUUACCACAUUUAAAACACUCCAAUCCUACCAUUAUGGAAGCCAUUUUUACAUUAACACACGCGUCGAGAGAAACAGAAAUAAUCGGCCUCAGUUGAACGCAACAAUUUCCCAACAACAAACAAAACUGGGUUUCACACGUUGGCUUCUCACAACAUUAUAUUUGCUCGAAAACGACCACGUACCCACCCCAAACUAAAUCAAUUAGCCAUUUGCAUUCAAAAUCCUGCUUCCAACUCCAAUCUAAUGACACAUGCUAUUUCCCAUUCAUUUGCAUGCCUAACCCAUACGUGGAACUUCAACCAAAACUGAUCACGAAGCUCCACCAUUACUGUACUUUCACAAGCUUCAAAACCCCACAACAGAUUCCCUCUCUCCACGUUCCCUACAUGCACCCACUCCUCAUCCCCUAUAAAUACAAAUCACAUUCACCACUCACUUAUUCACUCAACUUCUUCAAUACACUCCUCUUUUUACUUCAUACAACUCUUCAACAAUGGCGAGACUCACAAGCAUCAUUGCCCUCUUGGCGUUGGCUUUGGUGAUUGCAGAUGCUCACCGCACCACCAUCACCACCGUCGAAGUGGACGAAGAAAACCCAGGGCGGAUGGAGAGGUGCCGUCAGAUGCGGGCGCGCGAGGAGAUCGGCAGCUGCGGGCAGUACCUGUCGCAGCAGAGCAGGUAUGUUUUGCAGAUGCGUGGAAUCGACAACCAAAGGAGGAGAGGAGGACAGCUCUUCGAUGAGUGCUGCAGUGAGCUCACGAAUGUGGAAGAGGAGUGCAGGUGCGAACUCUUGCAGGAGAUUGCCAUGGAAGAACAGAGAAGAGCACGAGGCCAAGAAAGAACGCAGAUGCUUCAGACAGCUAAGAACUUACCAUCCAUGUGCGGUAUGCGCCCACAACAAUGCUACUUCUAAGCGCUUAAGCUACGCACGCCACCCCAAUAAACAACAGGAGAGCAGUACAUCGUCGUGUGCUUUUUGUCUUUAUGUUAAAAUAAAUAAAAAAGACUAGUAAAUUCAGUCAAUCUCAAUCGCACUAUUUCUCUCUCUGCUACUUAUAUUAAAUAAAAAGAGCUACGGUUUUUGAGUGGAACUUGUUUAUGUAAUGAAUUGAGAAUAAUCAUAAGCCGGAAAGAAGCAGAUAGAACUUAGUAUUAUUUGUAAAUUGAGUUGUAGAACAGAGAAGAUUAGACUAGAAUACAAGCAACAUGAAGAGAAAACAGAGAACAUAAGCAUGUUGAAAUGAUGAGUUUCAAAUACCACCACGAAGACGAAGGACAAGGUGGAGGGUGGACUCCUUUUGAAUGUUGUAAUCGGCCAGUGUACGUCCAUCCUCCAAUUGCUUUCCAGCGAAAAUUAGUCUUUGCUGGUCAGGAGGGAUACCCUCCUUGUCCUGGAUUUUAGCCUUAACGUUAUCAAUGGUGUCUGAGCUCUCAACCUCCAAUGUGAUGGUCUUUCCUGUCAAGGUCUUCACAAAUAUUUGCAUUCCUCCACGAAGACGCAACAACACGCGGAGAUCUGAUUCCGUUUGAAUGUUAUAGUCGGCUAUAGUCUUACUAUCUUCCAAUUGCCUACCAGCUAAAAUUAAUCUCUGUUGGUAUGGUGGGAUGCCCUCUAUAUCUUGAAUCUUAGCCUUUACAUUUUCGAUAGUAUCAGAAUUUUCAACCUCAAGGGUUAGUGUCUUUCUGUGGAGAGUUUUCACAAAGAUUUGCAUCUGUCAUAACCCCAGUCAAACGAAGUCAAUUAACAAUUGAAUAUAGGUCACGUAAUCAAGAUUACUCUGGAAAAACGUUACUCAGGUACCAAAUCAUAUUUCCUACAAUGCAAUCUAAAUCGAAAAUAUCGCCAUCAAAGACGUCUGUCGAAGAACAUAAUUCUAGUAACCAGAUUCAGUGCAUGUAUAAAUAAUCUUGAAGAAAAAAAAAAAUCAUGAUAACCAAAACAUAGUUGUUUUUUUUUUUAAUUUUUAAUUUCUAAAAAAAUUAAUGAUGCGUGGAGGAUUAUCCCCUUGAAAAUUUAGAAAAUAUUACUUUUAUCAUUUGUAGAUACCGUAUUUUGUCCUAUAUUUAUUUAUUAUAAAAGAAAAAAAAAGAAAAAGAAAUUAAAUUUGAAUUUGAAUUUGAAUUUGAAUCUUAAAUUUAUAUUUUAAAAAACAAUAAUAAUAAUAAUAAAUACAUUUAAAAAUAAAUAAUAAAAAUAAAAAUAAAAUGUUUGAUUUUCCUUCCUAUUUUUUCUCAACCAUCCCUUUUUCUUCGUCAUCACUCUCCACUUUCUCCCACUCUAUCACUUUCUCCCACUCUCCCACUUUCUUCCUAUUUCUCUGUAGUCUGCACUCCAUCUCGUGAUCUAAAAAAAACGAUGGAGCUUGCCCUAUAAAAAGGAAAGAGGAAAAAAGAAAAGGGGAUCUUUUUUUCUUAUUAUUGGAGGAUUUAGAAAGAGGGGAAGAGUGAAAGAAGAUCAAAAAGGAAUAACCUUUGGCAUUGAAGGGCAGACCUGCUGGUAAAUUUUUUCUUCUUUUUCCUCUUUUUAUUCUUAUUCUUGUUUAAUGAUUUUUUUUUCUUCUUGUUUGAUAUACUGCUUUUAAUUAUGAACUAUCGUGUUCAUCAUUUUACCAUCAUUUAACAUGUUAAUUUUAUUAUUUGUAUCUUUCUUAAUACUGAGCAUUCUACCUUCCAUUCUAUAUUAAAUUUUUUAUUUUUUAUUUUUAAAUAUUGAACAUUCUGUUCUGUGUUAAUUUCUUUUUAAUUGUUGGGUAUCCAUUCUGUGUAUCCAUUAUGUAUAUCCAUUCUGUGUUAAUUUUUAAAUAUUGAACAUUUUGUUCUGUGUUAAUUUCUUUUUAAUUGUUGGGUAUCCAUUCUGUGUAUCCAUUAUGUAUAUCCAUUCUGUGUUAAUUUUUAAAUAUUGAGCAUUCUGUUAUGUGUUAAUUUUCUUUUAUUACUGGGCAUCCAUUCUGUGUUAAUUUCUUUUUAAUUAAUUAGCAUCAUAUAUUUGUAUUUGGAUACUCAUUCUUCAUUGGCAUCCAUUUUACAGUUUUUGUUAAUUACUUUAUCCAUGUAUCCAUAUGGCAUACUCUGUUAAUAAUUACUGUUAUCCAUAUAUUAUCCAUGUUAAUAAUUAUGCAUGAUAUAAUUAAAUUUUGGCAACAACCAUUUUUCAUUUGGCCUAUUAAUUAAUUAGCAACUUGUAUGUGACAUUUUCACUCCCUCAUUCUAAUUAUUUGCAUGAUGUAUUAAUUAAUCAGUAUGCAUAUGUGGCUAUAAUUAUUUGAUAUUUAUUUUGGUGUGAUUAUUUAUUUCGCAAUAUUAUUUAUUUGCAUAUUGGGCCAAACCUACUUUAGCAUUCAACUGUUAAUUAUUAUUUGAUAUCCAUUUGGCCUCGUUUAAUUAUGCAUUAAUCAAUUAUUUUGCAUCCUGCAUUAAUCAAUUAUUUUGCAUCAUUUUGAAUUAAUUAAUUAUGUUGCAUGUGUUGUAUUAAUUAAUUAUCUUGCAUCCUACAUUAAUAUCUUUUACAUUUUGCAUAUAUUAUCAAUGUAUUUAUUUUAUCUCAGCAUAUUACUUCUAAGUAUUUUUCAAAUUUCAUAAUGUUUUGCCAUUGUUAUUAUUUUUUUUAUAAUAAUGUAAAUUGGAGAAAAAGUAUUGUUUUUUAUGGAUUUUAUAAUUUAAAAUCCAUAAAUACAUGAAAUUUUUCCGUUUGAAAUUUAAUUAAUAGAUUUUUUUUUUUAAAUUAACACAUUUCAUAUUUUAAAUGAGACUGAGUAGUAUUUUCUAUGAAUUUAUUAAUUCUAGAUAUAUGAAAUUUUUCAUUAAACACCUAUGAUAGAGAUUAAAAUAUCAAGUGUUGGUAUCUUAAUAUUCUUAAGGUGAAUAAAAAUAUUUUAAAACAAAAAUAAACUUAAUUUUUCUAAUGGCUCCUAUGCCACUCAUAAUCAUCAAUUCAUGCUUAGGUUUUACUUUCUUCGAUAUGAAUUGAUAAACAUGGGACAUUUAAACAAAACCUAAAUAAAAAUUUUAUUUUGUGAACCUCUAUAAUUUAAUUUAAAAGAUAAAAUUGGGUAACCAUUUUUUGGGUGUUGUAGGGUGCUAACACCUUCCCUACACACAACUGACUCCCGAACUUAAAUCUCUGAAUGUACGCAGACCAUUUUUUUUUUUUUUUUUGGGUGACCAAUCACACCCUAAUAUGGUUGGUGGCGACUCCAAAACUAUUUAUUAAAAUUAAAUAAACGGGGAGGUCGGCCGCUCCGCGUAGCGAUCACGUCGCGACAGCUUGGCGACUCCACUGGGGACAUUGCAAUGUGUAAGAGAGUCAAGCCAGUACAUUUUUAUCUUUUAUUCUUAUUAUAUUAUAAUAUGUUGGUUCACUUAAUUAUUUUUUUUUUUAUUGAUUCAUAUGUAAUAUUUUGUACUAUGUUAUUGGUACAUUUUUUUUCCAACAUGCAUUUACACACACUCACAAGCCCUCUACCCGGGCUACAACCUUAUAGGACUAGAAUUGAGGAUGGAGUAGUGUUGACCUUCGAGGGGUUUCGACUCCCGUGUAGGCACAUGAAAAAUCCUCGCUCAGAUUAAUUCUUUUGUUAUUUCUUAAAUAACAUUAGAAUAAGUUUGAAGACCUUUAAUUUCUAAGAGUUUAGAUGAUACCAACACCAUGUCAGUUUCUUUUUGACAUAUUUUAUCCAAAAGUCAAAUAUUCAAAUUAUUUUUAUUUAUUUAUUUUAACAAAGUUUCACAUUUUCCUAAAAUUUUAAAUAAUACAUAUUUCAUUUAAAAAAAAGAAUUUCAAUAACAGUAUUUUCUAUAUUAUUAUUAUUUUGAGUUUGAUAUUUAAAUUUUAUUUAUCUUAGUUCCCUAGAAAUUGGGUCAUUUGGCUUCAUGCAAUACUUUAAAGAAAGUAAUGUUUACAUUGUAGAGGUACAUGAAAACCUUUAUAUAUUCUAAAAUUAACUAAAUAUUAAAAAACAAUUAAGCUAAAGUACAUAAAAUUCUUAUUUCUUUUCUUUUCAUGUUUUUUCUUUUUUUUUUUUUUUGAUUUUUGAUUUUUGAUUUUUGAUUUUUAAUUUUUAAUUUUUUAAUUUUUAAUUUUUAAUUUUUAAUUUUUUAAUUUUUUUUCUUUCUCUUUCUUCCCUUGCUCUUUAGUCUUCAAAGUUUUCAAAAUAAUCAAAGUAAAACAUAGCUCACCCUACUCCAAUUCAUCAUCCUUACAAUACGAUGCAUAAAAGUCGAAUCGAAGAAGAACAAGAUAAAGACAUGGAUAAAAUGAGACAAGAUAUUAAUAGUCUUGGGGAACAAGUUUCAAAAAUACUGGAAUUGCUUUCAAUAGGAAAAGGAAAAGUCGUCAUAGAAACAGCACAAUCAAGCAAUCCAAUUCAAGACACCAAUGAUCCCAUUUAUCCCCCAAGAUUUAUGUCACGCCACAUGAACGUUACACAGUCUCAAACUGCUCGACACUAUGUUGCUAUGAAUCCACUUUUUGAUGUUCCACCUCCUGUCCCAGAUAUAGAACAAUUGGAAGCUCAGGCUAAAAUUCAAGACAUAAGGCAAAAUGAGAACACUUCGGCUAAGCAAAAACUAGAUGUUUUGGAAGAAAGAUUGCGAGCAAUUGAAGGGACUGAUGUUUAUGGAAAUAUAGAAGCAACACAGUUGUGCUUAGUGCCAGACUUGAUCAUUCCAGCAAAGUUUAAAGUUCUCGAAUUUGACAAAUAUGAUGGAUCAUCGUGUCCAAGGAGUCAUCUUAUAAGGUAUUGUAGAAAGAUGACAAUGCAUAUUGGUAAUGAUAAAUUGUUGAUCCAUUGCUUUCAGGACAGUUUGACUGGUCCAGCUACUCGAUGGUAUAUUCAAUUAGAUAAUACACACAUUCAUGUUUGGAAGGAUUUAGCUGAUGCAUUUCUAAAGCAAUAUAAACAUAAUAUUGAUAUGGCUCCAGAUCGUUUAGACUUGCAACGUAUGAAGAAGAAGAAUUCAAAAAACUUUAAAGAAUAUGCUCAACGAUGGAGAGAUAUGGUCGCGGAGGUUCAACCACCAUUAACAGACAAAGAAAUGACGUCUAUGUAUAUGAAUACUUUGCGGGCUCCAUUCUAUGAUCGAAUGAUUGGUAAUGCUACAACCAAUUUUUGUGACAUUAUUGUUAUUGGUGAAAGAAUUGAAUAUGCGAUAAAGCACGGGAGAUUAGCAGAGGCUUCAGCUGAGUAUGAGGGAUUAAAGAAAGGAACAACAUCUAAGAAGAAAGAAGAUAAGGUUCAUGCAUUUGGUUUUCCUAAUUUAGGGAACCACAAAUCAACUUUUGGCCAAAGAAAACAUGACCAAAGUUUUCCUUCAUAUAUAAGCAAUGUUUCUCAUGUCCCACAUAACAACUAUGUACCAACUCACUCUUUCUCUAGAGCCCAAAAGCCUAUUAAUUCAAACUCUUCUCAACCAUUUGUACAAGGUCAAAGUAGCGAGACCAACUCAGAUACAUGACAAUUUGAUCCAAUUUCCAUGACAUAUACAGAACUUUUACCUCAUCUAAUUCAAAAUCGACAGUUAGCUCCUAUCCCAAUGAAUCCUAUACAAUCUCCUUAUCCAAAAUGAUAUGAUUCAAAUGCUCGAUGUGAUUAUUAUGCCGAAGGAGCAGGACACUCAAUUGAAAAUUGUUUGGCUUUAAAAAGGAAUGUGCAAUCUUUGAUUAAUGAUGGAUGGUUAAGCUUCAAAAAAGUUGGUGAGAAGCCGGAUGUCAACAACAAUCCACUGCCUAAUCAUGAAAAUCCAAAAGUGAACAUUGUAGAUUGCUUUGUUUCAAAAGUGCAAAAAUGAAGGAGAAACAGUUUAUGCAUGUCCACCUGAUUUCGAGCUUAAUACUUGGGAUGUUGUAGAUAUACCUACAUUUUCAAAAGAAUUUCAAGAGUAAUGAUUAAGCUUUUAUUUGUCAAAUUCCUUUUAUUUUAUAGUGGCUCUACACAAGGCCACAAUGUUUUAUUUGCUUUACAAUAUGAAUGUACUGUUUUAUUUGUUAUUUAAUGAAAUCUUCGCAUUUUCCUUUCGUUCUUUCCAACUUCUUCUCUCUGCUUUCUUUCUUGCAUCUUGCAAAUUAAACACAAAAGUCCAAACUUUUUCAUAGACAACAUUCAUAAGAACGAAGAUGUUAGUAAUUCCAGUUCUACCCUUGAUACCUUAAUAUACACUAUGGAAUCUGACAAAGAGAGUGACGAUGAAAAUGCUGGGAGAAUAUCCUCAGAACUGUUAAGAUUAGUAGAAGAAGAAGAUAAGGUCUUAGGUCCUCACCAAGAGCUAGUUGAAGUAAUCAAUUUGGGUUCUCAGGAGGAAUUAAAAGAGGUAAAAAUUGGCACAUCAAUGACCAGUGAAACUCGAAAAAAAAUCAAUUUGUUACGUGAGUACUCAGAUAUUUUGCUUGGAGUUAUCAGGAUAUGCCGGGGUUAAAUACGGAUAUUGUAGUACAUCGUGUUCCUUUGAAGCCAGAAUGCAACCUAGUAAGACAAAAGCUACGUAAAAUGAAGCUUGAUAUAUUGUUUAAAAUAAAAUGGGAAGUACUUAAACAAUUCGAAACAGUGUUCCUCACAGUCUCCAAAUAUCCUGAACGAGUGGAAAACAUUGUUCCAGUAUCCAAAAAGCAAACAAAAAGACAGAAAAGUGAGAAUGUGUAUGGAUAGAGAUUUAAAUCGAGCUUGUCCAAAGACAACUUCCAUUUACCUCAUAUCGACAUGUUGGUGGAUAACACUGCAGGAUACUCAACUUUCUCCUUCAUGGAUGGUUUUUCAGAAUAUAAUCAAAUUAAAAUGACUGAAGAAGAUAAAAAAAAAAAAACAACAUUCAUUACCUGUUGGAGAACAUUCUGCUACAAAGUAAUGCCUUUUGGUUCAAAAAAAUGCUGGGGCAAAUAUCAGUGAGCAAUGGUUACACUUUUUCAUGAUAUGAUGCAUAAGGAAAUAGAGGUGUAUGUUGAUGAUAUGAUUGCAAAAUCCAAAGCAAAUGAAGAUCAUACAACUAUACUCCAAAAAUUAUUUAAUUGGUUGAGAAAGUAUCAAUUGAAAUUAAAUCCAUCCAAAUGUACAUUUGGGGCAACCUCGGGAAAACUGUUCGGAUUCAUUGUCGGUGAAGAAGGGAUCAAAGUAGACCCAGAUAAAGUGAAGUCUAUCAUGGACAUGCCAUCCCCUGAAACAGAAAAAGAAGUUCGAGAUUUUCUUGAAAGACUAAAUUACAUAUCCAGAUUUAUCUCGCAUUUAACUUCAACCUGCGAACCAAUCUUCAAGCUUUUACGUAAAAACAAUCCAAGAAAAUAGAAUGAGGAUUGUGAAGAAGCUUUCAACAAAAUUAAGCAGUAUUUGCAGAGCCCACCUGUAUUAUAAUAAGCCAUGGUAUUUUGAUAUCAAGCAAUACAUAAAUUGUAGAGAAAUAUGGAGCUUCAGAGAAUGACAAGCGCACAAUAAGAAGGUUGGCCAUGAACUUUUUCUUAAGUGGUAAAGUUCUUUAUAAAAGAAACCAUGAUAUGGUACUCCUUCGAUGUGUUGAUGUGGAAGAAGCAAAACAAAUUAUGACAGAAAUUCAUGAAGGAAUAUGUGGAACACAUGCGAACGGACAUAUUAUGCCUAGACAAAUACUUAGAUCUGGUUAUUAUUGGACAACGAUGGAAUCAGACUGUAUAAAAUAUGCAAGAGAAUGUAAAAAGUGUCAAAUUUAUAUGGAUAAGAUUCAUGCAGCAGCAUCUCCAUUGCAUGUCUUGUCAGCACCAUGGUCGUUUUCUUUAUGGGGAAUGGAUGUUAUUGGACCUAUUGAUCCUAAAGCCUCAAAUGAUCAACAUUUUAUUCUUGUGGCGAUUGAUUACUUCACUAAAUGAUUAGAGGCAACAUCUUACUGCAAUGUUACAAAAGGAGUGGUGCUCAAGUUUAUCAAAAAAGAGUUGAUCUGUCGUUAUGGUCUACCAGAGGGUAUUAUUACAGAUAAUACCAAGAACCUUAAUAACAAAUGAUGGACGAACUUUGUGAGAAAUUCAAGAUCAAUCACAGAAAUUCGACUCCAUAUCACCCCAAGAUGAAUGUGGCAGUUGAGGCAGUCAACAAAAAUAUUAAAAGAGUUAUUGAGAAGAUGACAACAACAUACAAAGAUUGACAUGAAAUUUUACCAUUUACACUGCAUGGAUAUCAUACAUCAGUUCGUACUUCAACAGGGGCAACACCAUUUUAUUUGGUUUAUGGUAUAAAAGUUGUCCUACCUUUAGAACUUAAGAUACCUUCAUUGAGAGUUAUCAUGGAAGCUAAGUUAUAUGAAGUUGAAUGUCGUUAUGAGCAGUUGAAUUUCAUUGAAAAAAAAAAAUGUUUGGCAGCAUUAAGUCACAGACAACUUUACCAAAGAAGACUAAUACGAGCAUACAAUAAAAAAUUGCACCCUUGAAGUUUUUGAGAAGGAGAUUUGGCAUUAAAAAGGAUAUUUUCAUUUGAAAAGGAUCAUCGAGAAAAAUGGACUCCUAAUUAUGAAGGUUCGUUUGUGGUGAAAAGAGUUUUCCAGGAGGAGCUUUGCUUUUAACCAAUAUGGAUGGUGUUAAGCUAAAAAAAUCAUGUGAAUUCAGAUUAUGUUCGAAGAUAUUAUGCGUGAGGCCUUUUCAUAGAAAAUUUCGUAGUGUUGAAAGAAGUCAAGGGUAUUUAUAGGAAACUUACAUUUAGUUCUUAGAAUGUUAUUUCAUAUGUAUAAAUUAUCCCUUACCUCCUCUCUUUGUACUCCUAUUCCAAGAAUCGUUGUUAUCUUUUCAUUUCUUAUCAUAUUUAUCAAACACUUCUUUAUUUGUCAAUCCAUUCUUUCAUCUUUUUUUUUUAAAUAUCAUCAACUUAUAGUAAACAUCAAUUUAUUCAUUAGUCUAUUUGUUCUAUCUAUUUGUUAAUUAACAAUGAUUCAGUACAACUUAUUGUAUUUGCAAACCAAGUAAAAGCUAUGAUUUUCUCUUGUUAAGACUUAAGGAAUUGUAAGUGUUUACAAGUCCAGACAAAUUUCUCUAUGAUUGUGAGUUGCUGCAAUUGGAAGUCUGAAUCCUAAAGGAUUCAUGUUUUGUGAAGUCCAAGACGAAAACAACAUUAUGUCAUUACAACAUAGUACAAUCUUUCGCAGUUUGGAUUCAUUUGUUUGAUACGAAGAGAGGCGAGUUCUACAGCUUAAAAAGUUCUCGUGAUACAUGUCUUAUUCUAUCCUACGACGAUUAUGCAGAUAGAUUGUUAAUGGUAUUGGUAAAAUGGAGUAGUGAGCUAUUUAUUCCUUGAAAAGCAUAAUAUUUUUAAAUUAAAUUUCAAAUAUGUCUUAAAAGAAGUAUGAGUCCACUUUAUCAAAUCUAGCCCUAGAGCUAAGAUUGGUUUUUUUUUUUUUACAAAUUUGAUUAAAUCGAGCUCAGAUAUGAAGCUGAGGCCGAAGCUUGUUUAUCAGGUCCUUUCUCAUUUAUCAAACUUAGUCCUAGAGCUAAGGUUGAUGUUUUUCUUAAAAAAAAAAAAAUUGAUUAAAUCGAGCCCAGAUAUGAAGCUGAGGCCGAAGCCUGUCUAUCAGGUUCUUUCUCAUUUAUCAAACCUAGUCCUAGAGCUAAGGUUGAUGUUUUUUUUUAAAAAAAAAAAAAAAUUGGUUAAAUCGAGCCCAGAUAUGAAGCUGAGGCCGAAGCCUGUCUAUCAGGUCAUUUACUUUAUUUAUCAAACCUAGUCUUAGAGCUAAGGUUGAUGUUUUUUUUAUAUAUAUAUAUAUAUAUAUAUAUAUAUAAACAAAUUUGGUUAAAUCGAGCCCAGAUAUGAAGCUGAGGCCGAAGCCUGUCUAUCAGGUCCUUUCUCGUUUAUCAAACCUAGUCCUAGAGCUAAGGUUGAUGUUUUUUUUUUUUUUUUUUUUUUUUUUUCUUUUUCUUUUUCUUUUUCUCUCUCUAAAAAUAAAAAAGAUCGGCCAAAUACUUUAUCUAUUUCCUUUGUCCACCUUUAAAUAUUGACAGGAUGGACAAAGGGGGGCAAACUGUAGAUACCGUAUUUUGUCCUAUAUUUAUUUAUUAUAAAAGAAAAAAGAAAAGAAAAAGAAAUUAAAUUUGAAUUUGAAUUUGAAUUUGAAUCUUAAAUUUAUAUUUUAAAAAACAAUAAUAAUAAUAAUAAAUACAUUUAAAAAUAAAUAAUAAAAAUAAAAAUAAAAUGUUUGAUUUUCCUUCCUAUUUUUUCUCAACCAUCCCUUUUUCUUCGUCAUCACUCUCCCACUUUCUCCCACUCUAUCACUUUCUCCCACUCUCCCACUUUCUUCCUAUUUCUCUGUAGUCUGCACUCCAUCUCGUGAUCUAAAAAAAACGAUGGAGCUUGCCCUAUAAAAAGGAAAGAGGAAAAAAGAAAAGGGGAUCUUUUUUUUUUUAUUAUUGGAGGAUUUAGAAAGAGGGGAAGAGUGAAAGAAGAUCAAAAAGGAAUAACCUUUGGCAUUGAAGGGCAGACCUGCUGGUAAGUUUUUUCUUCUUUUUCCUCUUUUUAUUCUUAUUCUUGUUUAAUGAUUUUUUUUUCUUCUUGUUUGAUAUACUGCUUUUAAUUAUGAACUAUCGUGUUCAUCAUUUUACCAUCAUUUAACAUGUUAAUUUUAUUAUUUGUAUCUUUCUUAAUACUGAGCAUUCUACCUUCCAUUCUAUAUUAAAUUUUUUAUUUUUUAUUUUUAAAUAUUGAACAUUCUGUUCUGUGUUAAUUUCUUUUUAAUUGUUGGGUAUCCAUUCUGUGUAUCCAUUAUGUAUAUCCAUUCUGUGUUAAUUUUUAAAUAUUGAACAUUUUGUUCUGUGUUAAUUUCUUUUUAAUUGUUGGGUAUCCAUUCUGUGUAUCCAUUAUGUAUAUCCAUUCUGUGUUAAUUUUUAAAUAUUGAGCAUUCUGUUAUGUGUUAAUUUUCUUUUAUUACUGGGCAUCCAUUCUGUGUUAAUUUCUUUUUAAUUAAUUAGCAUCAUAUAUUUGUAUUUGGAUACUCAUUCUUCAUUGGCAUCCAUUUUACAGUUUUUGUUAAUUACUUUAUUUAUCCAUGUAUCCAUAUGGCAUACUCUGUUAAUAAUUACUGUUAUCCAUAUAUUAUCCAUGUUAAUAAUUAUGCAUGAUAUAAUUAAAUUUUGGCAACAACCAUUUUUCAUUUGGCCUAUUAAUUAAUUAGCAACUUGUAUGUGACAUUUUCACUCCCUCAUUCUAAUUAUUUGCAUGAUGUAUUAAUUAAUCAGUAUGCAUAUGUGGCUAUAAUUAUUUGAUAUUUAUUUUGGUGUGAUUAUUUAUUCGCAAUAUUAUUUAUUUGCAUAUUGGGCCAAACCUACUUUAGCAUUCAACUGUUAAUUAUUAUUUGAUAUCCAUUUGGCCUCGUUUAAUUAUGCAUUAAUAAAUUAUUUUGCAUCCUGCAUUAAUCAAUUAUUUUGCAUCAUUUUGAACUAAUUAAUUAUGUUGCAUGUGUUGUAUUAAUUAAUUAUCUUGCAUCCUACAUUAAUAUCUUUUACAUUUUGCAUAUAUUAUCAAUGUAUUUAUUUUAUCUCAGCAUAUUACACUUAAGUAUUUUUCAAAUUUCAUAAUGUUUUGUCAUUGUUAUUAUUUUUUUAUAAUAAUGUAAAUUGGAGAAAAAGUAUUGUUUUUUAUGGAUUUUAUAAUUUAAAAUCCAUAAAUACAUGAAAUUUUUCCGUUUGAAAUUUAAUUAAUAGAUUUUUUUUUUUAAAUUAACACAUUUCAUAUUUUAAAUGAGACUGAGUAGUAUUUUCUAUGAAUUUAUUAAUUCUAGAUAUAUGAAAUUUUUCAUUAAACACCUAUGAUAGAGAUUAAAAUAUCAAGUGUUGGUAUCUUAAUAUUCUUAAGGUGAAUAAAAAUAUUUUAAAACAAAAAAUAAACUUAAUUUUUCUAAUGGCUCCUAUGCCAGUCAUAAUCAAUCAAUUCAUGCUUAGGUUUUACUUUCUUCGAUAUGAAUUGAUAAACAUGGGACAUUUAAACAAAACCUAAAUAAAAAUUUUAUUUUGUGAACCUCUAUAAUUUAAUUUAAAAGAUAAAAUUGGGUAACCAUUUUUUGGGUGUUGUAGGGUGCUAACACCUUCCCUACACACAAUUGACUCCCGAACUUAAAUCUCUGAAUGUACGUAGACCAUUUUUUUUUUUUUUUUUGGUGACCAAUCACACCCUAAUAUGGUUGGUGGCGACUCCAAAAUUAUUUAUUAAAAUAAAAUAAACGGAGAGGUCGGCCGCUCCGCGUAGCGAUCACGUCGCGACACCAUUUAGAAAAUUAGUAGUAUUUAGUAACAUGGUUUCACAAAAAUUACGAAAACUAAUUCAAACAUCAAUUAAUUGAAUACAUGGAUCGUAUUAGCAACAUGGUUUCACAAAAAUUAUUACGAAAAUUAAUUCAAACAUCAAUUAAUUGAAUACAUGGAUCGUAUUAGUAACAUGGUUUCACAAAAAUUACGAAAAUGAAUUCAAACAUAAAUUAAUUGAGCAGGAGAGGAAAAAAAAAUGAAAAGAUGAAAACCUUGAGACGGUUAAGCAAAUUUCAAAAGACGAAUAAAGCAUGGAAAAUUACGGCUCGAGAAUCACAUAUUUAUACCUAAAAUGAGUCUGCAUGGAAAAUUACGGCUCGAGAAUCACAUGUUUAUACCUAAAAUUGCCGACUAUUGUUAAUCAAGAAUAACCAUAAUAUUCUAUAGGAAAAAUGACAUGUUUCGUUGAUUACUUCCCUGUAACAUAUUGGUUGGUUUUUGAAGGGAAUGGUAAAUAUUCCAUCUUAUACGAUUACACGAACAGAGUAGAAAAAAAAUUAUGACAAUAAGGUUACAUUUUCUAAAUUGUAAAAAUAAUAAAUUUAAAAGCCGACAACCCUUAUAAUUGUCAUAGCCCUAUGAUUAUCAUAUGAUAUUAUUAAUUUUUUAAUAUAUAAAAUAAUAAUAAUAAUAAAUGGCACGAGCUAUUUUUUAAAAUAUGUUUAUCUCCAAUUUUUCAAAAGAUAAAGUAGAACAGCUCAAAUUUGCUUUAUUCACCUCUCAAAAGUCAGAUGUGAAAAAAGAAAGAGAAGAAAAAACCUUAUGAUUCGUUUUCGUUUUCUUUUUUUUUGUUCUAAUUUUUCUAUAAAUAAAUUUCAUUUGAAUUUAGAUUUUAUGUUCCUAAUUUUUGUGUUUGUAUGUAUUUGGUUCAAUUAAAUUUUGUAUUUAAGAAGUGUAACAAAUUUGAAAAUUAACAUGAGAAUGUAACAACAAAUUAUUAGAUUUCUCAACUAAAUCUAUAAGUUUCAAAGGUUUAUCUUCCACUUC